GCUCUAGUUCUUUGUUCAUUUAUUCAAAGUUCUAAGCAUUAUGUAUCCUAAAUGUUCCUGUCCUGUGGUAGGCGUGAAAUAAAAUGGCGAGACGACUCAGUGAUGUCCAUGAUAUAUUGUUAUGUAGCCUGCUUAACCUUAACUGAUCGAUACACUCCAAUUUUAUGGAGAGAAAGUUCAUAUGUGCUUCAAAACUACACCAUUAUAUAUUGGCUUGGGAUGCAUGGGGAACCUGUGAAGCAGAAUAGCCAUGAUGAGAAAAAUCGCUCAUAUUUACCCCAACACAUGUCUGAGCUAUUAAUGGCUAUCAAUUGCCACCUUCAUGACAUAUCAGUGAGGAUUUUGCACUCGCUCGGCCUUUGACAAGCAUAUGUAGAAACAAAAAAAGAUACUAAAAAAAUACAGGCUUCUGAUUUCAAGAUCAGCAUGCUGCUAAGGGGUAAAUAUGGUUGUUGUAGAACUGGGCGUAAUUAAGAAGCAUAGGGAACUCGUGGCAGAAAUACAGCCAUGUCAUCUAUAUAAGAGACUGAAAUGAUUUUCUGCAAUUAUUCCUUUUAUGUGUUGCUGGUAAAUAAACUACCUUGCACCUCUAGCUAGGAGUAUAUAAUAAGAGACCGAAAGCAGCUCGUUCCACAGGUGACCACACAAAUGUUCUGCAUCCCUGUAGUUUGAUAAGGUUGAAAGACAGAAAGAGUGUCUUAGUUACUUUCAGUUAGUCAGUUACCUUUGUUUCAUGCAGCUGAAAUGGUGUAGACCUUUGGAGAAGACCCAUGAGGAAUUUUGUUGAACAAGUUCAGCUUGACCGUUGCGUUUAAACACACAUGCUAGGAACAGUAUAUAUAUAUAUAGUGGUCUUAUUGCAAAAACAUUUGUUAAAACGAGGGAGAAAAACCAAUGACAAGCCUACAGGCUGUAUAGGGAAGGAUAGGCAUGGGAGGUAUAGGGAAUUCAGUUUGUGCAACUGGGAGAGGUUGUGCAUGACAAAGGGCACCAGGGAGAUAUGGCCGGAGAGUUCCCUACUCAUUGUAUGGCUCUACGACUAUAAAUAUACUUGUAAAUCUUAGUAGAUAAUCAUCUCUAAGUAAAUUUAUAGUAAUAUGUAAACACCCAAAAAUAGUGAGAUUGUUUGCUGGCCAAAGCCCAUGGUUUUUUCCCUUUUGUGUUGGAGUGUUUUCCACGUUAAAUCUGUGUCUUCACUGUGUUUGAUCUACUUUGUGUCGUACUGAUUCAUAACAAGUGGUACCGAAGCAAGUUCUUGUGAUCUGUGUGCUAAGGCUUCCUGUCUCGGCACACGUGUGUCGACGAUAAUGAAGUACGAUCUUCCGCUACUGGAUCUCGACACUCGUUUCUCACUGCGUCAAGUGAAGAUGCAGACGAUUCUCUUGAAGUCUGAUCGCGACCUAGAUGAUGCCCUAGACGGGUUUGGCAAGAAAAACAUCAGGACAUGGACUGAUGAGAAGAGGUGCAAGGAUCGUAAGGCGCUGGCACAUAUUCACCUUCAUUUGUCUAACAAUAUCUGCAAGAGGUUUUGACAGAGAACCACCGAUGCGUUGUGGUUGAAGCUGUUGGCGCCGGCUGCCGAAAUGGCUACGCCGACGGCGAUUAGCACCUAUCGGCGAUCUUACAAACUCGCUCUCGCUGUCAUCACUCUGGAACGCGAAUGCUGGGAACACGGGAACAGUUUUACACCGCACCAAGUAGCAACCUUUUCCCUGACUUGCUUUUUCUGUUUUAUUUUGAUCGAUGUUUACACUGUCUUCACGAUCCGCUAUCCCCGCCACGCCAUGCAUGUUGUGACGUGCCCGCCUGAAUCGUGGGACCGUUUUUCAUCCGGCGUGGUGGUGGACUUAGUCACCACCUUGUGAACGCAGCACAAGUCAUGGCACAUACAUCGUUUGAUACAUCAUGCAACAGCUAACUAUGACUAGAAUGUAAACGUGCUCAUGCAAUUAAUCUAUUUACAUCAUGUCCAAGUGUGCACGAGAUUGAGUUUAACAUUUCACCCCCUAAUCCCGCUGCACCUCGACAACGCCUAGCUGUUGACGAAGCUCCAUGAAUCUGACACGCCCGAGCGCCUUUGUCAGAAUAUCCUCAAGCUGGUCUUUAGUGCUUACAUGAUCAACAUCAACUUCACCCUUGUCAACACAUUCUCUGAUGAAGUGAAAUCUUGUGUCUAUAUGCUUACUUCUGUCAUGGUGAACUGGGUUCUUGCUCAGAGCAAUGGCCGAUUUGUUGUCCAUUAAAGGCUUGACUAUUAGAGCCUGAGUGUUCAGCAGUUCUCCUAGAAGACGGCUAAGCCAAAUGCCUUGACAUGCUACAUUUGCACUUGCAAUAUACUCAGCCUCACAGGAUGAUAAUGCCACCACCCAUUGUUUCUGAGAUGCCCAUGUCACUAAGCUUGACCCCAAGAUCAGUAUUUCUUGUAGCCUCAUAUAUUAUUGCAUAUUGAAUUAAAAUAAACAGUUAUUUAAAGUGGUAUGCUAACAGACAGUAUUGUUUGUAUACUUAGAUAGCUAAAGAAGGACAGAUUCAAAGAAAGAAUCAUAAAUGGUGUUGGAGUGAAGGCCGAACUCGAUCAACCAUGUGCAGAACGGAACUAACUACGCCUGAGUGCAGGAUCCCACACCUUAGAGGACUUCGCCAGAUCAGCACCAACGAAGGGACUUUCGACUUCCUCCCCUGACAACAAUUAUGAGAAGGCCCGCGCAAGAGGAGGCUUCACCUACAGUGAAGCCACCACUACUACAGAAAAGAUUUUGCAAGACGGUGGCAAAACAUUUUCGGAGGUGGGUGUGCCUGUAGGCCACCUUAGUUAAACGCUGGCAGGGUCGCUGCCUUCGCGCUCGCCUCAGUUAAAAGUUAACGGAGGCGAGCGACAUAAGGCAACUGCCUGUCUCCUUUAAACAAUUAACAGAGGCGGUUGCUUUACGUAGCCCGCUUCUUUUAAUCAAUUAAUAGAGACAUGUUUUUAAGACAAACGCCAUUGUUAGGGCCCAUUUGGGAGGGCUCCCGGAGAGCUCCGGCUCUGGCUCCUCGCUGGAGCCCUCCCAAACGCAGCGUCUAAAAACAGUUCCGGAGGAGGAGCUGGUGCCAGGAGACGGUCGGGAGCCGGAGCCAGAAAUUUUGGCUCUGCAUGGCUCCGCUCGGCACUUCGCCCUCUGAGUCCGUUCGUCUACCAAGUUUCUUCAGUGUAGCUAGCUUUCAUUCAGCAAGUAUUCGGCAAAUAGAGCACGCAGUUCUCAUCAGGCAUCAACACUGCAUGUUUGUUCACAAUGCAAGUUUCUUCGAUUAGCAGCUUCUUCUUUGCUGAAGUAGAAUUCACUGAAGUAAGUAGCAAUUUAUUCUUCUUUAGUAGUCCCUGAAUACAGUUAGCAAGUAGUUUAUGAAUGCAGUUUUCAGAGGAGCCAUUUUGCCAAACGAUUUUACAAAAAGACACUGGCUCCUGCGGAGGAGCUCCUCUUUCAGAGAAGCCGGAGCCGGAGCCAUUUUCAGAGAAGCCGGAGCCCUGCAAAACGGGGCCUUAAAUGAUAAUAAAUAUAGAUAUAUAUAUAUAUAUAUAUACAAACUGCAUUCAUAUGUUACAUAAUUAAUCUUAAACGGAAUUAUAUUUUGGGACUGAGGGAGACCGAGGGAGUAAUGAAUAUGGACAUACAUAUAAACUAUAUUCAUAGGUUAAUUAAUGAAUUUAUAUUUAGUCUAAAACGAAUUAUAUUUUUGUGGUGGAGGGUGUAGAGUACCUGUCAGAUACAUAUGCAGUGGUAGAUCACAGAUGAGCGGCAGCGACAAACCACAGGACGUUACAUAGAUGUUUGGCCAGCUAAAGGGCAUGCAAAGUUCUGAACACACAAAGUGGAUGUGGAUCCUUGUAAGAAAAUGAGCCCAGAUACAGGUUGCCAGCAAAUCAGCCCUACUCAUCAGAGAUCACUGUUGGCCCAUGAAUUUAUUCAGUAAUAGCAGCGUACCAGCAGGGGGUUCCGAGUCAGUAGCAUAUUCAGCAUUCAGGAGGAGGCAAUGAAAACUACACAUUGAACUAGGCCUAAGUGGGUCUUUCUGAUCCAUUACUUCUGAGAGUGUCUACCAGCCGUUUCACCCAAUUACUACACAUUACAGUCUGUGUUUUGCAUACCCGGUUGUUGAUUUACUGUCCAUAAGCAUUGUUUUACUGUUACUAGUAUUGUUGAUUUACUGUCCAUUAGGAUGGCAGAACAAAGCCCCUAGCUCAGCAGGUUUUACUGCUACCAUACCACUCUCCACUUCAAGUUAACUGUGGUCCACUCCACUCUCCUCGCUUCUGUUACUCGGCGUGUCAUAUUUUCUAUCCACAGCUGAUCCAGGUCCAUCUUUGUCGAUGAGGAACAGCAAAUUGAAUGAGCAGCGCCAUUCAAAUCAUACUUGUACUAUACUGGCACAUCAUUCCAUGAUGUCCUGCCUAGGACUGAUGAUUCGCUGAAACAAUUGAUAUUAUUUUUCAGUGUACUGUGUAUCUCGUACGUACGUAUACGUACGGGUAAAAGCUCUGCGGGUACUGACGCUCUGGAUCGGAUAUACUCAUAUUUACUCACUUUGAUCUUCGUUCUGAAAUCAUAAUUUACUCGAGCUGUUAUUUGGUGGUAGAGUACAUCAUUAAUAUGGAUGAAAUACACUCCAAACUAUGGAGCAUAGAUGAUUCUGAUUCUAAAUGUACUGGAUGUCCUUUUUUUUUCUCUCUUCCCGUGCUUAUAUUCAUCAAAGUUUGCUGUAUUUUUCACACUAUGAGCUGCUUGGGAUGGGACAGGCCUCUAAGAAUAAAAUAAUAAUAGUAAGAUUAUGCGUACUGGAGAAGGUGUCACCACAACGAAGAGGCAGAAGAAGUUGGAGGAGUCCCAUAUAUUUAACAUAUUUCCUAUUGAAAAUUUAUUCCUUUUUUUGUUUAUAAUGGCAUGGGUGGAUAAUUUUCUUGAAAAAAAAAUUAAUGGUCAUGGAUAGCUUGUUUUAUUAAUUUGACGGCCCGAUGUUUCAAAUAAUAUGAGAAAUUUCUAGCAUUUAAUUUGAUGGCCCGAAAUAUCCAUUAAUGCCACUAAUAAUAACAGUAAGAUUGUUCUCAAGGAUUUGAUGAUAAAAAAAAGGCAUCAGAAAAGUGUUGCAGCUUGGCAAGGACAUGGUUACUAGUGCCCUCUCUUUCAUGUCACUUUCACAACAGCCUGGAGUCCAAGCCUUCUCCGUUGAUUGGUUUGGGCUUGUGUGGUUGGCCACAUGUGAAAGGAUAAUUAAAAAAAAGGUGAAAAGGAUAAACUAGCUAGUGACUCGUUCACAAAGCUGGAUAACCUGAAAAUAGAAUCACAAUCAUGCAUGAGUACAGAGUGUGGAAUUUUUUUUCCCAUACAGUGACACAUUUUGGAAUAGUGCUGCCAGUUUUUUGUAAUAGAAAUCUUGCUUUUUUUUUGUUAUAUGAUUGAACAGGAUUUUUAAAAGGACACAUCUGGUCCACGAUGUCUGUUCAGUAAACUAUCUGGGAUUUGGCGGAAACAAAAGGUGCACCGAUGUGUUAAAAUAAUUAUAGCCACUACGAAGUACAAACAAAGGUCAGCUCGAAUAUUUUACAUUACCAGCCUUCGACAUAUAUAAUUAAUGCCGACUGAAUCAUUUGUGUAAUCAAUCCAACAUCAGGAAAACAUUCAGAUAUAUGUUAGGCUAGCUGAUUAGAAUCAUCCCAUCAAACUGUCAUAAACUAAUCAUCCUGAAUUAAAUAUAUAUAGCAUGCACAUCAGUUACCUUCACGAAAUGCAACAAUACAAACCCUAUGGAUUACGUACUAGCUAGGAGCCUAGGACAAAGCAUCCUUGUGGUAUAUUAUAGUUUUUUUUAAUGAAAAGGAGAAAGAAGACUCCUUUCACUGGAUUUCUGGAUGGAAAUGGACACUUCCAAUGUACAAAAGCACAUAGGUUAAUGCAUCAAUGGUACAAGAUAAGCCUGAGAUUAACAUAGCUAUCAUUGCACUAAUCAGUGGUCCUGCCAAACAUGGAAGAGGUGGUGGUGGUCCUGUCCCGUACCCCAACAGCUCCAUAUGUACCUGCUACAGGGCAUAACAUAAUUGCUGGGUGGUGUAUCAGAUUUGUUUCAGUGUAGUGUAGUGGAGUCAAUCAGCUGAUGGAGUAUCUGAUCUGAUCUGCUGUGGACGCCUGGACCUAACCCUCCACCGGUUUCAGUGGUGGCGGCAUUGAUUAUUAGUGUACAUGUAGAAACAUUUGUCAUCCACAUGUAUUAUAAGACUGGCCCAUUUUUAUUGUUUUCAAGGCUUCAGCUGUCCAUCACUUAGUGAUGUUCUUUUCUACACAUUGAAUUAUACGGAAAAACAAUUUAUUUGUUUACCACCUUUUUUCCUUUAUUGAUUUAACUUAUUGAGAUUAAGUUAGAGUAAAUUAAAAAAAAAUAAGUGCAUAUCGAUCUUGCCAGAAUACUUCAUGGUUUUUACUAGAAGUUACUUUGAACUCUAUGAUUUAGUUUGAAAUUAGGCACCUAAUUCACCAUCCAUCCUCCAAUCUCUGGCGCUCAAGGGGCCUUGCACUAGUGAUAAUCUUUACAUAGUCCGCUUAUUAGGUUUUAUUCUCUCUCUCUGGCCGAUCAUUGGUUUGUGUUGUUUUGUGUUUUUCGAAUCUAAGAAUAGUUUGCAUCGCCUAUUACCAAUGUCUACUUUGACAUCAACCUUGACUCAUCAGCCUCAUCUUCGUCUUUGGUUUUGUGGUUUGGCAUGGCCUGUGACAUUUUAGUGAAUGUCUCCAUGCACCACUUCUACACAUCUUCAGAUGCAUGACUCAAACAAUUAGUUUGUCAUCCAGUCCACUUUCUGGAGCAUCUCAACCACAACUCCCACCAUACAUAACCCUAAGCACCACCCUAACGUGUUUAGUGCCCCUCAUAAGUAUUAACGGUCAGGAUGGCAGACUAGAUGGGGUUGAUAGUCUUUUCUAAAACUUAAUGCGUAGUGAAUAUCUAAAACAAAUUCAAAAUUGAACUUAUCGGUCUAAUCAAGACUACAACCCCUCUAUCUAUUACUUGCAUCUUGUAAAUAUCUUAGAUAAACAACUAAGGGUAUCGGACUAGGUAGAGCCCACCUAAAUAGUUGUCGGGCUAAACAGAGCUCACCUAAACAACUCUUGUUGGCAAGACCACACAAACCUACACAACUAGUAAUUAAUCAAUCAAGGAGCUCCUACACAUACUACUGAGAAAAAACACACAAAUCCUAAGCACACUAGCACUACUCAACUAGCAAAGCUAUACAAAAUAAAGUAGAGAGGUAAAUAACUUAACUACACAAAUUAAGUAAAUAUACUAAGAUACACAAGCUUAUUAGCACAAGAGAAAAACUAAUUUAUUGCACAAGUAAAGUAGUUACAAGAACAACAUUAAGCACUACUGCCUUGCAAUUUGACCACCCAGUGCCACUCAAUGCAACCGCUCAAUGCAACACACUAGAAAUCACUCUCAUGUGCUCGGGUAUGUUCUCAGUCAAUCAUACAUAAGUAUAGAGCCAAGGCUAAGCACAAAACUCGAGAAACACAUCACUAAGGUGCUCUCAUACCUCAAAUGGUUGGCCACCUCUCAACUUAUUGGAAUGAGACCAUUAUUGUUUUAGUUUAAGAGGACUUCUAAAAUAGACUUAAUAUAUUUGCUGCAAGAAGUUAUUUUGAAAAAAAAAAUGCAAUUACAACCGAUAAACAGCAUCAUGGACCAUGUGGUAUUUCCUUAGCAGUUAAGCAACAAAGGAACAUGUUUUUUACCAUGGUCUAGCCAUCCACGUGGGAUUAUUGCGGGAACACUCAAAUCUGGCCAGUUCGGCAGUUCCCAGCUCGAUCCCCAUCACUAUGAUCCAAAACCUGCAGUUCUGCGUCACUGCUGGUGUAGCUCAGCUGUAGGCCCUACCAAGUGCAGUGUCUGACUACUGAAUAGUGACCAUGUCAUUUUUUUUCCUGCGUUCAUAUCUAUAGCUGUUUCAUGCAGAAAGAAUACUAUGGAGAACAAAUAGAUCCUCUCAAGUUCUAGAGUAGAGAGAGAGAGACUGGGGCUCUGGGAGGGGAUAAGCAUCUGGAUUUUGGAGAAUGCUGUCACCAGAUCACAAAGGAAACAGCCUCUCCUGCUAGGUGGGCCUACCCCCCAGCUUGUCCUGCCAUCUAGGGAACACUGGUGAGAUGGUUCUGGUGAUAUUCUCUGGUGCUUUUGCUGGUACACAUCUUUCCUGUUACACUAUUUUUUUUAUUUUAUUUGAGAUGUUCAGGUACAAUUAAUGGAAACAGUGAGUGAGUGUCAGUACAUGCAAAAGAUUAGGAUGAAGGCAACAUUUGAAUGGAGGGAUCAAAGUAGAAAUUUAGGGAUGAAGAACCCACAAUUCAAGCCAAGCUGUGUCUACUGCCAUGAACUGUCUGUCAGUCACUAACAGAGAAUCUGCCCCUGAAUGCCUUGUUGUGUUUUGAUUUUGAUUUGUUGAAACAGUAUCGCCACUGUAGUCAGAGCGCAAAGGGGAGGGGGGACAAUGACACUGUCCACCGGGCCAAAUCAGUGGUCAAAAGUUUCACACACUUUGGAUGAGGAAAAGGGCCAGAUUUCAGACACACACACAGACACAGACCACUCUUUCGAAUAGGAGUAAGAUUCUGGCCAUGCCAUGGUGUGGCACGCCAUGAUUGGCAACCAACCAACCAGAAAAAAAAAAUCAUCGAAGCUUUCUCCCGUCCUGCUCCUGCUGAAUGCUGAUGCUGCCCAGCAGCAUGCAUCUCGCAGAUAGACGGCCACUAGACAGACAGACCCUGCUUUUCUUUCUUUCUUUCUUUCACCGUUUUGGCAUUCAGAAAGAAAAGGAGAGCCUGCCCUCAUCCAAACCAUACUGUUCAGUUUAGUAGCAGGAACAGAAAGAGGGGAGAAAAAAAAGCUACUAGAAAAUUUUCAGGGUACAACAACGUACUAGCUAGCUUGGCCAUGUUGCUGAGCUUUUUUUCAUGAUAACUCAUCAGGACAGGAAGGAAAGACACGGCAGGAGUCGAGCCAGCGAGCGAGCGAGGAGCAGGUUUUGUAAAGCUGUAAAGCAUUGCACUUUGCACUGCCAGUACUAGACACCAUUUUGCAACUCAAUCAUCAGAUUCAGAGUUGGGGAGAUCGAUCGAUCGAUCGACCGACCGACCCAUGCGCGUCUCCAAAGUGGCCAUGCACUUCACCAGAUUCGAUUCGGAGCUCAGGUAGGUAGGCAGGUGGAUGGAAAGGGCGAGGGGUAGUGUCAGAUGGUAAACAUUGCCCUCUCAAGAUCUGUCCUGCCCUGCCGAACUGAACAUGAACAUGAACUGCCUACUACCUGACCUGACCCAUCUGCAGUGACAUAAUAGAGUGAGCAGCCAGCCUCGCCUCCAACGCAUUCGCUCCACCAUGACAUGAGUGUGUCCUAGUACGCUGCAAAAUAGUUUCCAUUCAAGAUGCUUGCUAGCUAAGCGCAGCAGCAAGGCUGCCUACCGUGUGCCGCUUCUCUGGUGUUUCUUCAUCGUCUUAAUCGUGGUCAUAGGAGCAACAUCCACAUGGCAGCUCUCUGUUUGACACUAAAUUACCAUACACUAAUCACCGGCGUUCGUCGCAGCUAGCGAGCACAAAGGAAGAAGGCGAACAAGAAGAACCGCAAGAGAAAAGACUAAAUACGCCUCCUAGUGGCAAUGGCAACACCUAGGAUUGCCACGCCAAGCUAGACCCAGCAGAAGAAGAAGAAGAAAAAAACUAAAAGCUAGCUCUAGGCGGGGCGGACGCGCUUGUGGCCGGCGCCGGCGCCGGCGCGGCCGUUAUUGCCGGUGCCGGAGGAGUCGCCCUCGGAGGACGCGUGGUCCAUGGUGCGCGCGAAGGAGGCGGAGAGGUCGGCGUAGAGGCCGACGACGCGGCGGAUGUUGUUGUUGAGCUCGCGGAUGAGGCCGACGUUGCGGGUGAGGUUGUCGGGCGCGCGGGACUCGUGGUUCUGGUUGAUCUCGCUGAUGAGCAUCCGGUUCUGGUCCAGCAGGCUCUGCACCUGCACGAAGCUCCUGUGGAACGUGUGGAUCAGCUUCCCGUCCACCACCUGCCCGCUGCCGCCGCCGCCGCCGCCGCCGCCGUUGGCCAUGGCGCCGCCGGAGAAGCUGUCGCCUUCCAUGGCCCUCCUCCUCUGCUCCCGCUCCCGCUCCCGCUCCCGCUCGCUCUCUCUAUCUCCUCUCCUCACCGGCUCAGCUGGGGUACUGGUACUGGUACUGGCUGCAGAAUAAACCAAGCGCGCAGGAUGCACUACAGCCCUGGACUGAACAAACACGAAACAAAGACAAACAAGCCAUUGGUUUAGCUGGGUGCAGAAAGAUUUGAACUUGAGGGCGAGCUGUGAUUGAACCAAAGGUUAGGUUUUGAUGGCAAACAUAAAGGCUCGUUGUUCAGCUGGUACAUCCAGUACAAAUGUACAACAACAAAAAAAAGGGGAUACCUCUCACCUAGUAGGAAUAUCUCGGUAGCCAAUCCUUCCUUCCUAUGAAGAGAGAAGAAUCCAAGCGAGCACCGGGGACAAGAGAGCGUAGCGCGGUUGGAAGAAGAAGAAGAAGCUGGGAAGAUGCUGACAAGCAAUUCGGACGGCUAAAUAGGAGGUGAGGUGAGGAGGAAGAAGAGGAGGAGGAGGAAAGGGAAAGCAACAUGAAAAGGGGACGGGCGCAGGCAGGAGCAGGAGCAGGAUUCUAUAGGGCCGGCCGGCUCACCACCCCCCACAAAUGUUAUCCCUGCAGAAAAUGAAACCUUUGGAAUUAAACAAGGGCAAAGCGGGACGGAUGCCGAGGAUGAUAGAGAGGAGAGGGGGAUGGAAUGGAAUCUAUCGGGAAGUGUUCGCGGGGACAGAGGCGCCUAGCAAAAGAGGGGGGCCACCGGGCCGGACCGGACCCCUCCUGCCUGCCUCUCACUGACCCCUCGCCUGUGUGAUGCUGAGGUGAAAUCAUGGCACGUGGCCCACCCUUCUUAUUCUCUCUCUCUCGGUCUCUCUGCUGCUCGCAUAAACACAUGUUUCUAGUGCUAUUAACAAAUAACACGAUGUUUGGUUAUUGUGAAGACUUCUUCAAUCUAAAACAUAUGCAAUAUAACAAAUUGUUAAGGUUGGUUUCACGGUGGUCGGUACCACUCGCUGACGUGGUGGCACGGACGGUCGGCAUCGAUCGACGUACCUCUAUCGACAGUCGGUUCGUCCUGUCAAUCAGUGGGUCUAGUCGGUACCGACCGCGUUGGAAUCGGUACCGAUUGUCUCUUGCUAACCUGGUAACUUCUGAUUGGUUGACGUCAUUUUAACCGUUUAAAGUUUAAAAAAAUCCAAAAAAAUUGAAUCCACACUAUAAAAUGAUAGGAUGGUGUUUGGGUUCGUCCACACACACCCCGGCUAACUCUCUAGUUCAGUUGCCUUCGCCUCUAUUUGUAGCCUCUCACUAUCUAUUUCAAUGUGGAUUCUAUAUGAAGUUCGAACUUCGAUACGUUCACCGACCUACUCGAUUAGUAAUCUCCACAACGUCACGAGAUCUCUGUUAAUGUGGGACAUGUCUUUUUUUAAUGGUCUUUCUCCCGUCCUUCAUCAGUAGGAGGAUGUUUCUGCUUGUACCCAUUAUAUGGGUUCGCAACCUCUAUUUCAAUAAUCAUAUUUUCCUCCUCUGUAUCCAUACCGGCCAUUCAUUGAUGCUCCUCCUAUCACCAACAGUUCUCCUUCUACCAUAAAGCUCCUGACAUUGACACUCCUCUUCCUUAACCUUUUGCUUAUCCGUACACAUAUGGGUAUCCAUAUGAUGCUCCUCCUACCACCAACAGUUCUCCUUCUACCACUAAAGCUCUAACACUGACACUCCUCCUCCUUAACCUUUUGCUUAUCCGUACUCGUAUGGGUAUCCAUAUGAUGCUCCUCUUACCACCACCAACUCUCCUUCUACCACUAAAGCUCCCUGGACUAACACUCCUCCUUAACCUUUUGCUUAUCUGUACUCGGUAUGGGUAUCUAUAUGCUCCUCCUCCUUAUGGAUUAUAUGGUGCUACUCCUCCAUAUGGUGCCUCUCAUCCGUUCUCUCCCCCAUUUGGUGCUCCUCCCCUAUAUAGUGCUUGUCCAUUUCAUCCUCCUGCAGGCAUAAUAGUGCCCUAAGCAGCCUCAACGAUGCAGACUCUCUCGGGCUCUCCUGAUGCAAAAGUUGGGGCUAUCGACCCUCUCUCUUUACAAUGAUGAAACUAACUUCGAUGAUUGAUGGAGAAAAUCGGUUGGGAUGGUUCAUAAUGACCUUAAAGCUGGUUUCAAUUCAUUAUUGGUGUUAGGUUCUUGGUGUAUUUGGCACCACCGUAAUGACAUGUUUUUUAACAGUGUACGACAUAGUAUCUCCAUGGCCUCAUGGUGGCUGAAGAUGAUUUUAGGUUGUGGUGUCUAGCUGGAGCAAAGGGUCCGUCCUUGGUCUCAGCUUAUGUGCUCGACCUAGAUUGAGGUGUUCUUGGGGCUAUGGCUUGUGUGUUGUGUGAGGGUUGAGUGUGGGGGGCUAUGGUUGCCAUUUUGCAGUGUGCUCUUCUUACUCUUUUCUCUCUUUAAUGAAAUGAUAAGCAACUCUCCUACGUGUUUGAAAAAUGUGAUGCAGCCUCGAACCAGUCCAUGUACUAUAGUGCUACUUGAUUCCAAUGGCGAAGGGAUUGCACAAAUACGGGGGACAGAAGUCAGGUAAGUAAACAUAUAUUUUUAUAAAUUCGACAUAAUUUUUAGGUCGACAAUAGUUUUUUCGAGUUCAUAAAUUUAUAGGUCCACAUAUAGCUACUCCACUCCAUGGAUAGCAUUGAGGCCAGUGACAAGAAGAGAUAUGUCUUCUAGAGUUCUAGGGCCAAAUAACCGGUAUAUACGUACUACAUACAACUUCACCGUAGAACCUCCUCGCCGUCAUAUCCCCAAAGUAGUCGAAGAUUAUAUUGGUGGUCGAUAAGUUUUGCUGGAUCGCUGCUCCAUCAUCGUCGAUAUCAUGGAAAGGGAAGAUUCUUCACGAUGAAAUGACUCCGAGGAAAACGAGGGAAGGAAGGAUGGGUGUUUCUUUUUUAUUUGUAAUUUUUUGAAGAAAUAGCUAGCUCCGAUCGUCAAGAAAUGGUAUAGUUAUUUAAAAGUACAAAGUGAGUAAUGUAGUACGCAUCGAGAGAGACGACGCGAGGAAUGAAGACGACAGGCCGGGGAGUUUUGUAAUGGGGGCAAAAAGCUGUCCCCGCGGCCGGUUCUACUCUAUACACACAGAGAUGGGCCUCCCUAUGCAAGUUGCUUUCUCUGGCCACAUUUGCACGCAGCGGAAACUAUAGAUGUUAACUAAUCGCCCCAUAAUCCAACUCUGCCAGCUUCGCUUUUGUGCUGUGUGUGCUGUGGGAGAAGAGAAGAUGCCAAGAACCGGAGCUGAAGCAGCUAGCGCCCCGCCCGUCCGUAAACAAAUCUGGCGGUUUUGUCGCCUCUGCGUGCGAACGAUUUUAUAAUAAUUGUAAUCGCCGGCACUCAGAUGGGUCCGCAACUCCGCAGCGCAAAAUCAGAUGGCGUUUGGGGGAUUGGAUUUGAACCAUGCAUGCCAUCCCCUUCGUUUCCAGCGACGCGUACAGCAUUCAGGUGUGUGUAGCAUAAAAGAAUGAGAACGACUCGAGGACGACGACCGCGGCCUUCUCCGAUCCACCGGGCCCCGCCGGCCACCAAUGAGAUCUAUAGAGCGACGCGACGGCGGGCAUGACGCUAGCUGCUCGACCAACAACAACAAGGUCGUCGGCGGGGCAUGCUUGUUGAUGCUUCUUCCACUCCCCUGCAUCUCAUGAGUCAUGAGAAACUAGCUUCGGCCUUAAUCGGUCGGGCAUUGUCAGUUGGGCUUGUCUACAGGGCCUUGGGCGCAGUGUCGGUUUCCUAACGAGGCCCUUUCAAGCCCGGCCCGACAGUGCAUGCGGCCAGCUCUCUGGCUCCUUCCGUCCUGCGCUGCGCUGCGCUGGAAUGGAUAGGGUGUCUCGCAGCUCCAGACGGCCACGUCGGCCAGCCGUCGGCCACUCGCUUCGACUGGCAGGCUCCUACCCUUGCAGACAAAAAACGCAAACACGAGGACGAGGACGAAGGUUCGUUCAGUUCAAGACCAGACGAGGAGGAAGAGAGGCGCGCAAGCGGUCCGGUCUCAUGGCGCCCUUCCCCGCCCUCCGCUCAUCGUCGCCGGUGGCCGCCGCCGCGGCGCCGUCGCUCGGUCGCGUGUCCGGCCACGGUACGUAUCGGCAGCUCGGCUCUCUGCGCUCGAAUCCAUCUCGGUAGUUGUAUACGUACGCGGCAGCGUGGAUGUGAAUCUAAGCUGCAGAAUUUAUUCAGUUCAGGCGUUCUGUCUAUGUCUUAUAUUCACUUGUGAGUGAGUGAGUUCCGUCGUCGAAACUCGAAACGCAGCAUCUGCGGCGCCCAGCAAGAGGCGCGUCGUCUCCUGCAGGGCCGUCAGCAGCAGGUCGCUGUCCAUCAUCAGGUGCGAGCAGAGCGCGAAGAAGGGCGGCGGGCCGGACACAUGGCUGGGCCGCGCGGCCAUGGUCGGCUUCGCCUCCGCGAUCGCCGUCGAGGUGGCCACCGGCAAGGGCUUCCUUCAGGUAGGACCGUACGUAACAUCGACAGAAGCGAGGAACGAACGCGUGUGUAACAACAUAUAACAAGAGUUUGUUGUGGGUGGCGUGCAGAACUUGGGCGUGGGUACUCCGGCGCCGACGCUGGCGCUGGCCGUGUCGGGGCUCGUCGUCGGCCUCGCCGUCUUCUUCCUGCUGCAGUCGGGAGGAGGCACGCGAGACUGACGACUGAUGGAACCCAUGAGCUGAGCUGAGCACGCGUCGAACAUCGUCUCCCCACUCGACAUCAGUCGUUGCUGUAAUGGUUGGUGAAGCGAAGAUGAAAACCCAGGACAUAUAUCAGCAUCAUGUCAUGUGUAACAAAGACGACAACUCUCAUGUGUUGGUGUUGUCUGCUGCUGUUGUACGACAUCCGCCGCUCGCUUGUACGACCGUACUGCACUUCAUCUGCCGGCCGGGCGAGCACAGCCGUUCUUUAAUAACAUGACGGGCGCAUGCACACGCCAGCUGACUCUUCAUGUCGAUUGCGUCCAGACAAUUUUGUUAGGACUGGUUUGUUAUUAGGAGCAGACCUGCCGUUUCCAUGUGCUUGCUUCACGGAGCACGGCAGCUCUGUAAACGGCAGACUCGACGUAGCUUGCACGCACAGGGGUUUUCAGCUAAAAAAUCCUCUAGCGACAGUUCAUUGGUUGCCCAGUUCACCGACUGCCUUUAUAAACAGGGAGCUCGAGCUCGAGUGGUAGCAGCACAGGCACAAGUGCGGUGCCAUAAGUGACAGCCACCUCAGUCUCUGUCUGUGGAGCUCUCUCUCGCGCGCGUUGCCAUCUCGCAGGUUCUUCAUCUCGUCGCUCUGUUCAGGUUCAUCGGCUGGCGUUAGCGUUUGUUCUCUCUCAUACGACUAUUUCAUGCGUCCUCUGCUGCAUCUCUUCGAUUCAUCCGUAGUAUCUUCUUUUUACAGCUAGUUUGGGAACCCAUUUUCUUAACAAUUCUAUUUUUUUUCAAAAAAAUGAACUAAUUUUCUUUAAUAAAAUAAAAGGUUUCUAAACUAGUCCUUAAGUAAAAAAAAGGGGCGGUCCCGAGCAAAGUCAAACGGUCCCGAGCAAGCAAGAAACCGUGUCGUCGAUUCUCUUUUCUCUCUGGCUUUCCGUGGCAGCAAGAAGAAGGGAUCAAAGGACCGGACCCGUCCGUCCGUCCGGCCGGCCUCCUGAUCGCGUCGCGCGCGCCCCUCGAAAAGCCACACCCCGCCGUCUGACCUCGUGGUGACCGGUCCCGCAGGCGGCGACAGGAGAUGGACGGGGAGCAGGCGGCGCGGUGGGCGGCGGCGCAGGAGGGGGUUCCCGUCGGGGCGGACCUUGUCGCGGCGGCGCUGCGGCAGCUGCGCUUCCUCGCGGCGGUGGACCGCCGCCGGUGGCUCUACGACGAGGGCCCGCUGCUCGACCGGGCCAUACGCAGGUACGGAUGAUUGGUUGCGGGGGGAAAAACAAACAAACAAGCAAACAAAAGGUUUCUUUGUUUUGAGCGAGGGACUUCUUUUUUAAUGCUUUGCUUCUUCAUGGUUGGUCAUCGACUGUCCAUUGCAAGUUCCUCUUUAAUUCUGUAGAGCAACCAUCUUGAUCUUGAUGGAAGUCAAUAUAGAAUAAAUAUCUAGUUGGAAAGUAAGGGGUGGAGGUGCCUGGACUUCAGCUUUCGGUGCAGAAUUCAGCACAGAGCUAGGACCAACUGUACAAAGGCUCAGGAAAAAAAAUGCCAUCUGAUUCAUGUCCUGAGAUAUAAUACCCAUUGUUUUGUUGCUAUAUUCUAGGUACAAAGCAUGCUGGCUUCCGCUUCUUGACAAGCACACUAAGGGUGUGGUUGUAGAUGGUCCAUUGGUUGUUCCUCUUGAUUGUGAGUGGAUAUGGCACUGCCAUCGCCUUAACCCGGUACACACCCUACUCACCAUGAUCAUCUGUAAUUCACGUACCCUUGGGUGUGUUACGAAUGAUCUCAACGCUGAAUCAGACAGCCAACUGCAUGGUUUUUACUGAUACAUAUGAUGACUAUAUUUGGAAAUGAUCUAUAAGCAUCUUGUAUGCAUGUACCCUUGUUGAUGAUGCUAUUCAGAGAACCGAGGGACCUGAUUAUUCGAGCACAUAUCUUUCAGGUUCAGUACAUAAGGGACUGCAAGAAAGUGUAUGGCAGAAUACUGAACAAUAACAACGUUGAGUCGUCCACUCAAACAAAGUCGACACUUGAGUCAGAAAAAGUUUGGAAAGAGCUGUAUCCUGAGGAGCCCUUCGAAUUGUUGUUCACAAGAACCUUUGACACUGCCGUGGAUGUCAACCCUGCAGGUGCAGAGGAGGACAUUACCUAUGAUCUGGUCUCGGCUGUUAAGAGACAAUCCUCUUUCUAUUAUCAGGUGCUUGCACAUUCUUCGCUCCAGUAUAUAUGCUACAUAAAAUACCUAUGUGAUACAAGAUUACCGGUUGACUUAUAAACAGUACAUUUCACUAUUUUAGUUAAUACUUCAUAUCAUUAUACAAUGAAAAGGCAACCAUAUUUUUGGACAAUACACUACAUAUGUUCACCAAUAUUAAUUGACAUAAUUAGUGCAGGUGGCAUCUAUUGAUUUUUCUCUCCUUUAGUGGUCCUUACAAUAGAUACAAUUAUACGUACAGAAAAUAACAAAGUUUCACUUCUUUCUGACAGGUUGGAACACCAACAAUGCAUGAUCCACGGUUUCUCCAAGAAGCUCUAGCUCGAUACAAGGCGUUUCUUUACCUGAUCAAGAUGAAUCAAGAAAAAGGAUUGCAGCGCUUCCGUGUACCAACCUAUGAUGUGGAUCUGUUGUGGCACACUCACCAGCUGCAUCCUAUUACCUACCGCAACGACAUGGUGAAGCUUCUUGGAAAAGUUCUGGAGCAUGAUGACACCGAUGCUGAUCGAUCUGAAGGGAAGAAACUCGAUGUUGGAUUUACCGAGACUACUGAACAGUUCGAGAGUACCUUUGGUGUAAGAUACUGGAAGGCUGGAUGUAUGUACCGUGGCAACGUGCCAUCUCCUGUGACAUCCACUCCUCAGACAUUCAGUGCUGAGGUUGGUACUGGGUCUUACAUCUGCAAAGCCCAGAAAGAUCUUAAUGCCCUUGAUGUAACAGUUGUAGAGGUAUGAUUCUCUCUUCUUUAUGUAACAAUUAUUGCAAAGUAAAUAUUCUAGCUUGAAAGAUCUGAACUGAUAAUAUGAUCAAAAUGUUGCAUGCCAUACUAUACUCAUGAGUGAUGACUAUUAUAAACAGCUGUUUCUGGAUACAUAACUGAUAUGAUAAUUCCGUAAACUCUGAAGCAAGCAAUUCUUCUGCCAAGGUGUCUGUACUAAAUUAAGACUUGAACAUCUCUAUCCUUUGCAGUUAUAUUUACAAAUUGUAGACAUCAAGAAUUUACCAUCUGCUGUUCAAAAAGAAAAUGUGUAUGUACGGUUCGCCAAGAAUCAAUCAGAUAUGUUCAUCAGUGACGGCGGCAGGUUGGAUAUCUCAACAGUUACAGGGAAGAACACCGGAGUUUGUUUACAGUGUGAACCUACCGGAGAACUCAUUCUUGCAGUAAUGGUUGAUCAAUUAUCAAAGAAACCAGAACCGAUAGGGAAGGUUUCUUUCCCACUGCACGAUUUGACAGGGCCUGAUUCUAAGCUCUCCUUCGAGAAGUGGUUUGAACUGAAAGCUCAUGGUGGGCAUGCCGCUUCACCUCCUGUUAGUCUUCGUGUUGCAGCUUCUGCUACUGUCCCAAGCAGCGCUCAGAAGGUGUUCACCAUGGUCAGGAUGGAGCCAUUCUCUCUCAAGUCAUGUCUUUUGCCACAUUCCAUCAAGGAUCAGAACACGGGCAGCUGGACUCGUUUCGUAAAUGAUUGUGGUACCGAGCUUAUCCGUCUCCAGAUAAGGUAAUUUUCUUGAAUUAAUGAAAUGCAUGGAUACUUUAUCUGCAACUGAACAGAUUGGUAGAACUGUAAGUUUGCAAUGUGUUUCAAAUACAAAGUUCAUUUCACUAGUGGAAGGACUUUAGCUACUGGUAUAUAGAACAGUAUGUCUUUAUUCACACCCCACAUUUCAAAUCCCAGGUCAUGCAGGUUGAGAAAUGUUUAUGUUCCUGUAAAGGUUAACAGUUUGUCAAUUAAUGCUAAUCUGAAUCAUGACUCCACUCUAUCUCAGAGAGCACAAGGCGAAGAAUAGCAUGGCCGUCGUUCGAGAAUUGGUUGGAGUAUUGAAGUCAACAAAAAAGCAAAUUCAACUUGCAGAAUUCAAGGAAAACAAGUGGACCCUAAAAGACUCCAACUUGCCAAUAAGUCAUGGCACUGAUGGCAGUCUACUCGAUCUCAAAGGUGACAACCAUCUGGUGAGCACACAUAUUCAAGCUCAGUUCACUGUAAUAACCACUGGCUAGUAUUCAUGUAACAAGCUCAAAUUUUUUGUACGUGUUUGAACAAACCAGAUCAAGCUUUAUCGGGGAAGGAAACUGGAAUACGAGCGCAAAUGUUGCAGCGCUCACUCUGAGGACGUAUCAGCUGUUACUGCUGUAAAGUUCUGUGCUGAACAUCCAUAUGGCAAAGCCGUUGCCUUGCUAGACACUGAAGCUCAGCUUAUCAUGGUACACUUCUAUCAGUCGUACCAUUUCGAAACCUGAAUUUUCUUCUUUUUUUUUGCACUAACAUAACUGUGAUCAUCAUUCUUAUAUAGGUGAACGAGGAUUGGCUCCUACUUCCAUGGAUCUCCAUAUCAGUCCUGUUUAUGGACGGCGAUGGCGGUACGAAACUUGGCGGCGGUGCCAUGGUUCAGAAAGGUACAGUGUUUGGAUCCGACACUAGCAUGGUGCUAGAGACACAGACCGUCGGAGCAGGGAGCGUGGCAUCCAAUCUAGCACAAUGUGGCACUUGCAGCGCCGUGUUCGGUGGUGAUGAUAAAGAAAUGGCGAACUGCAAGGUUGAGCAUGCGAGCUCUGGCGCUUCUCGCACGGUUGUUGCAAGUGGUGAGAAUGGGCACACUGAGACUGCUGGCUGUGGAGGCGGCUGUGGUAGCAAUUGUGGACCCAUGAUGGCUGAAGACCCCAAGGCCGGCAAUGCCAAGUCCGGAGGCUGUGGUUCGGGGUGUGGUGGUGGCUGCGGUGGCGCGGGAGGUUGUGGGACCAUGGCCAACGAAGGCCAAUCCAGGUCCGGAGGUGUUGGCACCUUGUUGAGCUCCAACGCCAUGGGUGGUGAGGGCCAGCAGGCCCAUUCAGCUGGCUGUGGCUCCGGCUGUGGUGGUGGCUGCGGCAGCGGCAUGGUCAUCGAAGGCUCCAAGGUUAACAACGUUAACGCCAUGUCCGGCGGCUGUGGCUCUGGUUGUGGUGGUGGUUGCGGCAGUGGCAUGGUCAUCGAAGGCUCCAAGGCCAACAACGCCAUGUCCGGUGGCUGUGGCUCUGGUUGCGGUGGUGGAUGCGGCAGCGGCAUGCUCAUCGAAGGCUCCAAGGCCAACAAAGCCAUGUCCGGCGGCUGUGGCUCUGGUUGUGGUGGUGGUUGCGGCAGCGGCAUGGUCAUCGAAUGCUCCAAGGCCAACAACACCAUGUCCGGCGGCUGUGGCUCUGGUUGCGGUGGUGGUUGCGGCAGUGGCAUGGUCAUCGAAGGCUCCAAGGCCAACAACGCCAUGUCCGGCGGCUGUGGCUCUGGUUGUGGUGGUGGUUGCGGCAGUGGCAUGGUCAACGAAGGCUCCAAGGCCGCCAACACCAUGUCCGGCGGCUGUGGCUCCGGUUGCGGUGGUGGUUGCGGUGCCCUGUUCAACGCUAGCACUGCUGCCGGAGAGGGCCUGCACAAUAAGUCGGCUGGGUGCGGCGGCGGCGGGUGCGGCUCCGGGUGCGGCGGUGGCGGCGGCUGUGGUAGCGGCAUGGCUAUCGAAGGCUUCAAGGCCAACCACGCCAAGUCUGGUGGCUGCGGCUCUGGCUGCGGUGGUGGUGGCUGCGGCACCCUGUUCAGCUCCAGCGCUGCGGCCAGCCAAGGCCAGUCCAGAUCCGGCGGCUGCGGCUCUGGCUGCGGUGGUGGAGGCUGUGGCACUGGCAGCAUGGUCGCUGAAGGCUCCAACGGCGGGAACGCCAAGUCCGGCGGCUGUGGCGGCGGUUGCGGUGGCGGAGGUGGCUGCGGCGGCGGAGGCUGUGGCGGGGGUUGCGGCGCCGUGUUCAACGCAUGAUCUCGGUGGAGUGGAGGCAUUUGUGCAGACAUGCAGUCGUCGUCGUCUACUGCUAGAUACCACAUGCUACAGCAUACUGUGUAUUGCUGUGCAUAAUCUACUAAAUAAAAGGAAUGAAUAAACAAUGGAUGGAUCGGCUGCCUCCGUGGCGUUUCUGCAAACGAAAAAUCUCGGUGUUGUUGGGUGCAGGGAUGAGGAUGAAAACGAUUUCAAACGGUCCGAAACGAUAUCGUCUAUUUAACGGUUGGUUAAGAAAUUACCUGAUUUAUGAAUUAAUUAAUUUAUUAAUGAAUUUCAUAUUAAUAGAUAUUUAAAAUUUAAUUUUUAAAUGCGAUAAUUUUAAUAUAGUCACGAGACCGGGUUAUGGAAUUUUCGGUUAUGGUUUUUCGGCCUUCCUUUACUGAUUUAUGGCAGCUUUUAACUCUGAAAACCAAACAUUCUCAGCGUAGAAUAGAAGGGUUCGGAGCUUGUGUGUCAGGUGCGGCCAUUCAAAAAAAAUCUGAAUUCAUUUCUCAAUGUGUUUGGUCGAGGACGGAUGUCGGCUGGCGACCGAUGACGGCCACCAGAGUCGACGGUGAGGCUCUCGUCGCCUUUUUCUUGAUGGCGUCAUCAUGCCUGUUGAGACGGCGCUUUCAAGGCGGCGAUGCGCCUCGUCAGGCACUUCUUCCACCUUGCUCCUAGUGGAGCGUGAGUCGCGUGCCCAUGGUGACGGUCAUGUCGUGGGUGGCGAGGCGGAGAUCACCGAUGGUGGUGGUGAAGAAGACAAGAAGUCGAGGGUGUCGAACAUGAUAUGGCUCCCCAACGCGAAGGUUUCGCCAUUGGCGAAUGUUGAUGCGCAUGCUAUCAGAGUGAUGGGUGUCUUUUGGCACGCUAAAAGCCCCCCUACCUGGCGCACUAACUGUUGUGGUUUCGGAAACCAGGGGCAUUAAGAUUUGGGUUCGGUAAGGGGACUAGCGCGGGCUCACUCCAAAUGGUGAAUCACAGGGACUCGAGCGUGGAUUUAUGAUAGUGGGUUUAUACUGGUUCAGGCUUACGCCCCUAGUCCAGUAUAGCGUUGAUUGUUGUAUUGCUUUGGAGCGUAUUACAGUAGUUGUGCUUGUGUGUUUAGCAAAAGAGGCGGUCCUUCCCUUUUAUAGUUCAAGGGCUGGACUCUACAAUGGGGACUUGUAUUCUACUGGGAGGAGCUCGACCGGUGGCCCUUGUGCAGCGUGGUUCCUCUGAUGCUCUCGGUAGGGUCGUGCAUAGCCGUAUUCCCAUCAUGGCGUACUGUUGCGUCCGCUCGUCGUACGAGUUUCUUUUGUCGGUCUUCCGUUGACAUCCUCGUGGUAGUGCACGAAGGGUCCAACAAGACAGUCGAAUGGAGUAGUCGUGCGUCGUGCGGUCUCGCCUGUCGUCACGAGUCUACGUCACUCGUUGGCAUGCAUACGCAUACACCAGGUAUGGUGUACCCGCUGCGCACUACCCGAUAUUCGGGUCACUGUAGAAGCGCUGAUGCUGAGGUACUUUACGAAUAGGAUCGUCCGACCCCUCGAGGCUGUGGGAGCGCAUCUGGGCUGUAAUCAAGGAGAUGCAGUCAUGUCGAUAGUGGUCGUGCAUGCGGCUUCCCGUUCGGACGACUGGCCAUGGCCCGAGAUGCCAUGUCUUGUCUUAGUUGGCGUGGACUUUGUGGCGUUUGACUUGAGGUUCCAUCUUGUUCUCUUUCUUGGUUGGGACCUAGUGGUCAUUCCGCCUCACAGACUUGCUUGGUAGGGACCUAGUCGGCCGCUCAGCUUCGCGGACUUGCUCGGUAGGGAACUGGUCGGCCGCUUCGCCUCACAGUCUUACCCGGUAGGGAUCUGAUCGGUCGCUCCACCUCGCGGACUUGCUCGGUGGGGAUCUGGUCGGUCGCUCCGCCUCGCGGACUUGCUCGGUAGGGACCCAGUCGACCGCUCUGCCUCAUAGUCUUGCUCGACAGGGACCUGAUCGGUCGUUCCGUCUCGCAGUCUUGCUUGACAGGGAUCUGAACGGUCGCAUCGUCUCACGGGCUUGCUUGGCAGGGACAUGAUCGGUCGCUUCGCCUUGCCUUGCGAACUUGCUCGGUGGAGAUCUGGUCGGUCGCUCCAUCUCGCGGUCCUGUUUGGCAGGGAGACUUUGGUCGGCAAUAAGGUUUUAUAGGCCUUAUUUUGGGUACCCUGUUCUUAAGUAUCCGACAAAAAUGAAUUGGUUCUAACCUGAAAGGUACCCACUGGUAGCCCUAAUGAUAAUUAUAGUCGGUGUAGGGGCAAGUUGUGCUAGUGGUCAAGAGGGGAAGCGAAAUGGUCUUUUAUCCCCAUGAUGAUUUCAGUCGGUAGGAGCAAACGAGUUGUGCGACUAUACAGACAACACCUUAUUGGUUCUAAUUCGUGCUACAACAAUAACAAAAGUUGAUACUAUCUACUAGACAUAUUGUAUAUAUGCAAACCAUCUAUUUUUAAAAUAGAGUAUAAAUGGCUUUGAUACCGCUGAAGGGAAAUGAGUACGGUUAUGCACUUAUAUAUCUAUCAUGUUCAACCAAAAUAACAUGCCAGUAGAGGAUUAUGGAUCGCUGCCACUAGAUCUAUUCAUUUUAGUACGAAAAUAGAUAGAAAUAGGACCUAAUUCUAAUUUAAUAUUUAAAUCUUAGUGUAAAAUUUAGAAACUAUUAUCACCAUAUACACAAUGCAUCACUUCCCGCGGCGCUUUCCCUUAUAUAUGCGUGCUCGCAUGAUCAGUCCAUGAGUCGCGUCGAUCGUUUUGCGUCGCGUCGAUCCACCUCCACUCGGGGCGGAUAUGGCGGCGAGGCGAGGUACCCGUGCCGCGUGUGGCAUGCCCGUGCGUCAAAGGACGACACGUCCGGUACCCGCGCCGCGCGCCCAUUGAAUUCACUGCCCAUCCGUGAUCCGUACUGAAGGCACCGGUUCCGAGACCGACGCCAUGCCUGCCUGCGGUACCGACGAAGGAGAAGGACGACGACCACUGGUCCCAGAGCAGAGCUGCAGCAUGCAUGCAUGGUGAGUAACGUGGACAAUUUGCAGCGGCUGUUGGUUCUUGUAAAUUAACGGACGAAAAUUAUCUAAUUUGGUUGACAAUUAGCUGAUUUCAGUCGAAAGUCAGCUAUCGAACAAAAAAUAUCAGGGUCAACCGCCGUCUUACACGCGGAAGACGACAAAGAAGACUAGAUGAUUUCCUAGUUUCCGUCGGCUUUACCUGACCGAGGACCAGGAUAAUUUUCGUCGAUUAUCCUGCUUAAUUAGUUUUCAUCGACUGACGAUAUAGCCGAUGAUGGAAAUUAACCUCUCGAUACCAAAUAUAUCCACAAAACAAAUAUAACAUAUAUAGAUCAUUCACAUCACAUAAAUCAUCCAUACCACGAAUAUGCAUCACAUACAUCAUCCACAUCAUAUAGGUAAGCCUCAAAGUAUUAUCGGUUCUUCAAGUCCUAACAGGCUAGCUGGGAAAAAAAUACUUUUUUUUUUGAAAGGGAAGGAUUUUUAUUCAUUCAAGAACAGUACAUCGAGAUAAUACAAAUCCUUAAAAGUCAUUUCCGGCCUCUGCCCAUAAGAGCACACAGCCCGGGAAAAAAAUACUACAAGUAUCAACAUCGAUACAUACAAUCACUCUGAACCUUAUAUUCAUCGCGGAUGGUUUGAGUUAUCACCGCUGCCUAGAGUCAGGGGCGGGCCCAUGUAAAAGCAAGGGUAUUCAAUUGGUACCCAUUAUUUUUUGGCAACAAAAUUUAUGUAUAUGUAUAUAUAUUAUAUAUAUGCACUGAAAUAUUGUAAAACAUAAAUAACACCAUUUUACAGCUAUUUGGUCCAAACUUCGCUUUUUGCUGGUCAUUUUCAUUUCCCUGUCGUGCGACUAGGGAUAACAAUCGUGUGGUUGAGACACAAGUAUAUGGUUUAAAAAUCCAUAACUACGAGACAAAAUUCAAUCCUUACCUAUACUCAUAUACAUUCGUAGGUAUAGAUUUGUACUCAUGUCAGAUACCCAUCGGAUAACAGUUAUGGAUAUGGUAUAUCCAUACCCAUACAAAAAAUUUACCAAUAGAUACCUUAUUAUAUUCAUACUCAUAUAUGUGAAUAACAAAUUUAGGCUGUUAAAAAAAUAUGUCCACUAAAAUUCCGAAUACCCAUCGUCCAAAUCCUAAGCCCGCCCCUGCCUAGAGUGUAGUUGAUAAAUGAGUUAGGCCCAUCGGUGUUGACAUCUCUAGGUGAUGCUAGAGUUAUGAAGGAGGAGUCUAAAAAGCUCUACAUGUUACAAUUAGAUUGCACUGACUACAGUUAGCUAGAGCUUAGCUAUAAAAAUUGACUAAGAUUUAGCUAGAAUCUAAGCUAGUUUGACUAAUUUCCGCUAAUAACUAAGGUUUGCUAUAACUGACCUAGCUACUAGAGUGUUAUUUUUUUUUCUACAAUCUCUACUACUUAUUAAGACUGCAAGAGUAGUCGGUCAUUCCGUGUUCUGCCACCAUUCUCAUUGAAAGUCGCCUAGAGGGGGGUGAAUAGGGCGAAUCUGAAUUUAUAAACUUAAGCACAACUACAAGCCGGGUUAGCGUUAGAAAUAGAAACAAGUCCGAGAGAGAGGGCGCAAAACAAAUCGUGAGCAAAUAAAGAGCGAGACACGAUGAUUUGUUUUACCGAGGUUCGGUUCUUGCAAACCUACUCCCCGUUGAGGUGGUCACGAAGACCGGGUCUCUUUCAACCCUUUCCCUCUCUCAAACGGUCACCUAGACCGAGUGAGCUUCUCUUCUCAAUCAAAUGGAACACGAAGUUCCUGCAAGGACCACCACACGAUUGGUGUCUCUUGCCGCAAUUACAAGUGAGUUUGAUCUCAAGAAAGAAUGAGAAAGAAAAGAAGCAAUCCAAGCGCAAGAGCUCAAAUGAACACAACAAAUCUCUCUCUCUAAUUACUAAAGCUUUGUGUGGAGUUGGGAGAGGAUUUGAUCUCUUUGGUGUGUCUUGUAUUGAAUGCUAUAGCUCUUGUAAGGUGUAGAAGUGUAGAAACUUGGAUGCCAUUAAAUGUGGGGUGGUUGGGGUAUUUAUAGCCCCAACCACCAAAAAUGGCUAUUGGAAGGCUGCAGUCGCAUGGCGCAUCGGACAGUUCGGUGCGCCACCGGACACUGUCCGGUGCGCCAACCACGUCAGCAGACCGUUGGGGUUCGACCGUUGAAGCUCUGACUUGUGGGGCCACUGGGCUGUCUGGUGGUGCACCGGACAGAUCCUGUAGACUGUCCGGUGCGCCACCCGUGCGUGCUCUGACUUCUGCCCGCACUGUAGCGCAUUGAAUGCGGUUGCAGUCGACCGUUGCGCGCGAAGUAGCCGUUGCUCCGCUGGCACACCGGACAGUCCGGUGUGCACCGGGCACUGUCCGGUGACUCAUCAGACAGUCCGGUGAAUUAUAGCGGAGCGCCCUCUGAAAUUCCCGAAGGUAGCGAGUUCAACUUCAAGUGCCCUGGUGCACCGGACACUGUCCGGUGGCACACCGGACAGUCCGGUGCGCCAGACCAGGGUGCCUUUGGGUUGUCUUUUGCUCUCUUUGUUUGAACCAUUUCUUGGUCUUUUUAUUGGCUUAUUGUGAACCUUUGGCACCUGUAAAACUUAUAGACUAGAGCAAACUAGUUAGUCCAAUUAUUUGUGUUGGGCAAUUCAACCACCAAAAUCAAUUAGGAAAAAAGUGUAAGCCUAAUUCCCUUUCAAUCUCCCCCUUUUUGGGGAUUGAUGCCAACACAAACAAAAGCAAAUAUAGAAGUGCAUAACUGAACUACUUUGCAUAACUGUAAGUGUAAAGGUUACUUAGAAUUGAGCCAAUAUAAAUUCUCAUAGGAUAUGCAUGUAUUGUUUCUUUUAUUUUUAUCAUUUUGGACCACGCUUGCACCACAAGCUUUGUUUUUGCAAAUUCUUUUGUAAAUUCUUUUCCAAGUCCUUUUGCAAAUAGUCAAAGGUAAAUGAAUAAGAUUUUGAAAAGCAUUUUCAAGAUUUGAAAUUUUCUCCCCCUAUUUCAAAUGCUUUUCCUUUGACUAAACAAAACUCCCCUUUAAUAAAAUCCUCCUCUUAGUGUUCAAGAGGGUUUUAAGAUAAUAAUUUUGAAAAUACUACUUUCUCCCCCUUUUGAAAACAGUAAGGUAUCAAUUGAAAAUUUUCAUCACUUGAAUAUAUUUUUGAAAUGGGUGGUGGUGCGGUCCUUUUGCUUUGGGCUAAUACUUUCUCCCCCUUUGGCAUGAAUCGCCAAAAACGGAUACUUGAGUGAAAUAUAAGCCCUUUUAAACUACUUUCUCCCCUUUGGUAAACGGAAUAUGAGUGAAGAUUAUACCAAAGACGGAGAGAUGCUCGGAGCGACGGCGAAGGGUGAACACUUGAUGGAGUGGAGUGGAAGCCUGUGUCUUCGCCGAAGACUCCAAAUCCCUUUCAAUCUAUGACUUGGUUUGAAAUUCACUUGAAAACACGUUAGUCAUAGCAUGUAAAAGAGACAUGAUCCAAGGUAUAUUAAUGUGCUAUGUAUGCAAGUCAUCAAAAGAAAUUCCUAGAAUCAAGAAUACUUAGCUCAUGCCUAAGUUUGUUAAAAGUUUGUUCAUCUAGUGGCUUGGUAAAGAUAUCGGCUAAUUGUUCCUUGGUGUUAAUAUAUGCAAUCUCGAUAUCUCCCUUUUGUUGGUGAUCCCUAAGAAAAUGAUACCGAAUGGCUAUGUGUUUAGUGCGGCUAUGCUCAACGGGAUUAUCCGUCAUGCACAUUGCACUCUCAUUAUCACAUAGAAGAGGAACUUUGGUUAAUUUGUAACCAUAGUCCCUAAGGGUUUGCCUCAUCCAAAGCAAUUGCGCGCAACAAUGUCCUGCGGCAAUAUACUCGGCUUCGGCGGUAGAAUGAGCUACGGAAUUUUGCUUCUUUGAAGCCCAAGACACCAAGGAUCUUCCCAAGAACUGGCAAGUCCCCGAUGUGCUCUUUCUAUUAAUUUUACACCCCGCCCAAUCGGCAUCCGAAUAACCAAUUAAAUCAAAUAUGGAUCCCCGAGGGUACCAAAGCCCAAACUUAGGAGUAUAAGCUAAAUAUCUCAAGAUUCGUUUUACGACCGUAAGGUGAGCUUCCUUAGGGCCAGCUUGGAAUCUUGCACACAUGCAUACAGAAAGCAUUAUGUCCGGUCGAGAUGCACAUAAAUAGAGUAAGGAGCCUAUCAUCGACCGGUAUACCUUUUGAUCGACGGAUUUACCUCCCAUGUCGAGGUCGAGAUGCCCAUUGGUUCCCAUUGGUGUCUUGAUGGGUUUGGCAUCCUUCAUUCCAAACUUGUUUAGAAUGUCUUGAAUGUACUUGGUUUGGCUAAUGAAGGUGCCCUCUUGGAGUUGUUUUACUUGAAAUCCCAAGAAGUACUUCAACUCCCCCAUCAUCGACAUCUCGAAUUUUUGUGUCAUGAUCCUACUAAAUUCCUCACAGGUAGAUUCGUUAGUAGACCCAAAUAUAAUAUCAUCAACAUAAAUUUGGCAUACAAACAAAUCACUGUCAAGAGUUUUAGUAAAUAAAGUAGGAUCGACCUUUCCGACUUUGAAGCCAUUAGUGAUAAGAAAGUCUCUUAGGCAUUCAUACCAUGCUCUUGGGGCUUGCUUAAGCCCAUAAAGCGCCUUAGAGAGUUUAUAUACGUGGUUAGAAUACUCACUAUCUUCAAAGCCGGGAGGUUGCUCAACAUAGACCUCUUCCUUGAUUGGUCCGUUGAGGAAGGCACUUUUCAUGUCCAUUUGAUAAAGCUUAAAGCCAUGGUAAGUAGCAUAGGCAAGUAAUAUGCGAAUUGACUCAAGCCUAGCUACGGGUGCAUAGGUUUCACCGAAAUCCAAACCUUCAACUUGUGAAUACCCCUUGGCCACAAGUCGGGCUUUGUUCCUUGUCACCACACCAUGUUCAUCUUGCUUGUUGCGGAAGACCCACUUGGUUCCUACAACAUUUUGAUUAGGACGUGGAACUAGAUGCCAAACCUCAUUCCUAGUGAAGUUAUUGAGCUCCUCUUGCAUCGCCACCACCCAAUCCGAAUCUUGUAGUGCUUCCUCUACCCUGUGUGGCUCAAUAGAGGAAACAAAAGAGUAAUGUUCACAAAAAUGAGCAACCCGAGAUCGAGUAGUUACCCCCUUUUGAAUAUCGCCGAGGAUGGUGUUCACGGGGUGAUCUUGUUGGAUUGCUUGGUGGACUCUUGGGUGUGGUGGUCUUGGAACUUGUUCAUCUUCCUCAUCUUGAUCAUGGGCAUCUCCCCCUUGAUCAUUGCUCUCCUCUUGAGGUGGCUCAACUUCUUGAUCUUCUCCUUCAUCAUUUUGAGCCUUAUCCUCAUCUUGAGUUGGUGGAGACGCUUGUGUGGAGGAAGACGGUUGAUCUUGUGCAUGUGGCGGCUCUUUGGAUUCUUUAGGACACACAUCCCCAAUGGACAUGUUCUUUAGCGCGACGCACGGAGCCUCUUCAUCACCUAUCUCAUCAAGAUCAAUUUGCUCUACUUGAGAGCCGUUAGUCUCAUCAAACACAAUGUCACAAGAAACUUCAACUAAUCCAGAGGAUUUGUUAAAGACUCUAUAUACCCUUGUGUUUGAAUCAUAUCCUAGUAAAAAGCCUUCUACAGCCUUAGGAGCAAAUUUAGAUUUUCUACCUCUUUUAACAAGAAUAAAGCAUUUGCUACCAAAGACCCUAAAAUAUGAAACAUUGGGCUUUUUACCGGUUAGGAGUUCAUAUGAUGUCUUCUUGAGGAUUCGGUGUAGAUACAGUCGGUUGAUGGUGUAGCAAGCGGUGUUGACCGCCUCGGCCCAAAACCGAUCCGAAGUCUUGUACUCAUCAAACAUGGUUCUUGCCAUGUCCAAUAGAGUUCGAUUCUUCCUUUCCACUACACCAUUUUGUUGUGGGGUAUAGGGAGAAGAGAACUCAUGCUUGAUGCCCUCCUCCUCAAGGAAGCCUUUAAUUUGAGAAUUCUUGAACUCCGUCCCGUUGUCGCUUCUUAUUUUCUUUAUCCUUAAGCCGAACUCGUUUUGAGCCCGUCUCAAGAAUCCCUUUAAGGUCUCUUGGGUAUGAGAUUUUUCCUGCAAAAAGAACACCCAAGUGAAGCGAGAGUAAUCAUCCACAAUAACUAGACAGUACUUACUCCCACCGAUGCUUAUAUAAGCAAUCGGGCCGAAUAGAUCCAUGUGUAGGAGCUCAAGUGGCCUGUCAGUCGUCAUGAUGUUCUUGUAUGGAUGAUGAACACCAACUUGCUUCCCUGCUUGACAUGCGCUACAAACCCUGUCUUUCUCAAAAUGAACAUCUGUUAGUCCCAAAAUGUGUUCCCCCUUUAGAAGUUUGUGAAGAUUCUUCAUUCCAACAUGUGCUAGUCGGCGAUGCCAGAGCCAGCUCAUGUUAGUCUUAGCAAUUAAGCAAGUGUCGAGUUCAGCUCUAUCAAAAUCUACUAAGUAUAGCUGACCCUCUAACACUCCCUUAAAUGCUAUUGAAUCAUCACUUCUUCUAAAGACAAUAACACCUACAUCUGUAAAAAGACAGUUGUAGCCCAUUUUACAUAAUUGUGAAACUGAAAGCAAGUUGUAAUCUAAAGAAUCUACAAGAAAAACAUUGGAAAUGGAAUGGUCAGGUGAUAUAGCAAUUUUACCCAAUCCUUUGACCAAACCUUGAUUUCCAUCCCCGAAUGUGAUCGCUCUUUGGGGAUCUUGGUUUUUUCUCAUAGGAGGAGAACAUCUUCUUCUCCCCUGUCAUGUGGUUUGUGCACCCACUGUCGAUGAUCCAACUUGAGCCCCCGGAUGCAUAAACCUACAAAACAAAUUUAGUUCUUGACUUUAGUUACCCAAAUGGUUUUGGGUCCUUUGACAUUAGAUACAAGAACUUUGGGUACCUAAACACAAGUCUUUGAUCCCUUGUGUUUGCCCCCAACAUACUUGGCAACUACCUUGCCGGAUUUGUUAGUUAAAACAUAAGAAGCAUCAAAAGUUUUAAAUGAAAUUUUAGAAUCAUUUGAUGCAAUAGGACUUUUCUUCUUAGGCAAUUUUGCACGGGUUGAUUGCCUAGAGCUAGAUGUCUCACCCUUAUACAUAAAAGCAUGAUUAGGGCCAGAGUGAGACUUUCUAGAGUGAAUUCUCCUAAUUUUGCUCUCGGGAUAACCGGCAGGGUACAAAAUAUAACCCUCGUUAUCCUGAGGCAUGGGAGCCUUACCCUUAACAAAGUUUGACAAUCUUUUAGGAGGGGCAUUAAGUUUGACAUUGUCUCCCCUUUGUAAGCCAAUGCCAUCCUUGAUGCCAGGGCGUCUCCCACUAUAGAGCAUGCUUCUAGCAAAUUUAAAUUUUUCAUUUUCUAAGUCAUGCUCGGCAAUUUUAGCAUCUAAUUUUGCUAUAUGAUCAUUUUGUUGUUUAAUUAAAGCCAUAUGAUCAUGAAUAGCAUCAAUGUUAACAUCUCUACAUCUAGUGCAAAUAGUAACAUGCUCAGUGGUAGAUGUAGAGGGUUUGCAAGAAUUAAGUUCAACAAUCUUAGCACGUAAAAUAUCAUUGUUGUCUCUAAGAUCGGAAAUUGUAACAUUGCAAACAUCUAGGUCCUUAGCCUUAGCAAUUAGUUUUUCAUUAUCAUCUCUAAGGCUAGCAAGAGAAACAUUCAAUUCUUCAAUCUUAGCAAGCAAAUUAACAUUAUCAUCUCUAAGAUUGGGAAUUGAAACAUCACAAAUAUUAGAAUCAACCUUAGCACUUAAUUUAGCAUUUUCAUUUCUAAGGUUGACAAUAGUGUCAUGGCAAGUGCUUAGCUCACUAGAUAGUUUUUCACAUUUUUCUACUUCUAGAGCAUAAGCAUUUUUAACCUUAACAUGCUUUUUAUUUUUCUUAAUUAGGAAGUCCUCUUGGGUGUCCAAGAGUUCAUCCUUCUCAUGAAUAGCACUAAUUAGUUCAUUCAACUUUUCCUUUUGUUGCAUGUUUAGGUUGGCAAAAAGGGUACGCAAAUUAUCUUCCUCAUCACUACAAUUGUCCUCAUCACUUGAGGUUGCAUAUUUAGUGGAAGACUUUGAUUUUACCUUCUUCCUUUUGUCGUCCUUUGCCAUGAGGCACUUGUGGCCGACGUUGGGGAAGAGGAGACUUUUGGUGAUAGCGAUGUUGGCGGCGUCCUCGUCGGAGGAGCUCUCGUCGGAGUCCCAUUCGCGACAUACAUGGGCAUCGCCACCCUUCUUCUUGUAGUAUCUCUUAUUCUCCUUUCUUCUCCCCUUCUUGUCGUUGCCCCUGUCACUGUCACUAGAAAUAGGACAUUUUGCUAUAAAGUGACCGGGCUUACCACACUUGUAACAAACUUUCUUGGAGCAGGACUUGUAGUCUUUCCCCCUCCUUUGCUUGAGGAUUUGGCGGAAGCUCUUGAUGAUGAGCGCCAUCUCCUCAUUGUCGAGCUUAGAGGCGUCGAUUGGUUGUCUACUUGAUGUAGACUCCUCCUUCUCCUCCGUCGCCUUGAAUGCGACGGGUUGUGCUUCGGAUGUGGAGGGGCCAUCUAGCUCGAUAAUUUUCUUUGAGCCUUUGAUCAUCAACUCAAAGCUCACAAAAUUACCUAUCACUUCCUCGGGAGACAUUAGUGUAUAUCUAGGAUUACCUCGAAUUAAUUGAACUUGCGUAGGAUUAAGAAAGACGAGGGAUCUUAGAAUAACCUUGACCAUUUUAUGGUCAUCCCAUUUUGUGCUCCCGAGGUUGCGCACUUGGUUCACCAAGGUCUUCAAGCGGUUGUACAUGUCUUGUGGCUCCUCCCCUUGGCGAAGCCGGAAGCGACCGAGCUCCCCCUCGAUCGUCUCCCGCUUGGUGAUUUUGGUCACCUCAUCUCCUUCGUGCGCGAUCUUGAGUACGUCCCAAAUUUCUUUGGCACUUUUCAAUCCUUGCACCUUGUUAUACUCCUCUCGACUUAGAGAGGUGAGGAGUAUAGUGGUGGCUUGGGAGUUGAAGUGCACGAUUUGGGCUACUUCGUCCUCAUCAUAAUCUUCAUCCCCUACGGAUGGUACCUGUACACCAAACUCAACAACAUCCCAUAUACUCUUGUGGAGUGAGGUUAGGUGAUAUCGCAUCAUAUCACUCCACCUAGCAUAAUCUUCACCAUCAAAUGUUGGUGGUUUGCCCAAUGGGACGGAAAGUAAUGGCGUAUGUUUAGGAAUGCGAGGAUAGCGUAGGGGGAUCUUACUAAACUUCUUGCGCUCAUGGCGCUUAGAAGUUACGAAAGGCGUGUCGGAGCCGGAGGUGGAUGGCGACGAGGAGUCGGUCUCGUAGUAGACUACCUUCCUCAUCUUCUUCUUCUUGUCACCGCUCCGACGCGACUUGUGUGAAGGGGAUUCCUUUUCCUUCCCCUUGUUGCGGGACUCUCCCGAUGGAGCUUUCCCGUGGCUUGUAGCGGGCUUCUCGCUGGUCACCAUCUCCUUCUUGGCGUGAUCUCCCGACAUCACUUCGAGCGGUUAGGCUCUAAUGAAGCACCGGGCUCUGAUACCAAUUGAAAGUCGCCUAGAGGGGGGGUGAAUAGGGCGAAUCUGAAAUUUAUAAACUUAAGCACAACUACAAGCCGGGUUAGCGUUAGAAAUAGAAACAAGUCCGAGAGAGAGGGCACAAAACAAAUCGUGAGCAAAUAAAGAGCGAGACACGAUGAUUUGUUUUAUCGAGGUUCGGUUCUUGCAAACCUACUCCCCGUUAAGGUGGUCACGAAGACCGGGUCUCUUUCAACCCUUUCCCUCUCUCAAACGGUCACCUAGACCGAGUGAGCUUCUCUUCUCAAUCAAAUGGAACACGAAGUUCCUGCAAGGACCACCACACGAUUGGUGUCUCUUGCCGCAAUUACAAGUGAGUUUGAUCUCAAGAAAGAAUGAGAAAGAAAAGAAGCAAUCCAAGCGCAAGAGCUCAAAUGAACACAACAAAUCUCUCUCUAAUUACUAAAGCUUUGUGUGGAGUUGGGAGAGGAUUUGAUCUCUUUGGUGUGUCUUGUAUUGAAUGCUAUAGCUCUGGUAAGGUGUAGAAGUGUAGAAGCUUGGAUGCCAUUGAAUGUGGGGGUGGUUGGGGUAUUUAUAGCCCCAACCACCAAAAAUGGCCGUUGGAAGGCUGCAGUCGCAUGGCGCACCAGACAGUUCGGUGCGCCAUCAGACACUGUCCGGUGCGCCAGCCACGUCAGCAGACCGUUGGGGUUCGACCGUUGAAGCUCUGACUUGUGGGGCCACUAGGCUGUCCGGUUCCGGACAUGUCCUGUAGACUGUCCGGUGCGCCACCCGCGCGUGCUCUGACUUCUGCGUGCACUGUAGCGCAUUGAAUGCGGUUGCAGUCGACCGUUGCGCGCGAAGUAGCUGUUGCUCCGCUGGCACACUGGACAGUCCGGUGUGCACCGGACACUGUCCGGUGACUCACCGGACAGUCCGGUGAAUUAUAGCGGAGCGCCUUCUGAAAUUCCCGAAGGUAGCGAGUUCAGCUUCAAGUGCCCUGGUGCACCGGACACUGUCCGGUGGCACACUGGACAGUCCGGUGCGCCAGAACAGGGUGCCUUUGGGUUGUCUUUUGCUCUCUUUGUUUGAACCCUUUCUUGGUCUUUUUAUUGGCUUAUUGUGAACCUUUGGCACCUGUAAAACUUAUAUACUAGAGCAAAUUAGUUAGUCCAAUUAUUUGUGUUGGGCAAUUCAACCACCAAAAUCAAUUAGGAAAAAGGUGUAUGCCUAAUUUCCUUUCACUCAUUCCUUGUUCUGCGUCUCAUUCCCACAUUCUUUGUUCUGUCUUUCUCAUUCCUCCCUCCCCGCAAAGCCCAUUCUCAUUCCCUCGUACAUCCCACGUCUAGCUAAAAUUAAAAAAACACACAUGUCCUCAAAGGGAUUUGAACCCGUGACCUCUCAAGCAAAGGCCAAGAGUAGCUACCGCUACACCACAUAUGUGUUUAUGUCUACAUCUAUGACAUGAAACACAUCUACUACAUCUCUCACCAAGCUCACUUGCUACCCUUGCACAAUGCGUAGUAGUAGAUAAGUAUCACCGAGAUUCUUGAAUUAUAUUUUUGGAUGGAGGUAAUAUUAUUUAAAGAAGAGCUUUGCAUGCAAUUUCUUUUGUUUGAAUAAUGUAUUAUACUUAAAUUCCCUUUUUUGCAUGUGUGAUAUUUUUUCUUCCUAAUACUUUUCCAUGGAUCAGACUUGUGAGUCAUUUUCAUAAACCAACGACAAGCAUUAAUCCAUGUUUCUUAUUUGAAACUCCGAACAAACACCAUGAGAAGGAGGCACUCGCGUUGACGUCGCUCAUCGAUGACGAGAAGAAGCUUGGCGACUGCCAGUUCGACCUCUAGAAGCAGUCCUACGUGGUCGCAUACGCCGCUGUGUACGACAAGCUCCCAUGAAGCCGCCGCUUGGACGCGGUCCAGAGCUGCUGCACUGCGCUAUCCAUCGUUAAGCAGGGGGCCUCAUGAUUGUCGCCAACGUCGACGACUCUCGGGUUGUCCUGGUGUAAUACCCAAUUUGUAAUUUGUUAGGAAUAAUAUAAAUAGAGAAACAAUUUCUCCUUAUGUGAGUUUGACCUUUAGACAUCAUCACAUGUGAACACCAUAUUCAAAAACAAAUAAUUAAUAAAAGACAUGCCACUAAAUCGUGCAUCAGGCUGGAUUUUAUUUUGUGUGCAUUUUGUGUGAUCGUACAAAAAUAAUGUAAUGCUCAAAUUAGAAUUUAAGUUCCAAAGGAAACUCUAGAAAUUAAGGAAAGAGAAAGAAAAUAUUAUGAGGAUAAACAAAUAAGUAUAAAACAUAUACAUAAAAAAAAUAUAUUAUUUCUAUACUAGGAUUUGAAUGUGUACAUUUGACUCAAAGGUGAAACCUAUUCAAAUUCAAAUUUGGAUUCGAAUAAUUAUGAAUAAAGAAAAAAAACAGAAAAUAAAAUCAAAAGAAAAGAUAAAAGAAAAGAGAAAACGCGCCUGGGCCGCUUCUACUCAAUUCGGCCCACUCUAUCUUCUCUACUGGUCGGCCCAUGUCUGUGCUCUACUCGCGGUGACUGCCGGGCGGGGCCCACUUGCCUGUUGCUGCUGCACCGCGCCUGCUCUUUACCGCGCGGGGGCACUGCCAUGGAGAACCCACCUGUCAGCCGUGUAGGAUAGCUGCUCGGGCCGCUCCGUGAGCGUCUCUCUAGCGUGCGGGACCCACUACCAGUCGCUGUGUGUUCUGUUUCUCCAUUCUGCCGUGAAAUCCGGCUGCGCAGCCGCUUCGCCGUGAAGCUCGCGGCCGUGAGUUUCCUGGCCGCCAUCCCGGGCUGGGUACAAAUGAGCCGCGCACCUUUCCUUCCUCCUCUCUUCUCGUCCUCGCUCGCAUAUGCUCAGAUUUCCCCGCAUCGCCAGACGCCAUGACCACCCGCGCGCGGGUCGGGUGUGUGGGGACUGUCCUCCGCCGUAACCCAGCACCGCUCCUCUCUGGUUCAUAGCCGUCCCACUGCCGCUGCCGCGGGGCUCUGCUGGCGGCCAUCGUCACCUAUACCCGACCGCCAUGGGAGGAAGCUGUGUGUGAGAUGUCCGCCGUGGGGUGACUCUGGCUCACCGAUGGAGAUCCCUCGAGGGCGGGCCAGGCGGAUGACUAUGGCCAACCAUCGUCGUGUCCCUGAAGCAGGUAAGAAUACCCUAAUCGCUUGGCCUUAAUGCUCUCUGCGUUUAGAACCUUCUAGCGCGUUGAAUAGGGCGUUUGGGGGCGGGAUGGCGUGUCGCCGGUGUGGGCGCCACCGUGACCUGGGCAGCACACGGCCAGUGGUUUACAGACCCUUCUGUCUCCCUCGUUCGCUUCCAUCGCUCACGAUAGGCUCUCCCUGCUCCCGUUCUCGGCGGCUGAAGCAUGUCGCGAACCACCUUUCUGUGGCUCCCGAACGAGUCCUACGGGCGAUGCGGGCGGAUCGCGCGAUGGGGGAGGGGAGCGGCAACCAGCAGGGCAUGUCGGGGAAGACAGCGUCUGCGCCAUCGGAUCCAAUUUGGACGAUGUAGAGUUGAUCAACGGAUAACCCUUAGCUGUAGUGAUUGUGACCGUAGAUCAGAGAUCUUGUGGUUGCGAUUAUUGACCAAUUCGGGGCUUCGAAUCCAAACUGUUGAUUCCAAAUCGUAAGGCGGGUAGGAGAGAUCUAGUCAAUGAUUUAAUCUCGACCGCUAGUGGAUGAUCGAACCGUCCAUAUUUGCCCAGACCCCUUCCCUAGCUCAUUUAACACAUAAGCCCCUCCACUUUUCAAGAACUAACUCGCGGUCCAGUCCUGUGCGCUCUGUGCCCUAAGAACUUUUACCCCGAGGCCCCCAUCUUUUAUAGAAAUUGUGGCGCAGUCCGGAAAUUAAAUAAAACAGGAAAAAUAGAUUUAGAAAUUGAUUUUGAGUAUAAAAAUAGUUGUAAAACUUGUAUAAUUCAUAUAAAAUUCAUAUUAAGUCCAAAUGAGUCCAUUCCAAUUCCUAUAAUUUUGUAAUAAUGUUGUUUAUCACCCUGUGUCUCUGUUUUAACAUGAAAAUGGUAUUAAAAUUUAUUUCUUAACUAACCUCGUAUCAAAUACAUAAAACCUUAGGAAAUUCGUAUCUCCUCCGUUUUAACUCCGAUUUGAUCCGUUCAAGUUGCGUUAGUCUCGUACAAACGCGUAGAUCAUUAUUAUGCAGUAUAUUCUUAUGUUUGGUGUAAUGUUAAUUUUGUCUAUACACUGUUUGUUUGUAUUGCUACGACUAGCGGUGAGGUCACGAGGAAUCUGAAGAAUCACCCUGGUAACUAGAAUCUCAAGUGUCAGGCAAGUUGUGCCCUUGAUUCACUUUUGUUACCCAAUAAUGUUCUUUAUAAUCAUCUACCAUGCAUAGGUUAAUUUUGAUGGGACCCGAUAGGUCACCCUAGAUUGUUUAUCUCAUUACCUUGUUUACCCCUGAAUCACUUGGGUAGUUUUGCUAUUGCUUUACAUGGUUUUGGGAUAAUCAUUUAUUAUAUCUAUGUUCCAAUUCUUUUGUUAUUCUAUUUAUGUUCAUGUCAAGAUCAUUAAUGUUAAUUGGAACAUAGAGCUUAACUUGAGAAACACGUGCCACCACAAGGGUUUAUGGACGCCCUUGGCUGAUUAAUUAGGAAAGCUAGUGGAAGACUACCUUACCCGAAAGGGGCAAGGGCAGUAGGGGAGUUGCAUGCAAGGAGGUUCUCGGGUUGAUUUAGCUGCGAUGGCGGUCGGACGGGGGAUUCUUGCAAGUGCUCUUCCCAUAAACUGUAGCGGGUUUUCGGAAGCUAGUGGAACUUUGUAAAGGCCUCGUAGUGGAUCCCUAGCCAUUCACCUCGGUAGUGUCUAAGGGCCUAGCUAACCCUGGCGACAUGGGAUACACGACUUGUGGGUAAAGGGUACAACCUUUGCAGAGUGUAAAACUGGUAUACUAGCCGAGCUCACGGUCAUGAGCGGCUCAGGACUCUCUGAUGAUUAAAUUAUGAAACCUAAAUUCAAUUUUGUCAUUUGCAUAUGCAUGGGUUUAUUAUUAAUUUUGUUCUAUUAUUUUAUUUAAGGUUUGGUAUUUACUUACACUUAGUAACUGCUAAUAAAAGUUUGACCAACAUUAAAAGCAAUGCUCAGCUUUAACCAUUCUCUUUGAUAAGCCUUACACUCCAUGAGCUCCCACCUUUGGUGAGUUCAUGUCACAUUAUUCCCCACAACUUGUUGAGCGAUGAUCAUGUGUGAGCUCACCCUUGCUGUCUCACACCCCCCCACAGGAGAAGAACAGGUGGUUCAGGAGGAGCCACAAGGCGAGGAGUAUGAUCUGAUCUAGGUGGUGUUUCUCAGUUGACAUUGGCGCCGACGGUCCUUAGUUCGUUUUAUCUUUAUUAUUUUAUUUUGUAAUAAGUCUUCCGCUAUGUAAUAAAUACUCUGAUGUUUUAUGACAUUUAUCUCUAUACACUCUGUUAUUAUAUAUGUUGUCUUCUUGGCGCAUGUAUGAGAUGCACCUGACUUUGUUCCUUAAAGCCGGGUGUGACAGAAGUGGUAUCAGAGCAAAUGUUGACUGUAGGACGAAACCUAGAUAGAAAUGGACAAAACCCUUACCUUACUCUGAUUCUUUCUAUACUUAUCUUGAUCCUGUCUCACCUUCUAUUGUUCUACUAUGAUCAUUCUUACCCUCUCUACUCUGAGACAAGAUGGAUUUCACACCUUGAAAUCCUACAUUUAAGACCUUCUUAGGAGAUAGGAAACCUAAGACAAAAAUUAAAAUUAUUUUUCUAUUAAAAAAAUGUUGGUUGAUUGUUCUGAUGAUCAAUGCUUGAUUUGCUUCUUUGAUUGAUUGAUAUAUUAUAUAUGGACAUCUUAGCAUGUACCACCAUAAGGUAAUGUAUUAGCUUUAGUGGAUAACACACUAAUCUACUUAGCUAAUAAAUCCCCCGCAGUAACAUUUCUCGUAAUUACUCGCCUUGUCUACAAUUCUUUCUUUCGUACCCUGUGUUUCUAACCUAGAUGGGCUACCCCUUUAGUGUUAGAAGAGAGCACUAUAGACGUGAUCCUUGGUAUGUCAUGGUUAAGAAAGGCAAAGGCAGUUUAUACACUGUGCUAAAAGGAACCAUAGAAGUCACCAGUUCCAAAAGAGAAAGAUUUAAAGUUGGAAUUGGAGUAACUACCGCCACCAAACAAGCGGCAUUCUUAGUCGAUGGGAAGUUUGUUGGUGUCAACAUCCAUGUGGUUAGAGAUUUUCCGGAUGUCUUUCCAGAGGAGUUACCAGGGAUGCCACCUGAUAGAGAAGUUGAGUUUGUUAUUGAUCUCUUACCUGGAACCGCCCCUAUUUCUAAACGGCCAUAUAGGAUGUCCGUAGAGGAGUUGAAGGAACUUAAGAAGCAGUUAACUGAGUUACAAGAGGCUGGGUACAUUCGUCCGAGUUCCUCACCUUGGGGAGCACCGGUACUGUUUGUACAGAAGAAGGAUGGAUCACAAAGGAUGUGUGUGGAUUAUAGGUCCCUUAAUGAUGUUAUCGUGAAGAACAAGUACCCGUUACCCAGCAUUGAGGAUUUUAGGAGACUUAACCUGGGGAUAGUUGCUCACACUAAAGGAGUUACUAUUGAUGUGGAACCUAUUUUGGAGCAAGAGAUCCGCAAAGGACAAAUUGGUGAUGCUAAGAUACAAGAGAUUAAGGAUCUGAUUACUGAAGGUCGAGGUCCAAAAUUCAUGGAAGAUGAGCAAGGCACCGUAUGGUUCAAGGAUCGGGUAUGUGUUCCGGAGAUUGAAAGCCUACGUGAGACUAUUUUAAAGGAGGCCCAUGAGUCGGAUUACUCUAUUUAUCCUAGUAGCACCAAGAUGUAUCAGGAUUUGAAGCGGAAGUAUUUGCGGAAUGGAUUGAAGAGAGAUGUGGCUGCACAUGUGGCUAUGUGCGAUGUGUGUCAAAGAGUUAAGGCUGAACACUAGAGACCAACUGGACUAUUAUACCCAUUAAAGAUACCCGAAUUGCAAAGGGAAGAGAUUGGUAUGGAUUUCAUUACUGGAUUGCCUCGCACCCAGAAAGGAUAUGAUGCUAUAUGGGUGAUUGUGGAUAGAUUGACUAAAGUGGCUCACUUUAUUCCGGUCAAGACUACUUAUAAAGGUUCUCAGCUAGCAGAGUUAUAUAUGGCUCGGAUUGUGUGUUUGCAUGGAGUACCAAAGAAGAUCGUGUCUGAUCGAGGUUCACAGUUUACCUCAAGAUUUUGGAGAAGCUUUCAUGAGAAUAUGAGUACAAAGUUGAAUUUCAGUACAACUUAUCACCCUCAGACCGAUGGACAGACCGAAAGGACUAACCAAGUAUUGAAAGAUAUGUUGAGAGUUUGUGCCCUUCAGCAUGGUAGUAGUUGGGACAAGAGUCUACCUUAUGCUGAGUUCUCAUAUAAUAAUAGUUAUCAGGCCAGUCUGAAGAUGUCACCGUUCGAGACUCUGUAUGGCAGGAAAUGCAGGACUCCUCUGUAUUGGGAUCAAACUGGAGAAAGACAAUUCUUUGGGCCUGAACUGAUUCAAGAAGCAGAAGAGCAAGUCCGUAUAAUCCGGGAGAAUUUGAGGGUGGCUCAAACCAGACAAAAGAGCUAUGCUGAUAAUAGAAGGAGACCACUGGAAUUUGAGGAAGGAGAUUAUGUGUACCUCAAGGUGUCACCACUUCGUGGCAUGAGGAGAUUCAAAGUCAAGGGCAAAUUGUCCCCACGCUACAUUGGACCAUUCUUGAUCUUUAGGCGAGUUGGGGAGAUGGCAUACCAACUCGAGUUACCUGCUACUCUAUCGGAUGUGCAUAAUGUGUUCCAUGUGUCUCAGCUCAAGAAGUGUCUCCGUGUCCCUGAGGAACAGUUACCAGUGGAAGAGCUCAGUGUUCAGGGUGAUUUGACUUACACGGAGUAUCCUGUCAAGAUUCUUGAUACAUUGACUCGAGUUACAAGAAAUAAGGUGAUAAAGAUGUGCAAAGUGCAAUAGAGUCACCAUGGAGAAGAUGAAGCAAAGUGGUAAAGAGAAGAAGAGCUUCGUAUAGAUUUUCCCCACCUUUUUCCUAGAUCUUCUUAAAUCUCGAGGACGAGAUUAUUUUUAAGGGGGGUAGGAUUUGUAAUACCCAAUUUGUAAUUUAUUAGGAAUAAUAUAAAUAGAGAAACAAUUUCUCCUUAUGUGAGUUUGACCUUUAGACAUCAUCACAUGUGAACACCAUAUUCAAAAACAAAUAAUUAAUAAAAGACAUGCCACUAAAUCGUGCAUCAGGCUGGAUUUUAUUUUGUGUGCAUUUUGUGUGAUAGUACAAAAAUAAUGUAAUGCUCAAAUUAGAAUUUAAGUUCCAAAGGAAACUCUAGAAAUUAAGGAAAGAGAAAGAAAAUAUUAUGAGGAUAAACAAAUAAGUAUAAAACAUAUACAUAAAAAAAAUAUAUUAUUUCUAUACUAGGAUUUGAAUGUGUACAUUUGAAUCAAAGGUGAAACCUAUUCAAAUUCAAAUUUGGAUUCGAAUAAUUAUGAAUAAAGAAAAAAAACAGAAAAUAAAAUCAAAAGAAAAGAUAAAAGAAAAGAGAAAACGCGCCUGGGCCGCUUCUACUCAAUUCGGCCCACUCUAUCUUCUCUACUGGUCGGCCCAUGUCUGUGCUCUACUCGUGGUGACUGCCGGGCAGGGCCCACUUGCCUGUUGCUGCUGCACCGCGCCUGCUCUUUACCGCGCGGGGGCACUGCCAUGGAGAACCCACCUGUCAGCCGUGUAGGAUAGCUGCUCGGGCCGCUCCGUGAGCGUCUCUCUAGCGUGCGGGACCCACUACCAGUCGCUGUGCGUUCUGUUUCUCCAUUCUGCCGUGAAAUCCGGCUGCGCAGCCGCUUCGCCGUGAAGCUCGUGGCCGUGAGUUGACCUGGCCGCCAUCCCGGGCUGGGUACAAAUGAGCCGCGCACCUUUCCUUCCUCCUCUCUUCUCGUCCUCGCUCGCAUAUGCUCAGAUUUCCCCGCAUCGCCAGACGCCAUGACCACCCGCGCGCGGGUCGGGUGUGUGGGGACUGUCCUCCGCCGUAACCCAGCACCGCUCCUCUCUGGUUCAUAGCCGUCCCACUGCCGCUGCCGCGGGGCUCUGCUGGCGGCCAUCGUCACCUAUACCCGACCGCCAUGGGAGGAAGCUGUGUGUGAGAUGUCCGCCGUGGGGUGACUCUGGCUCACCGAUGGAGAUCCCUCGAGGGCGGGCCAGGCGGAUGACUAUGGCCAACCAUCGUCGUGUCCCUGAAGCAGGUAAGAAUACCCUAAUCGCUUGGCCUUAAUGCUCUCUGCGUUUAGAACCUUCUAACGCGUUGAAUAGGGCGUUUGGGGGCGGGAUGGCGUGUCGCCGGUGUGGGCGCCACCGUGACCUGGGCAGCGCGCGGCCAGUGGUUUACAGACCCUUCUGUCUCCCUCGUUCGCUUCCAUCGCUCACGAUAGGCUCUCCCUGCUCCCGUUCUCGGCGGCUGAAGCAUGUCGCGAACCACCUUUCUGUGGCUCCCGAACGAGUCCUACGGGCGAUGCGGGCGGAUCGCGCGAUGGGGGAGGGGAGCGGCAACCAGCAGGGCAUGUCGGGGAAGACAGCGUCUGCGCCGUCGGAUCCAAUUUGGACGAUGUAGAGUUGAUCAACGGAUAACCCUUAGCUGUAGUGAUUGUGACCGUAGAUCAGAGAUCUUGUGGUUGCGAUUAUUGACCAAUUCGGGGCUUCGAAUCCAAACCGUUGAUUCCAAAUCGUAAGGCGGGUAGGAGAGAUCUAGUCAAUGAUUUAAUCUCGACCGCUAGUGGAUGAUCGAACCGUCCAUAUUUGCUCAGACCCCUUCGCUAGCUCAUUUAACACAUAAGCCCCUCCACUUUUCAAGAACUAACCCGCGGUCCAGUCCUGUGCGCUCUGUGCCCUAAGAACUUUUACCCCGAGGCCCCCAUCUUUUAUAGAAAUUGUGGCGCAGUCCGGAAAUUAAAUAAAACAGGAAAAAUAGAUUUAGAAAUUGAUUUUGAGUAUAAAAAUAGUUGUAAAACUUGUAUAAUUCAUAUAAAAUUCAUAUUAAGUCCAAAUGAGUCCAUUCCAAUUCCUAUAAUUUUGUAAUAAUGUUGUUUAUCACCCUGUGUCUCUGUUUUAACAUGAAAAUGGUAUUAAAAUUUAUUUCUUAACUAACCUCGUAUCAAAUACAUAAAACCUUAGGAAAUUCGUAUCUCCUCCGUUUUAACUCCGAUUUGAUCCGUUCAAGUUGCGUUAGUCUCGUACAAACGCGUAGAUCAUUAUUAUGCAGUAUAUUCUUAUGUUUGGUGUAAUGUUAAUUUUGUCUAUACACUGUUUGUUUGUAUUGCUACGACUAGCGGUGAGGUCACGAGGAAUCUGAAGAAUCACCCUGGUAACUGGAAUCUCAAGUGUCAGGCAAGUUGUGCCCUUGAUUCACUUUUGUUACCCAAUAAUGUUCUUUAUAAUCAUCUACCAUGCAUAGGUUAAUUUUGAUGGGACCCGAUAGGUCACCCUAGAUUGUUUAUCUCAUUACCUUGUUUACCCCUGAAUCACUUGGGUAGUUUUGCUAUUGCUUUACAUGGUUUUGGGAUAAUCAUUUAUUAUAUCUAUGUUCCAAUUCUUUUGUUAUUCUAUUUAUGUUCAUGUCAAGAUCAUUAAUGUUAAUUGGAACAUAGAGCUUAACUUGAGAAACACGUGCCACCACAAGGGUUUAUGGACGCCCUUGGCUGAUUAAUUAGGAAAGCUAGUGGAAGACUACCUUACCCGAAAGGGGCAAGGGCAGUAGGGGAGUUGCAUGCAAGGAGGUUCUCGGGUUGAUUUAGCUGCGAUGGCGGUCGGACGGGGGAUUCUUGCAAGUGCUCUUCCCAUAAACUGUAGCGGGUUUUCGGAAGCUAGUGGAACUUUGUAAAGGCCUCGUAGUGGAUCCCUAGCCAUGCACCUCAGUAGUGUCUAAGGGCCUAGCUAACCCUGGCGACAUGGGAUACACGACUUGUGGGUAAAGGGUACAACCUCUGCAGAGUGUAAAACUGGUAUACUAGCCGAGCUCACGGUCAUGAGCGGCUCAGGACUCUCUGAUGAUUAAAUUAUGAAACCUAAAUUCAAUUUUGUCAUUUGCAUAUGCAUGGGUUUAUUAUUAAUUUUGUUCUAUUAUUUUAUUUAAGGUUUGGUAUUUACUUACACUUAGUAACUGCUAAUAAAAGUUUGACCAACAUUAAAAGCAAUGCUCAGCUUUAACCAUUCUCUUUGAUAAGCCUUACACUCAUGAGCUCCCACCUUUUGUGAGUUCAUGUCACAUUAUUCCCCACAACUUGUUGAGCGAUGAUCAUGUGUGAGCUCACCCUUGCUGUCUCACACCCCCCCACAGGAGAAGAACAGGUGGUUCAGGAGGAGCCACAAGGCGAGGAGUAUGAUCUGAUCUAGGUGGUGUUUCUCAGUUGACAUUGGCGCCGACGGUCCUUAGUUCGUUUUAUCUUUAUUAUUUUAUUUUGUAAUAAGUCUUCCGCUAUGUAAUAAAUACUCUGAUGUUUUAUGACAUUUAUCUCUAUACACUCUGUUAUUAUAUAUGUUGUCUUCUUGGCGCAUGUAUGAGAUGCACCUGGCUUUGUUCCUUAAAGCCGGGUGUGACACCUGGACACCGCAUCCGACGACGACGCCAUCACGCCGUCCAGCUCAUCGUUCACUUGAAGCCCAACUUGCCACGUAAGUCGCUACUGACCGGACAUGAAUUCUUGUGCGUUGGGACGAUGGUCGUUGCUGACGUUGUGUGAGUGUUCUCGAACAUGAUGUAUGUAGUGGAGUAGCGCACCCGGUGGUGCAACGGCCAGGGGUACUACCUCACUGAUGAGCCCGGGGUGCACUUCGUUUGGUAGCCCAACCAAGAGUCAUCGGUACUCGUCAUGUCGCGCGCGUUCGACGAUUACUAUAUCGAGAAUUGUGGCGUCAUCUUGGCGCCGGAGGUGACGCAGAGGAGGAUCGACAACAGUGACCAGUUCGUCAUCAUCGCCACCGUCAGGGUAGCUUUUGUGCCGGUAUGCCUUUAAUUGUCUUCACAAACACACACAGUUCGACGUAUGAGCAAGAAUAACGUCGAGACAGGUUAUCUCGACCAACAUAGAGACCUGAAAUAAAAUGAAAAUUAAAAUAUAUAGAGAUCUAGAUGUAGUUAUAUAUAUAUAAAAGCCAAACGAAUAUAAAAAAAAGAGUUGGAGCCAUAUAUGCGGCGUGAGGGUGGCUGCUAGCGCUGCUGCAGGCAGAGGCAGCCGGCCUGCCGCCGUUCGGCUACCGGACGACAAAGCAAGAGGGCAGCGAUCCCGGGUCAGAACACACAGAACAGCAGCAGCCAUGAGUCCCGUGAUGCAGCAGCCCCAGCGCAGUCUCCUCGUUCCGGGCUUCCAACUGCGCGUCCGGUACUCGUACACUUGCUCGGUGUCAAAUCCAGUUCGGCAAAGACGAACUGAUGGACAAACCGGUACUAGUUUUUUUUACCUAUUUUAUUGACAGGAAUAAGAGGAAAUCGAGGACGAAAAGGAAAAAGCUUAUACUCGUAGCUCAUCGACUCGCUCGGUCCGUGGUCUCCUCGGCUCAGCUCGGUUCGACUCGUUUGAAUUUUUUCACGAUGUGAACUGAUAUCGUAGCUCGGUUCAUUAAACGAGGCAGCUCGUUCCAGCCCGUGAGCUAAACGAGUUACUUCAUUUCAGCAAAACGAAACUAUAUGCAUAUCAUUUACAUAAUAAUUGAUGAACAUGUUAUAUGUAUGUGUGAUGUAUAUGGUCUAUGAGUUAAAAUAAUGAUUUAUGAACUUUGUCUAUUUGUUAAAUUGAUCUAUGAGAAUAUAAUCGUGGGUUAAACUGAUGAACAUGUGUGUGAACUAUUAAUUGAUGAAUGAUGAGUUGUGUUAAUUUGGUGUUACAUUGAUGUGGUCCCUGAAACUAUGUAUACAAUUAUUAUUUUUAUUGUUAAAUUAAUCUAAAAUUAACUAGAAAUUCAUGUUAUAUACAUUUUUUUCUGUUCUGACUCACAAGCUAAACGAGCCGAGCUGACUCUAUGGCUCGUUAGUUUAACAAGUCGAGCCAGCUCGUUAGCUUAACGAGCCAUCUCGAGCUCGGACGAGCUGAACCGAGCUAGUUCGAUAUUCAGUCCUAAUGCUAAUUAGAAGUAUUAAAUAUAGUAAAUAAAAACUAAACGACAAGAUAAAUCUAUUAACCUGAUUAGUACAUGGUUCACACAUGUGAUGCUUAAUCAUGGAUUAGUUAGGUUCAAUAAAUUUGUAUUGCCGUUUAUUAGUCUUCAGUUGUGUAAAUAGUUUUAUAACUAGAUUAUAUCUAACUUGUAAUAGGCAUUUGGAUAUCCGAUGUGACAACAUGCUAAACUUUAGUCCCUUAAACUAAAUGCUCUGGUUGUCGACAGGGAAUGCGUGAUGGCUCCAUCCCUAUCCAGAGGAGAAAAAGAAUUAUCCGUUCCUGUUCUCGUCCCAUGAACAAUUACGGAGGACCUAUCUCUAUCUCUGCCCCCACACGGGUAAUUUUCUCUCCGUGGGAAAUUUGUCACUGUUACAAAAUGCAAUAUUUAAAGAUAAGUAUGCAUCAUUUAUAUGGAAUUAAUAUAAAUUGAACUGGCAAGUUUUAAUGUAACAAGAGGUAUCUAGUUUAGAAUUUAGUAUGCUAAUUAUACUAGGCUAUGAGUUAAGUUUUUGAUAGAUUUUUAACAUGCAAAGGAAUUAAUUUAGAGUAAGAGAAGUCAGUACGUGCUGAACGAGGAUGUGAAUGGCUCUCCAUCCCCUUCUCCAUAAACCUGGUGGAGACUAAGGAUUUUGCAUCAACAAACAACUCUUCUUACUUUCAAAAAGAGCUUCUCAGAGAGUAUCUUAUUUGGUUGGAAACGUAGCUCUUCCUAUUUUUACGUGGAAGGGAAGGACGGGAGAGAGAGACUCCCGAAGAAGUCUCUGUUUUGGGCUCUCUGGUUCGCUCGAUUUCUAGAGGCAAUUCCUCACUAUUUUUAUGAAGAAGUAAGUCUAAAUUUUCUAGAGCCGCUCGUUUAAUAGAUUUUUUUGACGGAGUUUUUAAAGGAGUCUUUGAAAGAGUGGCACCAAAAGAGUCUAAAUUUUCUUCAUUUUAAUUUUAAUAAAGAUUAGAACCUAUUUGUUUGGGAUAUAAUAAUUUGUCUGUACCUCUAUCCCUUACUAGGGAAUUAUCUGUAAGGAACCACGGAUCAGGCCCCGUUGCCAUCUCCAUUGGAGCUAGACUAUAGAAGUAGAUGUCUUGAAAAGGAGUCUCCGUCACGCACCAACUCCAACGCCUCCUCGCCUGUCCCCAUUUGAGACAAAUCCACGUCCGUCCAUCUAGAGCGAGCGAGAGAGAGAGGAAGCUUCUCUGAUUCCGCGGUUCGGCUCGCCCGGCCAUGAUAGAGAUAAAGCAAUGAUUCGCUCCGGCUAGCAUCGCAUCUGAUCGAUCACUCUCAAUCCCCUGCAGCUCCCGCCCACCCACCCACAGGCGUCGCUCUCGCCGGAGCUGCAGCGGCGACGCGGGCCUCGGCGCAGCGGGAUCUCCCACCCUCCGCCCACCGUCGCCGCCUCGCCGGCCGACCCAGGCAGCGCAGCGCAACGAUCGGUCACAAACAAGAACGACCAAGGCGCGCCCCUCAAGCGGCGUCGUCGUCCUCGUCCUCGUCCCCCCCGAGACCCCGAGCGCGGAGGAAAAAGUCAACCCGGAUCCAUCCACGAGAAGAGAUGGGGUCGUUCAAGGGGCACGUGCUCCCGGGCACGCUGUUCCUGGCGGUGGGGCUGUGGCGGGUGUGGUCGUCGGCGGCGCGGCACGCCGCGGACCCGUCGUCGUUCCGGGUGCGCGCGUGGAGCCCCGCGCCGGCGCCCGGGCCGGCGCGGCUGCUGGAGCUCUACGUCGUGGCGGGCGGCGCGCUGGCGGACAUGUGCGUGGAGGUGCUCUACUCCACGCACCUCCGGAUAUUCGCCGGCGGCGAGGUCAACCCGGCGCACCUCAACGACCUCGAGCACGGCGGCAUGCUGCUCAUGUUCUUCCUCUUCGGCGCGCUCGCUCUCGCGUCCCAGCUCUGGCCCAGGUCUGUCUGUCUGUCUGUCUGUUCUGUCUUCUGUGUGCACGCGCGCGCUCGUUGCCUAGCUCCUCUGACGGUCUCUGUCUGACCUAGCCCUCUCCGUCGAUCCAGCCAAACCUUGGAUCGUUCGUCGUUUCUCAAGCUUUUUACGCUAGGAUUCGUUGCAUGCGCGAUGAUCACGAAGAAGAGGAGCCGCCGCGUCGUAGUCGUCGGUUCUUUUUGGUUUCAAAGAAAAGAAAAGGAAAAAAAAAACAGAAUCUUUAGGUUGGUUGGAUUAGUUGGGUGGCGCCGUGGCGAGGCUGUACAUGUUUGACUCGUCGCCAUGAUUGGCUGGCGCAGCCAUGUGGUGGUCGAUCCAGCUCACAACACAACACCAUGUCCUCCAACUCGCCUACAAAUCCAUACACCAAGAACACUGCCUGUCUCGUGGUCGUAGUACCCGUAAGCAGCAGCACCAGCAGCGAUGUUUUGGUGAAAGGGAAAAAUUAAAAGGGAUUUCGUGGCGGCGUGCCUUCCCUUUUCUGAAUGCACGUGGAGUAGUAGCAAGUGCAGUCCGACUCUGUUUCGCAUUGGAGUGCUGUUGGGGGGGCCCCAAGCUUGAUCUCACCCCAACGACAACGAGUGCAUGCAGUCCCCCCUCUCUUCUUUUCUGAUCCACACCUGCGCAGCUUUUGUUGUUUCGUCUUGGAAAAUCUUUGGCAAGCAAUCAUGCAGUCGUACAACGCCAUUAUUAUAUAAAGUACGCAGCAAAGCAUGAGUAGUAAACAAUGGGGUGUUGAACUGAACAACGAAUACGAACGGUGCAGGCACUUCCCGCUGACGGACGGAGCGCUGUGCCUGGUGGCGGCGACGGCGUUCACGGCGGAGCUGGUGCUCUUCUACUUCCACUCCACGACGCACAUGGGGCUGGAGGGCUACUACCACUACCUGCUGGUGCUGCUGGUGGGCCUGUGCGUGGCCGCCGCCGUCCUCGGCGCGCUCCUGCCGGACAGCUUCCCGGCCGACCUGGCCUCGGGCGUCCUCGUCGCGCUGCAGGGGCUCUGGUUCUACCAGACGGCGCUGGCGCUGUACGGGCCCAUGCUGCCCGCGGGCUGCGCCCGCGACGCCGACGCCCACGUCGAGUGCCGCUCGCGCGCCGCGCAGGAGCGCGCCGAGCAGCUCGCCAUCUCCCAGCUCUUCGCCCUCGUGCUCCUCGCCUUCCUCUACGCGCUCGGGUGCUACGCCGUCGCUGCCGCCAGGUACGGGCAACCCCCGGAGCUGGCCGUGGUUCGUCAUAGGCACGCCGCGGCCGUGGAGCUGGAGUGCCGGCAGGGUGAUGACGCUGGCGCGCUGGAGGAGUGCGCGAUCUAGUGGCCAGGCCAGUGGUGAUGGCUGCUCUGGAUGGAGUCUGCUGGACUCUGCCUUUUGGGUUUGGUGUAGUAGCCGUAUAGGAAAUUCAGAUUUCAUAGUACAUGCGUGGGCAGAAGUAGCUUGCAGCUUGUUCGCUGCGGCUUGCUGCGGCUGCAAUCCGGCUGCGGCUGCGGCUUCUACAGUAUUUUUCUCUCUAUGGAUUGCAGCUGCAGCAGUCCAAACAGCUGCAACAGUGUCGGCUUGUAGCCAGCCGAACACACCCUUGGAGUUUUCAGGCUUUCGAUAUCAGGGAGGGCAGGGCAGGCAGGGAGUGUACAUGUUCGGAUUAACUAUCACCAAAGCUUUUGGGUUUCAUUUCACGAGUUGCUUAACUUAUGCUGUAACUGUUACUCAUGUCAGAGGAGCGAUACAUAGAAUGAAAGGAAUAUACUUGUUCGUAAAACUGUCUGUUCCAUGCAUAGAGCGACUAACAAGAGAGACCAAACUAUGCCUUGAUCGAAAGGCAGAGGUCUUACAGAUCACUGAAACCAUAAUUAUGACAUCAGUAAAGUAAUGCUUUACACGGAGCUCGGCAUUCACGCUGGGAAUUAUUUGGACUAUCAGACCUGCCAAUAGGACUGGGCAUAGAAACCGAAAACCGAACACCGAAACCGAAAAAGCCGGAAUCGAAUAAACCAGAUUAUUUUUCGGUUACCAAUAUGCAGAAACCGAACUAAUUUUGGUGUUCGAUUUUUAAUUUCGGUUUAAACCGAACCGGAAGCACAUGAGCCAUCCCAUAUUUUCCCAUUCCCUAUCGGUCGGCCCAUUAGGCAUUCAGGCCAUCACGCUGCGUAGGAGCUGAGCCGGUCACGCACUCACGCCAAUACGCCAUCGCCCAUCGCGGCAUCGCCCAGACGCGGUCACGCGGAGACGCCACGCCGAACCCUAGCUAGAGCGUCGCGCCGCCGCUGCCGAGUCACCGCGACACUGCCUGUCUGCCUGGGCGCCUGGCGGCUAGCCGGCCACCGCGGCACCGCGUGCCACCACUAGCGCCCAGGGUUCAUUUUAUCGAUAGGGAAAAAAUAUCGGAGGUUGGCGAUAAACAGGAUUAUCGGAUUUAUCGGAAUUUUAUCGGAGAUAGACAAAUUUUUUCGGUACAAAUUUGUAGAAAAUGACUCAGUUUGUUUAAAUGUUAUGUAGAUUAUAUUUCGACAUUUAACAAAUAAAAACAACACAGACCAUCUAAUCAAGUAAAUUUAUGGUUUUUAGUGUUCUGGAAGAAAGUGAGAAGACAUAUAGACCAUCUGACUUCUAAUUUGAAUAUUUUAUAGUGUAAAUUCAAAAAAUUUGAAAAUUUCGGCUGAUAGAAAAAAUAUAUCGGAGGUCACCGAUAAACAGAAAAAUCGGGUUUAUCGGAUAUCAUAUCACCGAUAAAGUUUUCCCUGCUAGCGCCCACCGUUCAGCCGUCCAGCGUCCUCAUCCACCAGGCACCAGCCGGCAACCCGACAUCGCUUGCCCAGCAGCCCGGCACCGCUUGCCCGGCACGACGACACCGCUUGCACGGCACGGCGCCACUCGCCAGUUCGGCCAGUGCAGUCAGCCACUCGCCAGUUCACCACCAGGCUCGCCAUUCGCACACAACAGUCCUAUGUCAACACCAACGGAGCAGUCCUCUAAUGAAGUAUGGUUUGAUUUUGUCUCUGUGUUGUCUUCUUUUUAGUGAUUUUUGCUUCAAAUGUUUAUUUGUGUCUGUGUGGCCACUAUAAUAUAGGUCCUAAAUGCCACCAAGGAAUCAGCACCGACCGCCGGCAACACUACUGAGGAAAAGAAAGAAGAUAACGCGAAGAAAAGGAAGGAGAUUGCACCUAGAUCAGAAGUAUGGUCUCACUUUGUCAAGAUUUGUGUUGAUGGACACUUGAAGAAAGGGAAAUGCAAGUAUUGCAGCCGUGAGAUCAAGUGUGACCCAAAUUUGAAUGGUACAUCUGCCCUACGUGCUCAUUUUAAUAUUUGCAAGUGCAAUCCUCAUAAAAAUAGAGACCCAAAUCAAAGCAAUUUACAAUUAUCUCAUGGUGAAAACGUUGCAAUCUAUAAGUUUGAUCCUAAAGCAAUUAGAAAAGCAUUUUGUGAAAUGGUCAUUGAAGAUGAGCAACCAUUUGCAUGUGCUGAAAAGGCAGACUUUAGAAAGUUCAUGUCAAUUGCUUGCCCAUGUUGGAAUGUGCCAUCUAGAAGAACCAUCACUAGAGACACUGUGUCUACAUACUUUGAAGAGAAAGCAAAGCUCAAAACCUUUUUUAAGCAACAAUGUGAAAGAGUUUGUCUUACAACUGAUGCUUGGACUUCUCAACAACAAGAUAGUUAUAUGGCUGUAACAGCACAUUUUAUAGAUUCUGAUUGGAAAUUGCACAAGAAGGUUAUUAGUUUUUUUCUUAGUGAAGGGUCAUAAAGGUGAUGAUAUUGGAAAAAACAUUAUGAGGUGUUUGGUUGAAUGGGGGAUUACUAAAAUCAUGACAAUUACAGUUGAUAAUGCUAGCUCUAAAAGGGACACAUAGGUAGUAUGUAUAAAAUAAUUCUACUUCAUUACAUACCCAUUUAAUGUUCAGGAAUGUAUUUAUACAGCUGGCAUCUGAUGCACUGUUUCCUUGUCAACGAAAAGGGACGCAGGGAUCAACUGUUCCCCUCGUCCCCUAGGUAAAAAAGGAAUGGUAAGCCAAAGCUGGAAAUGUUGUGAUGUACAUUAAUGAGUGAUUGACAUAAGAUAACUGCUAGCAUGAUUAAUAGAACAAGUAUGUUUCGAAGUGUAUGCAUCAUUAUCCAGUGCCUAUUAAUGGAAACUUUCUUUCAGGGUAAGUUGAGUGAUGGAAAAGUGGUGGCAGUGAAGCAGCUCUCUCGGUCCUCUAACCAGGGAAAGAUGCAGUUUGCGGCAGAAAUCGAAACCAUUUCCCGAGUGCAGCACCGUAACAGUUCCAGGAUGGACUAAGUUGUUUAUGUGGGAAACAUUUGUAUGACUGUAUUGUAUAUUCACAUUUUUAUUCUAUUCGGUUUGACUAAGUUGUAUGACUGUAUUGUGUAUUCACAUUUUUAUAACCAGGAUGGACUAAGUUGUAUUUGUAUAACCAGGGAAACAUUUGUAUUGUGUAUUUGUAUGACUGUAUUGUGUAUUCACAUUUUUAUAUUUCCAGGAUGGACUAAGUUGUAUAACAGCACCGUAAUAGUUUUAUUCUAUUCGGUUUUUUCGGUUAAACCGAAAACCGAACCGAAAAAAUCGGUUAACUGAAGGUUCGGUUUUUGAUUUUCCGCAGGAGGUUUCGGUUACCGUUUUUCAGAAACCGAAUUUAUAAAAAAACCGAAAAACCGAACCGAAAAAAUGGUUAGCCGAUUGCCCAGGCCUACCUACCAAGCUGCAACAAACUAGCUGUGGCUACGUAAGAAAGGGCUUUAUUGAUUUCAAGAUCAAAAUACCGAGCUGAUACAAUCGUAAAAUUAACUCUAAACACAAACUUGGUUUACAGGUGAUCCUGCAAAAUUAACUCUAAACACAAACUUGGUUUACAGAAUAUGUUAGUGAGAAACUAAGACCAAGUUAGAACGAGAAGACAAAAGAAGAGAGCUCGUUCACUUGAUUGCUCCUUUAAUAUAUGUAUUAAACUUAAGAGUAAUAUUGCUGGUGAGUAUGAGAACUUAAGAGGGCAUCAAUCGCAAUAAGUAAAAUAGAAAAGAGACACAACGAUUUUUACCGUGGUUCAGCCAAUACCCAUUCCACGUUGCGGUGAUCUCUUUUGGUCAUGGGUUGCACUCAACCUCUUUCAAGUGAUCCAAAGAUCAAACUUGAGUGCCACGAUUAUCUUCCUUAUAUCAAUAUCCCUUUGUGAGGAAUCUCCACAAAUUGGAGUCUCUCACACCUUACACAAAAUGAUCAAAAUCAAAUCCGGAGUAAGGAGGGGAGUAGAAACACACACAAGAGCACAGUCGCAGCGACACCACGCACACCAGCAAAGAAGAGAGUGCACGAAUCAAAACGACACAGUCACAGCUCAAGGACGUGCUCAAAUCUCUCUCUAACAAAUCAAAAGCGUGGUAACUGAGGUUCGUAGUUGUGGCGUGCUCAAAGUAUGCUUGGAUACUGCUCCAAGGCGCCUAGGGGGUCCUUUUAUAGCCCCAAGGGACCUAGGAGUCGUUGGAGCUUCAUUUGGAAGCUCCCAGCCUUCCCUGAGUGCGAGUGCAUCGAACUAUCCGGUGGCACACCGGACACUGCACAAUACAACGAUCAAAAGAUCCCUGAUUGUUCACUUUUCGUGUUAGACGGGCAUCAGACUGUUUGGUGCUCCAUCUGAACGUUGGAUGCAGCUGACGUGGUUGAUAGCCGUUGGCUGUCUUUCCUAAUAUUCACCAAUUUCAGGUGUUACCUCUCCUUUCUUUGGUUUACUUCUAUUUUUCUAAAUUUUGAGGAGUUAUUUUGUACUAUAUAAGUAUUAAUCGUAGUAUGUUCAAAACCCUAGGGGAAUUAUUGUGGUUGCAUCACAUGCUGGAGCACCUAAUUUUGUAUGAUGUUUUGAGUUGUUGCGCCUCCAUUUAAACUCACGAAACAUGUUGAUUUUGAAUUUAAAAGCUAGAGCUAAAUUCAAAAUAGAAAGAAGAUAAAAAAAGAGAAAGGGAAACCCAUCCUAGCCUCCCCUAGCCGGCCUGCUUCCCCCUCCCUCCCCUGGGCUUGCGCGAAAGCAGCCCAACGACCUUCCCUGGCAACUUGCGCGCGCGGCCCACCUCCCCGGCCCACUCCCAAGCCUUCACACCACCCGCGUCGCUCUAGCAGGUGGGCCAGCCCAGCGCUGCUCCGCGCCCCUUGGCCCAUGGGCGCGCGCCGCCCAUCCCCCGCUACCGCCCAGGCCACCAGCCAGCACGUAGCGCGCGCUUGCGCAAGCGCCACCACAGCCUAUCAUCCUGCGCGUGGGCCCACCCAUGUGCACAUGCAUGCUGUGAGGAACUGAAGCGUCCCGAUCCUUUGGGACUCAAAUGUGAUACAAAUACUAGUCCCAGGAGGCUAGUAAACACAUUUCUUACUUCAAAUAGUACAGAGUUUAUAUAAAGGUUAUUACAAUACCGGGGUACAAGCUCGAGAGAGCCAAAAUAAGAAGCGCAGUAGGAAAAUAUAGUAGCCCAAGCCACAGGCAGAACUAGGUGCAGACACAGCCCCCUCAAUCAAGCAUAGCAGAAAAGAAGUCUUCGGCUGCUGAAAAACAUAAAUAAAUCUGGGUGAAUACACUAGGUAUUCCGCAAGCCCACCCCGCUCCCAUAGAGAGAAAGAGACCUAUAAUAUACAUGCUUUAUUUGGUGGAGUUGAAGUCACUCAUCAUUUUCUUAGAGAAAGGCAGUUACUGUAAGGUUUCUCCCAAAGACUUAAAAGCAGCAAAAUACUCAACCACCACUGAGCUUCCCGCUCCCGUGGCCCUGUUCUCUUUUUCAGUACCCAUUUACCCACACACAUCCCUGUUCAUGGAACUCAAGGAAAAAUCUCUAAUUGCCAAACCAUACCAGUGGACAUGGACUAUUCGAAUAGGUUUCAACUCUGCGCAGAGGGGUACACUUUACCCACUAGCCCGGUUUCUGCGAUCUCACCGUCGCGAGACCCGAAUGCCGGAUCUCUUUCCUUACCCGUACGUCCUAACCUUAACGGUUAUCCGGAAGGAGUCAGGCCACCACCAUGUCCAAAACGGACAAAACUUUCCCCCUCCUUAUCCUCCCGGUGCUCCCCAGCCUUCUUAACCCUGGGGUUGGACCGCACGAGUUCGGAUUGGGUGACUGCCCACACAGUCUCGAGUGGUUGUACGAUAAAUGAGUACAGGUAGUGAAAAUGACAAGCUGGUCCUUAUAUGAGGGGACAAUCCUUCUACUCACGCCUAAACCAGCUGAGCCAACACCUUAGGCCCUCCCCUAAACCAGGGAGUCCUUGAUCAUCCCACUCCCAAGGUGAUGAGGGUGAGUACCCUUCAUCGCAUAACUUUUCAAAAAGAGGUUUUCUUUGGAGAAGCACAUUGCCCUUCUUUCCAAUUCACAUUUCGUUUCAGAAUGUAUAUGUUAAUGCGGGCCAUCUCUCACUCACAAUGCAAUAUUCCCCCAUAAUUCCCGGCCUAGGCAAUGGUAGAGAGAGUAGGUAAUUUAUGCAUCAAGGGAAGGAUGGACUUGCCUUCGUCGAAGCUUUCCUGGCACAGAAGAUCUACUUCCGGAAGUUUGGGCUCUGGUCCCUCUUCCGAGGCUACGGGUUCCGGAUCAACGGUCCCCGCUUCUUCUAGGAAAACAGGCAAUAAAACAAUACAUCAACAGGGAUUCACAAAUUAUAGUGUGUCAUUUUCUAACAUCAUUAUUGCAUGUGACCUUAGAAAUUAUUUUUGAUAAUUUUUGGUGCAUAAAAUAUUGAGGAGACUAAUUAAAGGAGGAAAAUGCUGAAAAAGGAAAAAAGAAAAAGGGUUUCAGCUCUGGUGGGCCGGGGGAAAGGAAUCUGGCCCAGCCAGGCGCAGCGCGCGCGCGUGAGGGCGCCGGCCCAGCUGCGGCCCAGUGCGGGUGACGGCGCGGGCGCGUGAGGGGACGACGCCGUUGCCGUGGGCCCACAUGCCAGCGAGAGCAGAGGGGGGGGGGAAACGGCGUCACGGUUGUGGGUGGUGCAAACCGGUCGCCCGCGGGGAGGGAACCCGGCGCCGGUGGGCUCGGCGGCGAUUCGCCGCCGGUGGCCCGGUUCUUGGACAAUGCGUAGGUGCCUUAGCACGGGGAGGGCCUGGCGAGCCUAGAGGUGGGCUCAAUUUGGCUAGAGGGGGCCGGGAGGGGCUGUCCGCGGGGAGGCGGCGGAGCUUCGCGGCGGGGUUGCCGUCGGUGAGCUCUGGGCGAGCAAUCGGGGUGGGGGAGUGGUGUACUGCAUUCGUGGCGGUGUGGCGAAGCUAGGGGGCCAAGCAAUCGCUUGAUGGACCAACAGAGGGGCAGGGAGAAGAGAGGGACGGCUCACCGGGGAGGAAGACAAUGGCGGCGGCCUUUCCACGAAUUGAGCUCGGACGAGGGAGGAGAGGAAUGGCCGAGGCCGGUGCGGGGAAGGAGGGGCUCGGUGCGUCCCUUUUAUAGGCACGCGAGGGAAGGGGAGCGGUGGAGCCUCACGGCACCGGUGAGCUUGCACAGCGCCGCCCAUAAAUGCCGCACAACACCGCCGAUGAGACGCCACGGCGGGGCGGUACCGGCGAGGACGCUGGUCAAGGGGGGGGGGAGGACGGAGCGGUGCCAAACUUCCCUGUGCGGCGAGAAGACGGAGGCGAUGGCCGGAGGUGACCGCGAUGAAGGGACGGCGGGGAAGACGACGAAGCGACUAACAAGCGGGGCCAUACUGCCAGUGGGAGUGAUCGCGAGCGAGGCGAGGGAUGGGGCGGCUGACGGGUGGGGACGGCUCGUCAGUGAGAGAGAGAGGGAGCGCAGGGCGGGCUGGCGCGCGUGCGCGAGAGCGGGCCGGAAAUGGGCCGGGGGGAGGGAGUUGCGGGCGCGAGGGGGGGGGGAGAGAGCGGCCGUGGCAUGGGCUGGAUUCAGCCCAGCAGAGGGGGGAGGGCUUUUCUCUUUUUCUUUUUAUUUUCUAAUUCCUUUAUCCAUUUUUUAUAUCUUUUUCCUUUGAACAAUUAAUAGAUAAUCUUAGGUGCUGAAAAAUAAAAUCUAAGUGAGGUGCUUGUGAUCAAACAAGGUGUAUGCAUAUGAUGAAAGAAAAUUUAAGGGAGUUCUUGGAAUUUAGAGGAUGAAAAGGGGAGAGGUGUAGCUUAGGGUUUCGAACCUAGGUUAGGAUUUUUGGGAUGUUACAAACCUACCCCACUUAAAGGAAUCUCGCCCUCGAGAUUCAAACGGGGCUCGAGAAAAGGUAAGGGUAUUCCUUCCUCAGAGAGUCCUCACUUUCCCAGGUGGCUUCCUCUUCUCCAUCUCUGCUCCACUGAACCUUACAGAGUUUUACUUCUGAGUUGCGGGUCCUUCUGACUGCUGAGUCGAGAAUCUUCACUGGCUUUUCUCGGUAGUGUAGAUCCUUUUGAAUCUGAAUUGCAUCUGCCUCGAUGUGGGUUUCUGGUACCUUUAGGCAUUUGCGGAGUUGAGACACAUGGAACACAUUGUGAAUAUCUGACAUGGAUUCUGGUAGCUCAAGACGGUAUGCUGCGGGUCCUAUUCGGGAAAUGACGGGGUAGGGACCGACGUAACGUGGUGCCAGUUUUCCUUUCAUUUGGAACCGUUUGACACCCCGCAUCGGGGAGACCUUGAGAUAAACGAAAUCUCCUUCCUCAAAUCUGAGUUCCCUUCGUCUAUUGUCUGCGUAACUCUUCUGUCGACUCUAAGCUUCAAGUAACCUCCUGCGGAUCAAAGCGACUUUCUCUUCGGCUUCUUUAACAAAGUCGGGUCCUUCUAGUGUCCUUUCCCCUACAUUGGACCACAUUAGGGGAGUCUGGCAUUUUCUUCCAUACAGUGCUUCGAAUGGUGACAUUUUGAUGCUGGCCUGAUGGCUGUUGUUGUACGAGAAUUCGGCGUACGACAAACUGGACUCCCAAUCCCUGUCGAAUGUUAGCACACAGGCUCUUAGCAAAUAUUCGAGGAUCUUGUUGACCCUUUCCGUUUGAUCAUCUGACUGGGGGUGGUAAGCGGUGCUGAAAUCUAGCUUGGUGCCCAUUGCUUGCUGGAGGCCUUUCCAAAAUUUUGAAGUGAACUGCGUUCCUCUAUCUGAUACUAUCUUCCGCGGAAUGCCAUGGAGCCUGACUAUCUCUUUUAGGUAUACUCGGGCAAGGGCGGCUCCUCCAAAAGUGGUCUUUACUGGAACGAAGUGGGCCACCUUGGUGAGACGAUCGAUUAUUACCCAUAUGGAAUCAUUUCCUUUCUGAGUUCGAGGCAGUCCGGUCACGAAAUCCAUGCCUAUUUCUUCCCACUUCCAUUCGGGUACUGGGAGGGGUUGAAGUAGGCCUGCAGGCUUCUGAUGUUCGGCCUUUGUUCGCUGACAGGUGUCACACCGGGCCACAUAUUGUGCUAUUUCCUUCUUCAUCCCUUUCCACCAGUAUCCGGCUUUGAGGUCUAGGUACAUCUUGGUGGUUCCUGGGUGGAUGGAGUAAGCUGAGUUGUGGGCUUCAUUGAGCAGGGUUUCCCGUGCCUCUCCCACUGGUACACACAAACGGUUCUUGAACCAGAGGACUCCUUGCUCAUCUGUCCUAAGGUCUGGAAGUUGCUCCUUGCGAGCUCUUUCCAUAAGUCUGGAUGUCUCUGCGUCCAGGCGUUGAGCCUUGCAUAUGAGAUCUUCUAGAUUUGGCUUGACUUCCAGGCUACCGUUGUCUCCCAGACAUGCAUUUAGCUGAGCUGAUUCUUUCUUCCAAUCUUCCAGAAAGUUGGUUUCUUUAAUUCCGAAAGGUUUUCGGCUGAGGGCGUCUGCUACCACGUUGGCCUUCCCGGGGUGGUAGUGGAUUUCGAGGUCAUAAUCUUUGAUUAAUUCAAGCCAUCUUCUUUGACGGAGGUUGAGGUCUGGUUGCGUGAAGAUGUACUUCAGACUCUUGUGAUCAGUGAAGAUGUGGCAUUUGUUCCCGAUCAGAUAAUGCCUCCAUAUUUUUAGGGCAUGCACUAUGGCUGCCAAUUCCAGAUCGUGGGUAGGGUAGUUCUGCUCGUGUGGCUUGAGUAGGCGGGAUGCAUAAGCAAUAACUUUCUCAUUUUGCAUCAAGACACACCCUAAGCCUUGUUUGGAAGCAUCACAAAAGAUGACAAAAUCCUGGUGUAUAUCUGGCAGUGUCAAAACUGGUGCGGUUGUAAGCUUUUCCUUGAUGAUCUGGAAACUUUCCUCACAUUUGGGGGUCCACACAAACUUAUUGUCCUUUUUGAGAAGUUCGGUCAUAGGUUUUGCUAUGCUGGAGAAUCCCUUGAUGAAACGGCGAUAAUACCCUGCCAUUCCCAGAAAGCUUCGUACUUCACUGACGUUGGAUGGUUGUCUCCAAUUUGAAACGGCUUCUACCUUGGACGGGUCUACUUCUAUCCCUUCUGCAGUCAAGAUAUGCCCCAGGAAAGCUAUCUUCUCUAACCAGAACUCACACUUGCUGAGUUUAGCAUAGAGUUGAUGUGCUCUGAGUCUUCCGAGGAUGAUUCGGAGGUGACGCUCAUGGUCCUUACGAUUCUUGGAAUAAAUGAGGAUGUCGUCUAUGAAGACUACGACAAACUUGUCCAAUUCUUCCAUAAAUACCUUAUUCAUGAGGUUCAUGAAAAAGGCGGGUGCGUUUGUUAGCCCAAACGACAUCACUGUGAAUUCAUAUUGCUCGUAUCUGGUGACGAAUGCAGUCUUCUGAAUGUCUGCUUCCUUGAUUCUCAGUUGGUGAUACCCUAAUCUGAGGUCUAUCUUGGAGAAGUAUUUGGCUCCCUGCAGUUGGUCGAAGAGGUCAUCGAUUCGAGGGAGAGGGUACUUAUUCUUGAUCGUAACUUCAUUUAAGGAUCGAUAAUCAAUACACAUUCUCAUACUUCCAUCCUUUUUAGUAACGAAAAGAACGGGUGCUCCCCAGGGAGACGAACUGGGACGAAUGUACCCUUUUUGUUGCAGCUCUGCAAUUUGGAGUUUUAAUUCUGCUAAUUCUGUGGGAGCCAUGCGGUAUGGUCUCUUUGCGAUGGGCGCAGUGCCAGGAAGGAGAUCUAUAUAGAACUCUACUCCUCUUUCUGGUGGCAUCCCGGGCAACUCUUCCGGAAAUACAUCCUCAAACUCUUCGAUUACAGACAUGUUUUCUGUUGCCAGAUUGAACAUCAUCGGAUCGUUUACUGGCGGCUGGGCUUGACAUGAAACUGCCUUUCCUUGGUGAUCUGUGAGAAGAACAGUUUUGUUUGCGUAGCUGAUGAUACCUUUGUGCUUAGCUAGCCAAUCCAUUCCUAGUAUCACAUCAAUCCCUUGGGACGGCAAGAUGGUUAAGUCUGCCAGGAACACUACCCCACUUAGAAGAAUUCUGACUUGAGAGCACUUGAGUUUGCACAGGAGGUCUGAUCCUGGGGUUCGGGUGACCAAGGGGACAGCUAGGGGUGUAGAGGGAAUACCAUGUUUUUCCACAAACUUAGCGGCUAUAAAAGAAUGAGAUGCUCCCGAAUCAAAAAACACAGUAGUGGGAGUAAAUUCAACAAGGAACUCACCGAGCACUACUCCCGGGGCUUGUUGGGCUUCUUGAGCGUCGACGUGGUUGACUCGGGCCCUGCCCUGGUACUGAGUCCUGCUCUGCUGGCUGUUGGAAGGAGGUGCCUUGGAGGUAGGUGUCGAGGGAAUCUUGGGGCCAUUCACUGAGUUGGAGUAGGUCGGUCCGGGUGCCUUCAACUGAGGGCAGUUGUUCUUGAAGUGACUGGGGUCUCCGCAGUGCCAACAGGCGUUUGCUGGCGGUUGGUUGCUUGCAACGGAGGGUGCCUGAAGGGAGCUCUGACUCUGCUUACUGUAGCGCGAUGGGGUGGGUCCAGAUGGUUUAUUGAAGCUUGGUCCCCUGGGUGGAAGCCCAAAGGGUCGAGCUCUCUGGUGACGUUCUUGCUGCUGAGCUCGGAGAACUUGGAAUUUCCUCUUGAGGUGCCCUUUUUCUUCCUCUUUUGCCCUUUCCACUUGGAUAGCUUUGUUGGAGAGGUGCGAGAAGCUGUGGAAGUCUUGGCUGGCGAGGAUGGUCUUAAGCUCGGGUCUUAAUCCUCUCAGGAAACGGGCCAUCUUUCUGGACUCGGUGCUGACAUCCUCAGGCGCGUAGCGGGCCAGCUCUGUGAACUUGUGCACAUACUCACUGACUGUUCUCCCGCCUUGAGUUAGCUCCCGGAAUUCAUCCUCCUUGAGUUGAACUAUCCCCUGGGGUACGUGGUGCUCACGGAAGGCUGCUUCGAAUUCUGCCCAGGUAGCAUCUCUGACGGCUUCACUGAAAGUGUCCCACCAUGCUAAAGCCAUUCCUGAAAGCUGAUGAGCAGCCAGUUGAACACGCUAAUUUUCGGGGCAUCCGAUGGCUUCCAACUUUCUCUUGAUCGUGCGAAGCCAGUCAUCUGCAUCGAGGGGAUUGCUGGACCCCGCGAACGUGGGAGGCUUGAGUCUUAAAAAUUCUCCCAUCCUGUCCUGUGGCCUUCCACCACCUGGGCGCUGGUUUUCCAGACUUCGAGUGAGGACUUCAAUGAGUCGGGUUUGAUUGGCUAGAACUUGGGCUAAGUCUAGUGGUAGUUCCGGAGGUGCGGGGAGGUGGGUCUCACCCCCUUCUCCGCCAGCCUCUCCUUCAGCUCCUAGAGGAAGUCUUGCUCCAAUCCCGGAGGUGGUAGGCGUGGUUUUAUCCGAAGCCAUCUGCCAUGGGAAAAGAGUCACUAUCAUGCACAUGCCAUUUUUUUAACUAGUUACUUUAUUCAUUACAUCCAGCCAUUACAACACAACACACUGCUACCAUACGUUCAUCACACACGAGUCCUAUCUAGGGUACUCCCGAACUCCUUCUCUAAAGUGUCCCCAAAUUCCUUGAGAAGGUCAUCAAGGCUGACCAGGGACAUCUCCUCGGUGUCGGAUGAGUCCCUUAACCCGACAGGGGGUAGGAUUGGAGGGUUUCCUUCCUUCUGCUCAGUCUGACAUCCUUGGCUUUUGGUCUUCUUGCGGAUUUUUCUUGCGGGGGCGAGCUUCUUCAGUUUCUUGUCAUAGUCCAUUUUUAGGGUGCAGUAAGCUUCACGGGUAUUGGUCUCCUCGCCUUCAGCUAUUGAGAGGCUCUCUUGAAGGGACGCCUUUUCCCCUGAAAGUUCCCUGACUUUUUGCUCCAGGCUUUCCACCCGGGAGGUUAGGGAGGUGCAGUGGAGGGCGAGGUCAUCAUAUUGGUUAUCAAGGGUGUGAAGGUAUCCAGCCAUGUAGACAAUGGUGGGUUCAUUCUGAAAGGGAAAUGUGCCCUUGGGCCAUUUCUAAGUAUUUUGGUGAUUGAGUGCCAACACAAGUGCUUAAAUGUGAAAUCAUGUUUGUGGAUGGACAAAGUGCAAAUCAAGAGCAAAGGUAUGUUUCUAUGUCUUAGUACAUUGGUUUUGUGUACUAAUAUACUUGUCUAAGUAUUGGAAACAGGAAGAAAAAGAAAAGAAAAGAGUUGGCUGUGUACAGCCAAGGGGCUGUUUCGGUCUGGGGCACCGGACUGUCCGGUGGUGCACCGGACAGUGUCCGGUGCGCCAGGCUGCCUCGGCCGAAGAGGCCGCUCUCGGGAAUUUUGCUGACGGCGUACGGCUAAAAUUCACCGGACUGUCCGGUGAGUCAACGGUCGCCAGGGCCAACGGUCGGCCGCGGAUUCUGCGCGCGACACGUGGCCAAGCCAACGGCCGGAAGGGGGCACCGGACUGUCCGGUGUGCACCGGACAUGUCCGGUGCGCCAACGGCUCCCAGAUCUGCAACGGUCGGCUUCGCCAUUUAAGGAAAGGAAUCGGGCACCGGACACUGUCCGGUGUGCACCGGACUGUCCGGUGCGCCCGAUGACAGAAGGCAAGGAUGGCCUUCCUGAUUUGUUCUCAACGGCUCCUAGCUGCCUUGGGGCUAUAAAAGGGACCCCUAGGCGCAUGGAGGAAAUACCAAGCAUUCCUACAACAUUCUUAAGCACCAAGACAUCACUCUCGCGCAUUCGUUUCAUUGUGAUAGCAUCUAGAGCUCUUGUUGAGUUGCGAACUCUUUGAGUUGUGUUGCGAGCUCUUGUUGCAACUUGUGUGCGCGUUGUUGCUCUGUUCUUUUGAAGUCUUGUGUGCGUUGCUCAUUCCCCCUUUGCUCUGUGUUCUUUGUGAACUUCAAUUGUAAGGGCGAGAGGCUCCAAGUUGUGGAGAUUCCUCGCAAACGGGAUUGAGAAAAAGCAAGCAAAACACCAUGGUAUUCAAGUGGGUCUUUGGACCACUUGAGAGGGGUUGAUUGCAACCCUCGUCCGUUGGGACGCCACAACGUGGAGUAGGCAAGCGUUGGUCUUGGCCGAACCACGGGAUAAACCACUGUGUCAACUCUGUGAUUGAUCUCUUGUGGUAUUGUGUUUUGUUGAGACUCCUUUCUAGCCACUUGGCAUUUAUUGUGCUAACACUUAACAAGUUUUUGUGGCUAUAAGUUUAAGUUAUACAGGAUCACCUAUUCACCCCCCCUCUAGGUGCUCUCAAUUGGUAUCAAAGCCGUUCUCUUCAAGAAAGGGACUAACUGCCUGAAGAGAUGGAUCCUAAGGGGAAGGGAAUCGUGAUCAACGACAAGGAAAAGGAGUCCUUCGUCAACGAGCCAAAAGAUGACAAAUCCAACGACUCUGGCUCGGGCCACAGACGUAAAGAUGGGAAGAAGACGACGACAACGACUACAGGAAGACGGUCAAUUCGAACUUUUCAUUUGAUUAUUCUCGUAUUCCACAUAGUUCGAAUUCGCAUUUGCUUUCCAUUCCUCUUGGCAAACCUCCACACUUUGAUGGGGAGGACUACGGAUUUUGGAGUCACAAAAUGCGUAGUCAUUUAUUCUCUCUCCAUCCAAGCAUAUGGGAGAUUGUAGAGAAUGGAAUGAAAUUUGAUAGCUCGGAUAGCCCUAUGUUUAUUAAUGAACAAAUUCAUAAAAAUGCACAAGCUACUACUGUGUUGCUAGCCUCUUUGUGCAGGGACGAGUACAAUAAGGUGAGCGGCUUGGACAAUGCCAAGCAGAUAUGGGACACCCUCAAGAUUUCUCACGAGGGGAAUGACAUCACCAUGCUCACUAAAAUGGAGUUGGUGGAGGGCGAGCUUGGAAGGUUUGCAAUGAUAAGGGGCGAGGAGCCAACCCAAACAUACAACCGGCUCAAGACCCUCAUCAACAAAAUAAGGAGUUAUGGAAGCACGCGAUGGACGGAUCACGACGUCGUUCGCCUAAUGCUAAGGUCAUUUACCGUUCUUGAUCCUCAUCUCGUGAACAAUAUUCGUGAGAAUCCCAGGUACACGAAGAUGACGCCCGAGGAGGUACUCGGAAAAUUCGUAAGCGGGCGGAUGAUGAUCAAGGAGGCAAGAUACGUGGACGACGCCUUGAAUGGACCGAUCAACGAGCAUCAACCCCUUGCUCUCAAGGCAACAAGUAGCAAGGUGGCACAAAUUGAGGCGGCCGAACUUAAUGAUGAAGAGAUGGCUCUCAUCAUCAAAUGCUUCAAGACGGUGCUAAAAGGUCACAAGGGGCAGCCAAGCAAGACCAAGACAAAGGGGAAGCGCUCAUGCUUCAAGUGCGGUAAGAUUGGUCAUUUUAUCGCUAACUGCCCCGAUAACGAUAGUGACCAGGAACAGGGAAACAAGAGGGAAAAGAAGAAGAAUUACAAGAAGGCCAAGGGCGAGGCACACAUCGGAAAGGAGUGGGAUUCAGAUUGCUCCUCCGACUCCGACAAUGAAGGACUCGCCGCCACCGCCUUCAACAAGUCAUCCCUCUUCCCCAACGAGCGUCACACAUGCCUUAUGGCAAGGGAGAAGAAGGUGAGUACUCGAGACUCCACUUAUGCUCCUUCUAGUGAUAAUGAGUCUAGUGAUGAUGAUGACAUAGACUAUUCAUGCUUAUUCAAGGGUUUAGAUAGAUCUAAGAUAGACAAAAUUAAUGAAUUGAUUGAUGCCUUGAAUUAUAAGAAUGUGCUUUUAGAAAAGCAAGAGGAUUUGUUGUAUGAGGAACAUGACAAAUUUGUAGAAGCACAAAAAUCACUUGCAUUAGAGAUUAAGAGAAAUGAAAUGCUUUCUUGUGAGUUGUCUACAUGUCAUGAUUCAAUUGCUAGUUUAAAGAGCAAAAAUGAUGAUUUAAAUGCUAAACUAGAAAAAUCUAGUAAAUCAACAUCUUGUGUAGAACAUGUUGAGAUUUGCACUAGGUGUAAAGAUUUCGAUGUUGAUGCCUGUAGUGAUCAUUUAGUUUCAAUUUCCAAACUAACUGAGGAAUUGGCUAGUCUUAAUGCCCAACUUAAGACUAGCAAGAAUGAAUUUGAUAAACUAAAAUUUGCAAGGGAUGCCUACACGAUCGGUAGACACCCCUCAAUUAAGGAUGGACUUGGCUUCAAGAGGGAAGCCAAGAACUUAACAAGCCAUAAGACUCCGAUUCCCGCUAAGGAGAAAGGGAAGGCCCCUAUGGCUACUAGUGUUAAAAAGAACCAUGCCUUUUUGUAUCAUGAUAGGAAAAAUUCUAGAAAUGCUUUUAGAAGUUAUGAUGCUUAUGAUUCACAUGCUUAUGAUUCUUAUGCUAUGACUGCUUCUAGUUCUCAUGUUGUGCAUGAAAGAAAUGUUGGUAGAAGAAAUGUUGUUAAUAUUCCUAGGAAAGUUAAUGAGCCUUCUACAAUAUAUCAUGCUUUGAAUGCUUCCUUUGCAAUUUAUAGAAAGGAUAGAAAGGUAAUUGCUAGAAAGUUAGGGGCAAAAUGCAAGGGUGAUAAAACUUGCAUUUGGGUCCCUAAGGAUAUUUGCACUAACCUUGUAGGACCCAACAAGAGUUGGGUACCUAAGUCCCAAGCCUAAAUUUGCCUUGCAGGUUUAUGCAUCCGGGGGUUCAAGCUGGAUUAUUGAUAGCGGAUGCACAAACCAUAUGACGGGGGAGAAGAAGAUGUUCACCUCCUACGUCAAGAAUAAUGAUUCCCAAGAUUCAAUUAUAUUCGGUGAUGGGAAUCAAGGCAAGGUAAAAGGAUUAGGUAAAAUUGCAAUCUCAAAUGAGCACUCAAUUUCUAAUGUGUUUUAGUUGAGUCCUUGGGAUAUAAUUUGCUAUCUGUUAGUCAAUUAUGCAACAUGGGGUAUAACUGUCUAUUUACAAAUGAAGAUGUGUCUGUCUUUAGAAGAAGUGAUGGUUCACUAGCUUUUAAGGGUGUAUUAGACGACAAACUUUAUUUAGUUGAUUUUGCAAAAGAGGAAGCCGGUCUAGAUGCAUGCUUAAUAGCUAAGACUAGCAUGGGCUGGCUGUGGCAUCGCCGCUUAGCACAUGUGGGGAUGAAGAACCUUCACAAGCUUCUAAAAGGAGAACACGUGAUAGGUUUGACUAACGUGCAAUUCGAAAAAGAUAGACCUUGUGCAGCUUGUCAAGCAGGUAAACAAGUGGGAGGAGCACAUCACAGCAAGAAUGUGAUGACCACUUCAAGACCCCUGGAGCUGCUGCAUAUGGACCUCUUCGGACCUGUCGCCUAUCUGAGCAUAGGAGGGAGUAAGUAUGGUCUAGUUAUUGUUGAUGACUUUUCCCGCUUCACUUGGGUGUUCUUUUUGCAGGAUAAGUCUGAAACCCAAGGGACCCUCAAGCGCUUCCUCAGGAGAGCUCAAAAUGAGUUUGAGCUCAAGGUGAAGAAGAUAAGAAGCGACAACGGAUCCGAGUUCAAGAACCUUCAAGUGGAGGAGUUCCUUGAGGAGGAAGGGAUCAAGCAUGAGUUCUCCGCUCCCUACACACCACAGCAAAAUGGUGUGGUAGAGAGGAAGAACAGGACGCUAAUUGAUAUGGCGAGGACUAUGCUUGGAGAGUUCAAGACCCCCGAGCGAUUUUGGUCGGAAGCCGUGAACACGGCUUGCCACGCCAUCAACAGGGUCUACCUUCACCGCCUCCUCAAGAAGACGUCGUAUGAGCUACUAACCGGUAACAAACCCAAUGUAUCGCACUUUCGUGUAUUUGGGAGCAAGUGCUACAUUCUAGUAAAGAAGGGUAGAAAUUCUAAAUUUGCUCCCAAAGCAGUAGAAGGGUUUUUGUUAGGUUAUGACUCAAAUACAAAGGCGUAUAGAGUCUUCAACAAAUCAUCAGGUUUGGUUGAAGUCUCUAGCGACGUUGUAUUUGAUGAGACUAAUGGCUCUCCAAGAGAGCAAGUUGUUGAUUGUGAUGAUGUAGAUGAAGAAGAUGUUCCGACGGUCGCUAUACAAACUAUGGCGAUUGGAGAAAUGCGGCCACAGGAACAAGAUGAACGAGAUGAACCAUCUUCCUCAACUAUGGUGCUACCCCCAACUCAAGACGAUGAACAUGUUCAUCAACAGGAGGCGUGUGAUCAAGGGGGAGCACAAGAUGAUCAUGUGAUGGAGGAAGAUGCGCAACCGGUACCUCCAACCCAAGUUUGAGCGAUGAUUCAAAGGGAUCAUCCCGUCGACCAAAUUCUGGGUGACAUUAGCAAGGGAGUAACUACUCGAUCUAGAUUAGUUAAUUUUUGUGAGCAUUACUCCUUUGUCUCUUCUAUUGAGCCCUUCAGGGUAGAGGAGGCCUUGCUAGAUCCGGACUGGGUGUUGGCCAUGCAGGAGGAGCUCAACAACUUCAAGCGCAAUGAAGUUUGGACACUGGUGCCUCGUCCCAAGCAAAAUGUUGUGGGAACCAAGUGGGUGUUCCGCAACAAACAGGACGAGCACGGGGUGGUGACGAGAAACAAGGCUCGACUUGUGGCAAAAGGUUAUGCCCAAGUCGCAGGUUUGGAUUUCGAGGAGACUUUUGCUCCUGUGGCUAGGCUAGAAUCAAUUCGUAUCUUGCUAGCAUAUGCCGCUCACCAUUCUUUCAGGUUGUACCAAAUGGAUGUGAAGAGCGCUUUCCUCAACGGGCCAAUCAAGGAGGAGGUGUACGUGGAGCAACCCCCUGGCUUCGAGGAUGAACGGUACCCCGACCAUGUGUGUAAGCUCUCUAAGGCGCUCUAUGGACUUAAGCAAGCCCCAAGAGCAUGGUAUGAAUGCCUUAGAGACUUUCUAAUUGUUAAUGCUUUCAAGGUUGGGAAAGCCGAUCCAACUCUUUUUACUAAGACUUGCAAUGGUGAUUUGUUUGUGUGCCAAAUUUAUGUCGAUGACAUAAUAUUUGGUUCUACUAACCAAAAGUCUUGUGAAGAGUUUAGCAGGGUGAUGACGCAGAAAUUCGAGAUGUCGAUGAUGGGCGAGUUGAACUACUUCCUUGGGUUCCAAGUGAAGCAACUCAAGGACGGCACUUUCAUCUCCCAAACGAAGUACACGCAAGACUUGCUAAAGAGGUUUGGGAUGAAGGACGCCAAGCCCGCAAAGACGCCGAUGGGAACCGACGGACACACAGACCUCAACAAAGGAGGUAAGUCCGUUGAUCAAAAAGCGUACCGGUCCAUGAUAGGUUCUUUGCUUUAUUUAUGUGCUAGUAGACCGGAUAUUAUGCUUAGCGUAUGCAUGUGUGCUAGAUUUCAAUCCAAUCCUAAGGAGUGUCACUUAGUGGCGGUGAAGCGAAUUCUUAGAUAUUUAGUUGCUACGCCUUGCUUCGGGCUCUGGUAUCCAAAGGGGUCUACCUUUGACUUAGUUGGAUACUCAGACUCCGACUAUGCUGGAUGUAAGGUCGAUAGGAAGAGUACAUCGGGGACGUGCCAAUUCUUAGGAAGGUCCCUGGUGUCAUGGAAUUCUAAGAAACAAACUUCCGUUGCCCUAUCCACCGCUGAGGCCGAGUAUGUUGCCGCAGGACAGUGUUGCGCGCAACUACUUUGGAUGAGGCAAACCCUCCGGGACUUUGGCUACAAUCUGAGCAAAGUCCCACUCCUAUGUGAUAAUGAGAGUGCUAUCCGCAUGGCGGAAAAUCCUGUUGAACACAGCCGCACAAAGCACAUAGACAUCCGGCAUCACUUUUUGAGAGACCACCAGCAAAAGGGAGAUAUCGAAGUGUUUCAUGUUAGCACCGAGAACCAGCUAGCCGAUAUCUUUACAAAGCCUCUAGAUGAGAAGACCUUUUGCAGGCUGCGUAGUGAGCUAAAUGUCUUAGAUUCGCGGAACUUGGAUUGACUUAUAGCAUACAUGUGUUUAUGCCAUUGAUCAUGUUCCUUAUGCAUUUUGUUGCUUAUUGAUGGUGCUCAAGUUGUACAAGCACUCCCCGGACCUCACAAGUCCUUUUGCAAGUGAUGCACACAUUUAGGGGGAGAUGUGCUACAACUUGACCCUUUGAGACUAACCAUUUGUUUGAGUUUGCUUGAUUUAGUCUCGAAGGAGAAUUGAAAGGGAAAAGGUGGACUUGGACCAUGCAAGACUUCCACUGCACUCCGAUGAGAGGGUAAUUUAUUCCAAGUUCAUCUCUAUGAUCUUAUUGCCUUUGUACUCUUAAUUGAAGAUUUUGGUGAGGCAAUGGGGUUAAAGGGCCAAGAUUGACCCCGUUUUGGUGCUUGAUGCCAAAGGGGGAGAAAAUAAAGGCCAAAGCAAUAAAUGGAUCAGCUACCACUUGAGAUUUUGAAAAUAGUAGAAUAGAGAUUUUCGUUUUGGCAAAACUCUUUUAUUGUCUCUCUUAUCAAAAGUUGGCUUCUUGUGGGGAGAAAUGUUGAUUAUGGGAAAAAGGGGGAGUUUUUGAAAUCUGUGACCAAUCUCUUUUGGAAUAACUCUCUAUAUGCUUCAACAUGUGUGUUUGACCUAGAGAUAGAGAUUUGAGUUUGAUUUGCAAGAACAGACCAAGUGGUGGCAAAGGAUGAUCCAUAUAUGCCAAAAUUGAAUAAAACUCAAAUUUAUUUUUAUUUGAAGUGAUUUUGCACUUGUUCUAGUUGCUUUAUGUUGUGUUGGCAUAAAUCACCAAAAAGGGGGAGAUUGAAAGGGAAAUGUGCCCUUGGGCCAUUUCUAAGUAUUUUGGUGAUUGAGUGCCAACACAAGUGCUUAAAUGUGAAAUCAUGCUUGUGGAUGGACAAAGUGCAAAUCAAGAGCAAAGGUAUGUUUCUAUGUCUUAGUACAUUGGUUUUGUGUACUAAUAUACUUGUCUAAGUAUUGGAAACAUGAAGAAAAAGAAAAGAAAAGAGUUGGCUGUGUACAGCCAAGGGGCUGUUUCGGUCUGGGGCACCGGACUGUCCGGUGGUGCACCGGACAGUGUCCGGUGCGCCAGGCUGCCUCGGCCGAAGAGGCCGCUCUCGGGAAUUUUGCUGACAGCGUACGGCUAAAAUUCACCGGACUGUCCGGUGUGCACCGGACUGUCCGGUGAGUCAACGGUCGCCAGGGCCAACAGUCGGCCGCGGAUUCUGCGCGCGACACGUGGCCAAGCCAACGGUCGGAAGGGGGCACCGGACUGUCCGGUGUGCACCGGACAUGUCCGGUGCGCCAACGGCUCCCAGAUCUGCAACGGUCGGCUUCGCCAUUUAAGGAAAGGAAUCGGGCACCGGACACUGUCCGGUGUGCACCGGACUGUCCGGUGCGCCCGAUGAUAGAAGGCAAGGAUGGCCUUCCUGAUUUGUUCUCAACGGCUCCUAGCUGCCUUGGGGCUAUAAAAGGGACCCCUAGGCGCAUGGAGGAAAUACCAAGCAUUCCUACAACAUUCUUAAGCACCAAGACAUCACUCUCGCGCAUUCGUUUCAUUGUGAUAGCAUCUAGAGCUCUUGUUGAGUUGCGAACUCUUUGAGUUGUGUUGCGAGCUCUUGUUGCAACUUGUGUGCGCGUUGUUGCUCUGUUCUUUUGAAGUCUUGUGUGCGUUGCUCAUUCCCCCUUUGCUCUGUGUUCUUUGUGAACUUCAAUUGUAAGGGCGAGAGGCUCCAAGUUGUGGAGAUUCCUCGCAAACGGGAUUGAGAAAAAGCAAGCAAAACACCGUGGUAUUCAAGUGGGUCUUUGGACCACUUGAGAGGGGUUGAUUGCAACCCUCGUCCGUUGGGACGCCACAACGUGGAGUAGGCAAGUGUUGGUCUUGGCCGAACCACGGGAUAAACCACUGUGUCAACUCUGUGAUUGAUCUCUUGUGGUAUUGUGUUUUGUUGAGACUCCUUUCUAGCCACUUGGCAUUUAUUGUGCUAACACUUAACAAGUUUUUGUGGUUAUAAGUUUAAGUUAUACAGGAUCACCUAUUCACCCCCCUCUAGGUGCUCUCACAUUCUCAAUAGGAUCUCCUCCUGAUAGGGCCUGAAAUCUUUUCCUCCAGGUGGGGGUAUUCUUGUUGCUGGGUGGAAAGUAGCGAAGGGGGGUUUCAAAGAUCACUUUGUUGUAGUUCUGGCACAGUUGUCAGAGGGCUGUUCGGGCAACAUUCUGGCAAGUAUCUAGGAAACGGUAUCCGGUAAAAGUGACUUGGAAGGAAGAAUGGUUUGGAUAGUUUCGGCUUUCUCCCAGGUAGACUGCCAUAGAGCAUUUCUCCAUUCCGCCCUCGAUAUACUCUGUCCAGACGUACUCCGGCUUCUUGCGGAUUCCCAUGCGAAGCGCACAACUUCGCAAGAGAUGUGGGAACCCUUCCACCUCUGAGCAGUAGGAUAUCCUAAUGGCCAGAGAGUCUUCCAUCUGGAAUAGGAAAAGAAGGGUCUUGUUAAAAUCGGGGGAGAGGAGAGAAAACUUUUCUUGGGGCAAGCGUUAUUUUCUUUUUAGGGCAAGUUUUAAGGUCAGGGCUGUGUCCUACGGCCAGUCCUAUGGCUCCGAUACCACCUGAAGCGUCCCGAUCCUUUGGGACUCAAAUGUGAUACAAAUACUAGUCCCAGGAGGCUAGUAAACACAUUUCUUACUUCAAAUAGUACAAAGUUUAUAUAAAGGUUAUUACAAUACCGGGGUACAAGCUCGAGAGAGCCAAAAUAAGAAGCGCAGUAGGAAAAUAUACUAGCCCAAGCCACAGGCAGAACUGGGUGCAGACACAGCCCCCUCAAUCAAGCAUAGCAGAAAAGAAGUCUUCGGCUGCUGAAAAACAUAAAUAAAUCUGGGUGAAUACACUAGGUAUUCCGCAAGCCCACCCCGCUCCCGUAGAGAGAAAGAGACCUAUAAUAUACAUGCUUUAUUUGGUGGAGUUGAAGUCACUCAUCAUUUUCUUAGAGAAAGGCAGUUACUGUAAGGUUUCUCCCAAAGACUUAAAAGUAGCAAAAUACUCAAGCACCACUGAGCUUCCCGCUCCCGUGGCCCUGUUCUCUUUUUCAGUACCCAUUUACCCACACACAUCCCUAUUCAUGGAACUCAAGGAAAAAUCUCUAAUUGCCAAACCAUACCAGACUCGUCCAUACCAGUGGACACGGACUAUUCGAAUAGGUUUCAACUCUGCGCAGAGGGGUACACUUUACCCACUAGCCCGGUUUCUGCGAUCUCACCGUCGCGAGACCCGAAUGCCGGAUCUCUUUCCUUACCCGUACGUCCUAACCUUAACGGUUAUCCGGAAGGAGUCAGGCCACCACCAUGUCCAAACCGGACAAAACUUUCCCCCUCCUUAUCCUCCCGGUGCUCCCCAGCCUUCUUAACCCUGGGGUUGGACCGCACGAGUUCGGAUUGAGUGACUGCCCACACAGUCUCGAGUGGUUGUAUGAUAAAGGAGUAUAGGUAGUGAAAAUGACAAGCCGGUCCUUAUAUGAGGGGACAAUCCUUCUGCUCACGCCUAAACCAGCUGAGCCAACACCUUAGGCCCUCCCCUAAACCAGGGAGUCCUUGAUCAUCCCACUCCCAAGGUGAUGAGGGUGAGUACCCUUCAUCGCAUAACUUUUCAAAAAGAGGUUUUCUUUGGAGAAGCACAUUGCCCUUCUUUCCAAUUCACAUUUCGUAUCAGAAUGUAUAUGUUAAUGCGAGCCAUCUCUCACUCACAAUGCAAUAUUCCCCCAUAAUUCCCGGCCUAGGCAAUGGUAGAGAGAGUAGGUAAUUUAUGCAUCAAGGGAAGGAUGGACUUGCCUUCGUCGAAGCUUUCCUGGCACAGAAGAUCUACUUCCGGAAGUUCGGGCUCUGGUCCCUCUUCCGGGGCUACGGGUUCCGGAUCAACGGUCCCCGCUUCUUCUAGGAAAACAGGCAAUAAAACAAUACAUCAACAGGGAUUCACAAAUUAUAGUGUGUCAUUUUCUAACAUCAUUAUUGCAUGUGACCUUAGAAAUUAUUUUUGAUAAUUUUUGGUGCAUAAAAUAUUGAGGAGACUAAUUAAAGGAGGAAAAUGCUGAAAAAGGAAAAAGAAAAAGGGUUUCAGCUCUGGUGGGCCGGGGGAAAGGAAUCUGGCCCAGCCAGACGCAGCGCGCGCGCGAGGGCGCCAGCCCAGCUGCGGCCCAGUGCGGGUGACGGCACGGGCGCGCGAGGGGACGACGCCGUUGUCGUGGGCCCACAUGCCAGCGAGAGCAGAGGGGGGGGGGGAACGACGUCACGGUUGACGGUGGUGCGAACCGGUCGCCCGCGGGGAGGGAACCCGGCCGCCAGUGGGCUCGGCGGCGAUUCGCCGCUGGUGGCCCGGUUCUUGGACAAUGCGUAGGUGCCUUAGCACGGGGAGGGGCUGGCGAGCCUAGAGGUGGGCUCAAUUUGGCUAGAGGGGGCCGGGAGGGGGCUGUCCGCGGGGAGGCGGUGGAGCUUCGCGGCGGGGUUGCCGUCGGUGAGCUCUGGGCGAGCAAUCGGGGUGGGGGAGUGGUGUACUGCGUUCGUGGCGGUGUGGCAAAGCUAGGAGGCCAAGCAAUCGCUUGAUGGACCAACAGAGGGGCAGGGAGAAGAGAGGGACGACUCACCAGGGAGGAAGACGAUGGCGGCGGCCUUUCCACGAAUUGAGCUCGGACGAGGGAGGAGAGGAAUGGCCGAGGCCGGUGCGAGGAAGGAGGGGCUCGGUGCGUCCCUUUUAUAGGCGCACGAGGGAAGGGGAGCGGUGGAGCCUCACGGCGGGGCGGUACCGGCGAGGACGCUGGUCAAGGGGGGGGGGGGGGGGGAGGACGGAGCGGUGCCAAACUUCCCUGUGCGACGAGAAGACGGAGGAGGGGACGGAGGCGGUGGCCGGAGGUGACCGCGAUGAAGGGACGACAGGGAAGACGACGAAGCGACUGACAAGCGGGGCCAUACUGCCAGUGGGAGUGAUCGCGAGCGAGGCGAGGGAUGGGGCGGCUGAUGGGUGGGGACGGCUCGUCAGCGAGAGAGAGAGCGCGCAGGGCGAGCUGGCGAGCGUGCGCGAGAGCGGGCCGGAAAUGGGCCGGGGGGAGGGAGUUGCGGACGCGAGGGGGGGGGGGGAGAGCGGCCGCGGCAUGGGCUGGAUUCAGCCCAGCAGAGGGGGGAGGGCUUUUCUCUUUUUCUUUUUAUUUUCUAAUUCCUUUAUCCAUUUUUUUAUAUCUUUUUCCUUUGAACAAUUAAUAGAUAAUCUUAGGUGCUGAAAAAUAAAAUCUAAGUGAGGUGCUUGUGAUCAAACAAGGUGUAUGCAUAUGAUGAAAGAAAAUUUAAGGGAGUUCUUGGAAUUUAGAGGAUGAAAAGGGGAGAGGGGUAGCUUAGGGUUUCGAACCUAGGUUAGGAUUUUUGGGAUGUUAUAGGAACCUCCUGGGCGCACGCAUGAAAACUAUUAAGUAACCCUUGUUAGGGUUAUGUGGGCAAAUACUGACUUUGCCCCUGAGGGGUCUCACAUCUCUAUAUAAGGAACAUGUACCCCCUCAUAAGAGAGAAGAGAAGAGAAAGAGGCCAGAGGCCCAACCCUACAUCAUGUGUCUUGUGUGCUCUCUGUCGUGCUUCUGGGAAGAGAAACGAGUCUUCCACAUCUUCUCGCGCCUAAUCUGCUGACGGGAGGGAAGGCAGCGGAUCUGGUGAUCCGUGGUAACAUAGUUCUCAACACGUUAUCAACACGCUCUACCUCGACGUUGCUGCGAGACCAGAUCUGCAUCAACUCUCUGUCAAGUCGGUAGGUCACCGGCCUAUCCGAAUUGUCUACGCGACAAUCUUUGUUUCGGUUCCCUGGAUUAAGAAACGCAGUAUUUAAUUUCUAGAUUGGAUCUACUAUUUACUUUCUAAACUAUUUUUUGCACCGGAAAAAACGCGCACCUACGCCAACUGCGCCCUACGCCGCCAUACCCGCUUGUGCUACGCGCCCGCUUGAGCGCUGCACGGCUGCACCACCGUCUCUACGACACGCUCGAUAUCGCCAUUAGCUUUCGCGUGCUCGACCAGCAGUUUAGCACGCGUUGGAGUCGUCCUUGGACCACUCAGGGCUAAAAGUUGCAUCUCGGAGAAGCGGGCGUCCAAGAUCCUAGAGAUCUUUCGCGCCGAUGAAGGCAAGCAGGUCACGGAUCAGCUCGCUUCGGCGGUAGGCAACAACGGUCGCGGCUUGGUGGCCUGUGGCUAAGGACUACCACUGUCGUUGUGCCGCAUCAACGUAGACUGGUACUGGGCACCGCGAGCUUCUGCGGGAAACUAGCACAUCGCGCACGUACGCAGCUGGUCCACGAGCGCGCAAAUAGAGGCGGACGCUGCGGGGCCAGAGUGUGAUGACAGAAAAAAAUCUCCAGAAUAACGAAAAGAUACGCAAUGCGCUGCUGCGGCGUGAGACGAGGGCGAGCGCCUGACGCGCGGAUCUGCGGAGGCGCCCGAGUCCACGUACCGGUUUCAGCUACAUGUAUACGCAUGCAGACGAGCUUUUGUGCAUGCAUCGUAUGACUACCUAGUGGUGUUGUUUAUUAGUGAGCUAGAAGCUCCUAGCACCAAUAGUACGCACAUGUGCCUGCAGUGCUUCUUAGGAGCGGCUACAAAAUAAUUAAGGAAAUGAAAAGACAAAUUUGGUUUUACAGUUUGUUCCAUAAAUUCUUGUCGAAUUAAACAACUUUGGUAGAAUUUUAAGUUGUAGACAUGGUUUUAUGUUACAAUUUCAAUCUUAAUUAAAUAUUUUCUGUCGCAAAUAAUUAGAAAAAAAAACACAUGCUUUUAGAGCCAAACAAAAAAGUUUUAUCUGUAGUGCUACAACUGGAUGAUUGUGGUUGGGGAUUUUAUCUGUAUGCUUUCAGAACAUCUCGACAUUCGGGGGAGGAAUGCCCAUAUAGUGUAAUGCCUCAAUAUUCUAUUAAACGCACAAAAGCCAAACUGAACAUGUCGUUCAGUGUGUACUCUUGUGUAUAUGGAGUUUGUCAGAAAUCGUUGAGGAGUAACCGUAUAGGUUUAAAUGCUUCUACCUGAUGUAGAUGUGGAUAUACCCUGGAUUAAUAUCAUAUCCGCAUUUGACUUAUUGGCAUUUGAUCUAUUCUCGGGGACGCCCGCGAAUAUGAUCCAUCGGCCUUAGUCAAAGCAUAUGUUCUGAUUACAGAUUCACAUGGUCUGUGAUAACUUUCCUCCGAUUUAUUCACCCUGAUGGUGAUUUGCCUCACGAAGAGGUUCAUCUUGAUGAUGAAGUUCCUAGCAAUGCGCGCAAUAUCAUUGUGCUGGGAAUACAGAACAAUGAAUCUUUUGUUUUGGGAAAUUAUAGAGAUCAUUAUUAAAUGUGGGAGACAAAUAUGUCAACACCUAUCUUUCCUCUCUAGAUUGCAAACGGAUCCAAAACAAAGUCCUAGGCAUGAGUGCUUUAAGCUCUUUUAUCGGGUCAAUGAUAAAUGCAAUCGAGGUUGAACCAAUAAUCGCAAAAUUAAAGUCGCGAGCUUGACAUUCGGACAUUUAUGGGCACUACUGAAAUAAUGCGUGGUGAAUGUGAUGGUUCAAGUGGUCUUGUGAUAGACCCAUCCCUCAUAUGUGUUGAAUUAACAUUGUUCUGCUAUGUAAUAUAUCUGGCAAAUGGCAUGAAUUAAAAUAUGCAAUUAAUAGGAUUCUGAAGAUCCUUCAUGAGAUCCUAGGAGGACUCAUAUCUUUGAAUUAUAAAUAUGCAACAUAUAAAUCUUGUACUGGAUAAUACAUUCCUGAUGAAUGAUCACUCUCCUAUGUAGAAAGAAUAUCUCCUAGAUGAGAUUAUAGUUCCUUGAUGGAACCUUUCCAGAAGAAAUAAAGUCUGUGUUAAACACCAAAGUUUGAUAACCCAUAUAACGGGAUAAAGACCCAUACAGACCCGAAAAGGAAUAAGAUGAGGUACCGAAGGACUUAAAGUUCAUCGAAUAAGCACAUGUGCAUGUCACGAGUUUUACCGAGUGUAUGUACACUCAUGUAUUCCACCAUAUGUGGAAUUGUGGUAUCCUCAAAAACCCUGAUGGCAGAAACCUAGAAGGUUUAGGUGUUACUGGCAAAAUAUCCCCAUUAUGCCAGAAUGACAGACUAUAACGAUGUAUCUGAUCGAUGAAGAAUCCCUAAAGGAUUAUGAUCUUUGAUGGACUUAUGUUACACCAUCAUAUAAGUUGUAAUGAAUGAACGCCUGGAGCGAUGAGUCAUAUCUAGAAUGUGUACUAUCACAACUAUUGUAUCCCCUAAGUCCUGUGGAAGGACAAGUUAUUUGAUUUGCACAACUAUGUAUAUAUUGUGGUGUGUGAUAGAACGAAAGGUGUAGCUGCCUAUCCCCAUCCAUGCUCAUUAUUUUAGAUGAACAAUGAGGCAUAUAUCUUGAAGAAUAUUUUUAAGUUAUGAGGGAUAAUGACUUUGACGGAUGUCAUCGUCAGGGGGAGUGUAUGCUAAAUCUUGAUCAUAAUUGUGAGAAAUUGAAUGUCAUAUUGUAUGCCCUAAAGGCGUCAGUUUGAUCAAUAUGUGAACCUUUAUGAAAGUUUCUAUCAAAUAUGUAGAUCUAGUCGAUCGAACGCCACUAGUCAAGAUGACUUAUUUAUAUUGAUACAUGCACUUACCUCGUAUAUCCUAAAAGUGAGUAGAGGUGAAGUUCCGGAUAUAAUCAUUGCAACAAUAUGUAAUUCAUUUACUAAGUCUCUGUAUGCAUAUACUUCCAGAAGAAGAUGUUUUUCAUAUUGAGACAAUUUUGCAAAGAUCAAGGGGAUCACAUUUAUAAAGUUAUCCAUUGUAGAAGAUUCGAUGGAAUCUAGAUCUAGAAGAUCGAAAUCUGUCCUAAUGACAGCUGUUGUACUCUUUUUCCCUUAGUGAGUUUUCUUGAAGUUUCUCAUGUAAGGUUUUUAACGAGGCAACAAAGUGCAAAUGCAAUUUGCGUCACCAUGUACUCUUUCUCCAUAUUUUCCCACUGAGUUUUUGGGAGUUUUAAAGAGGCGUGUGUUGGUCGCGGUAUUCGCCCAAGGGGGAGUGUUAAGUAACCCUAGUUAGGGUUAUGUGGGCAAAUACCGACUUUGCCCCUGAGAGGUCUCACAUCUCUAUAUAAGGAACAUGUACCCCCUCAUAAGAGAGAAAUAAGAGAAAGAGGCUAGAGGCCCAACUCUACAUCAUGUGUCUUGUGUGCUCUCUGUCGUGCUUCUGGGAAGGGAGACGGGUCUUCCACAUCUUCUCGCGCCUAAUCUGCUGACGAGAGGGAAUGGAGCGGAUCUGGUGAUCUGUGGUAAAAUAGUUCUCAACAAAAACAACCCAAUGGAACGUGGCCACUUUUAGGACUUUUCUUUGGCCACUUCUACCGUGCAUGAUCUUCUAUGGAUAGGUUCUUAUGGCCAACUAGGUUGUUAAUCCCUUAACCAGUCAUAUUGCGCCACAUAGCUCAAUUCGGUAACUAUUCAUGUCUUUUUGUGUUAUAAAUCCGCUUCGACCCGUUUUAGUCACGUUAACUUUAUAAUAAAUAAAGUGCACAUUAGUAAUAUUGUUUUGUCAUGACGUAUGUUAUAAUUAAUUAAUUAUUCAUUUAGUGGUUAUUAGAACGACCUUCCAAUUAAAACUAAUUUAUAGUUUUAAUUUAUGCAUUUAUAAAUAAACGUUACUAUGAUUAAUAGUAAUCAAAUGUUUUGAUUCAAUAUUACUUAGUGUGAUUACGAUGUGUGUUUAGCAGUUCUCAUAUGUCGUGUCGUUUAUAAUCCGCGGAUUGUUAUUUAUUCGAUAUAUUAUCCGUCCUAAACCCGUUUCGGCUCGUUUCGGUUGCGUCAAUUUCGUAACAUCAACGAUUUCAUAUUAGUACAAUUAUUUUUGUCGCGAUGCAUGUUUUACUUAUUUAUUUAUUUAUAUAUCCAACAAUUAUUAAAGUAACAAUCUAAUUAAACUAAUCUAUAGUUUUAGUUGCGUUUUAUAAAUAUUUGUUGUAUAAUCGUGCCUACUCGAAUGUUUUUGAAUUAAUACUUACUCACUGUAAACGCAACAUCUAUUUAAUAGUUCUCGCGUGUAGCGCACGCUGUUUCGCACAGUGUCGCGUGUCGUCACGCGUCUUUCGCUCGUUGUCGCGCGCGUUAUUAAAUUGUUUUCGCUUAUGAUCAUUCAUAUUAAUUAAUCACCUGUGUAGCUGUUAACUAUUAGAAUAUCAAAAUAAUUGAAACUAAGCAGUUGCAUUAAUUUAUAUUUUAUAAAUGUCUGCUAAUAUAAUCAUGCUGAAAAUAAGUAUUAUAGUUAAUACCCACUAAGCAUAAAAGCGAUAUCAUUAGCGUUCUUUGCGUGUCAUGCCUUUUCAGGAUUAACUGCUUAAAUGUAGCAAGUCCUAUGCAAUGUUUAUAAAUAUAAUCUGAUUAUUUUUAAAGUCGUAAUUAGUAUUUAACAUAGCUAAUAUUAGCUUAACUACUUUUUAUUUAUUUAAUAUUUGUUUAGUAUAAACGCGUCCCCUAUUUAGUUUUUCUCGCCUGUCGCUCGUUCUGUUCCGCAGCGGUGGCGUGCUGCUUCACGUGUCGUUCGCGUGCUGUUUUGCACGCGUCGUCAUACUGUCUGCGUGCUGUUCGCGCGUGAUGUUCUCGUGGUCGCGUGCUGAUUCGCGCGUCAUUCGCACUGGUCGCACACACUGUUUCGUGUGUCGUCAGUGUUCUAUGUCGCGCGUGUCCGCGUGUCGUUUGCACACUGUCUUGUUGUUUUGCGCGUCGUAAAUUUGCCUCGUUUAGAAUCUCUCGCUUUAAUUAAAUUAUUGGUUUAACAGACAACUGCUAGCGUAACAGAUUAAAAGAAACUAAAAAGUAGAUAUAAUUUAUAUUUGAUAAUAUUGAAUCAAAGGUUAUAGUUAUACUUGUUUAGUGUAAAAACGCUAACCCCUCGACCGUAGCUUCGUUUAUCGCGGUUCUUUUUCUCGCGUAACUGUAGAAGUGCUCUCUAUAUUGCUUGCUUUUAUAAUAUUUUAUCUUGUAUGGUGUAAUGUUCUUAUGUAAGUAUAUGUUUGCUUGUGUCUGUCUGUAUUCGUUGCACAUCACGAAUAGACUGCGAUCCAUUUUCGAGCUUCGAGGGAUCGAAGAUCAAGCUUCGGUGACCAAAUGAUCCAGUUCUUCGAGUUCCACGAGAUUGAAGACCCUGAGCAUCUGUUUGGUGAAGGCAAGUGUCCUCUGACCCAUUAUGUCAUGUUUAAUUUAUAAUUCACUAUCCUGCAUUACUGAAUUGAAACCUAAAGAUUGACUAGCUUUGUAUUUAUCUUAUCCUUGUUUACCUUUUGGGUUAUUAUGAUUAGCACUAUGCUAUCGCUUUACUUUAAUCAAUGAACAUGAUGUGAAUAUUAUGAUACGAUGAUGUUAUCCUGAUGAUGUUCUUGUGAUAAUUUAGGGGACUCUGGUUGUUUCCUGAGUACCUCUCCGUAAGGACCUCUUUGGGGAGUGACAACCCGAGAUAACAGUGCAACCAUGAGGGUGGAAUGGGACGCCCUUAGCUGAUUAAUUAGAGGAACCAGAGGAGUAGUUGGCUUUGCCGUAGGGUCGUCAAUGGUGUCCGGGCAUAGUACUUGCUCUGCCGAGGCUGGUUGCAGAGGUUCUUGAUUUGGUUUUGUUAGUCACCCUUCCUUUGGGGAGAGGUACUGUGUUUAUCAAACUGGAGAAACCUAACGGGCGGCUAUGACCUCUGGGAAAUCUUUGUAAAGGCUACGUAGUGAGACCCUGCCAGGUUACCUUGGUAGUGAUCAAUGGAGAGUCAUGAUCUCCGAGCAAAACGGGAAUCACGACUUGUGGGUAAAGUGUGCGACCUCUGCAGAGGGCUAGAAACUGAUAUAUCAGUCGUGCUCACGGUUAUGAGCGGCCUUGGGAUUCUCUUUGAUUAGAGAUACAGAUGGUUCGAUAUACAAUGGUUCUAUUUAAUAUUUUGGUUCGAUGAUGAUAAUGAUGUUCCUCGAUGAGGAAAUAACUCACGGGUUGGUUGUAUGAUGAAACUUGGCUUCCACUAAUAAUAAAUACAUGACCAACUAAAAGCAACUGCUUUGACCUUAACCCCACAUAAAGUUAGUCCACUUCAGCCAAACGGGACAUUUGCUGAGUACGUUGAUGUGUACUCACCCUUGCUUUCACAAAACACCAGGUUGCCUUUGGUGCAAUCCAUGCUCAGGUAAAGAAGAAGGCGUCGAGGCGGAUCUCCAGGAGUUCCAGGACUUCGACGAGUUCGAUGAUUAGGCUAGCGACCUCCCCAGUCAGCUGCCUGUGGUGGGUUAAUUUUUGUUGGCUACGUUUCGAUUCUGUGUACUUUGAUUUAUAUUAUGCAAAUGACUCUAGUCUUUAAUAUUAUUACAUACUCUUUAUUGUUAUUCAAAGCAUUGUGCUCUGAUGAGUCAUUUAUGUAAUCGCUGUGUACGUGAAUUUCUGAUCCUGGCACGUACAUGGUUCGCAUUCGGUUUACCUUCAAAACCGGGUGUGACAACCCCUGACAUAAAUUAUAUAGACACUUGCAAUUUGUUCCUUUGUAAAUAAAAGGAAACUAUAGAGGAAAUCAGUAGUGUUUUUUUGCUCUCGCUUUGAUUUUGUGUCCAUAGAAGUUUAUCUUUUAAAAUAUUUUUAGCCAUAUUGGAUUUCCUUAGCCCAAAAUAGGUGCCGAGUCCUAGCAAAAGAGAAUGUGAAGGAGUGUAAAGUCAUGGAACUUCAUGUUUUGAUGCUCUAGGUUUUGGAUUGAAAAAUCAAUGGUGACACCAUGCUUGUCUCUUUUUUCUUGAGUUUUUGCAGCAUUAUUGGUAAAUGUUUACGUUAAUGAACAUGUUGACUUUCUUCUUGAAUGGAUCAAUGCCUUUGAGCCCCAACUUUGUUUCAAACAACAAGAAGGUUGUGCAUUGUCCUCUUCAUGUAUAUAAUGUAGGCUAGACUUACAACAUAGCUGUUGGAAGGAAUAAAUGUUGCAUAAACUUUGUCAUUUGCAUUCUUUGAGGAAACAAGUCAAUAUUGGCAUUUGCUGAAGAUAGCUUUACAUCUAAUUGAAUCAAGAAUGACAAUUCAACAUAUACUCCAUCCACACUAGUUUAUUACGUGUCCUAGCUUUUCCCUAAAUUAGUUUCACUAAAUUUACAUAAUUCUUAGAAAAUGUAUCCAAAUUUUGAAGAUCAAUUUUCUUCCAAUGAGUUAUUUAUGACAUAUAUAUUGGUAUUUCAUUUUAGUCAUCAAAAUAUAUUUAGAACUCUAACAAAGCUAUACAAGAUUUGUUUUAGAAAAUACCAAAGAAAAUUGUAAUCAAGAUUACUCGAGAUGUGGGCCAAUUGCCACGUUUACAUAAAAUCAUUGUAAUUUUGUUCAUCCUAUGUUUGUGCAUUCAUCUAUGCAUUUAGGAUUCCAAUUAGUCUCAAUCUUGUAGUAUUUUUUCAUUCAUUGUUUGAUCACUUCUCGUCUAUCUACUAAGCUUGUUCAACCACGAGAAGAAUAUUAGGACAAUAUAUAUUUAUAAACGCUUCGAUAGCAAACUUUACAUAUUCAUCAUGUCUAUAAAAUGGAACAUUUUUUAUGUGGCUAAGGUUGUCACAUGUGUAAAGGUGAAGAGAUGAUGCAUGUCAUCCAAGUAUAUGAAAAUAAUUCCUAUAGAAAAUGACACUUUUUCUUAUAGGUAGUGGAAACUAUCUUUCUAUAUAAUCCGAUGAAACCGAUAACUAAAUGUCGAAAUUGAGUAGGUGCCAUAUCAUCGAUAGCUUAUCUAUUGUUUGGCAAAAAGACAAAAUCCAAAUAUAUAUAUAUGAGAUCUCACAUGUAUGAAUAUCUCCCAAAUCAGUAGUUAAUUCAUCGCCCAUAAUAUUUUGAGCAUUCAGAAACACACAAAGGGAAGUGCACUAGCAACUUCCUAACAACAAUGGCUACCAAGAUAUUAGCCCUCCUUGCGCUCCUUUCCCUUUUAGUGAGCGCAACAACUGCAUUCAUUAUUCCACAAUGCUCACUUGCUCCUAAUGCCAUUAUUCCAUAGUUCCUCCCAUCAAUUACAUCAAUGGGCAUCGAACACCCUGUUGUGCAAGCCUAUAGGCUACAACAAGCGCUUGCGGCGAACGUCUUACAACAACCGUUUGCCCAAUUACAACAACAAUCCUUGGCACAUCUAACCAUACAAAACAUCGCAAUGCAACAACAACAACAUUUUGUGCCAGCACUGAGCCAACUAGCCACGGUGAACCCUGCCGCCUACUUGCAACAGCAACUGCUUGCAUCCAACCCACUUGCUCUGGCAAACAUAGCUGCUUACCAGCAACAACUACAGUUGCAACAGUUUCUGCCAGCUCUCAGUCAACUAGCCAUGGUGAACCCUGCCACAUACCUGCAACAGCAACAACUGCUUUCAUCUAGCCCACUCGCUGUGGGCAAUGUGGCUACAUACCUGCAACAACAGCUGCUACAACAGAUCGUACCAGCUCUCAGUCAGCUAGCUGUGGCGAACCCUGCUGCCUACUUGCAGUAGCUUCUUCCAUUCAACCAACUAGCUGUGGAAAACACUGCUGUAUACCUGCAACAACGACAACAACUACUUAGUCCACUAGUAGUGGCUAACCCAUUGGUCGCAGCCUUCCUGCAACAACAACAAUUUCUGCCAUAAAACCAGAUCUCUUUGAUGAACCCUGCCUUGUCAUGGCAUCAACCGAUCGUUGGAGGUGCCAUCUUUUAGAUUACAAAUGAGAUGUACUUGAUAACAUUGCCCUCAUACCGGCAUGUGCAACUUCCUAUAAAUAAUCAAUAUAUUGAUUGAGAUUUAUCUUGAUCUUUUCUUAACUAUGUUCAUCAUUUAAAUAAUUGAAACAUCAAAUCAAAAUUAUAUACGCAUGAUUGGUCAAUACAUAGACAAUACAAUAUUACUUCUUCAUCCCAAUGAUGUCCUAGCACAACAUCUUGAAUACUACUAUUUGGGUGUGUGAGGGUGUCUUUGUAAGAUAGAUGUGACUAUUUGCACUUCUUGUUGAGUACAAGCAUGUGUGGUAUGUUGAUUUGAUAUAGUGAUGGGUACAAGCUUUGACCAUGGCUUUUUAAAUUAGUUGUACUUGCACCAAGCAAAACAAAAUAAGUUCAGGAGUAAACUUAUAACUGUCAAAGUUGUUGACGCAAAGUCAUUUCACAUAAUUUUUUUGGUAAACAUUCCACACACAUGUUUACAAGAACCCAAAUUUUGCAAGCCGUCAUAAUAUUGUAUAAAUAUAUAGAAUUCUUUGGAGCCCACGAACAUAACAACGCCAUGGCCAUUAAAUCAACUGGACCAAGUCAGCACAAAUUUUGGUGUUGCAAAAACCAAAUUACAAAACUUGUUGGCCAAAACAUUAUGAUGAAUAUGAAGUUUAAAUUAUUAUCCCAUUAAUACUUGCAUGGAAUGCGUUGCUCAGCAUACUAGCUCACUUUUUUGCUUGGUAGCAUUUCCAAAGAUGGGGACCUUGCUGAUGAACAUAAAACCUAGUAAAAUAAUAUUUAUGUUUCGACUUUCUAAUCAUAAAAGUAAAGACCCAAGAUUGAACUACCAAUCGACAAACGCAUCCUCCAAUUUUAUGGAGAACACACUUGGUGUGCCAUUCAUACUUGUAGCUUAGUCCAAUGGAUUGCAUUUUCCUUAUAUGUGUAGAAUGUGGCAAAGGGCAUGAUCUAAAAUGUUAAAUCUAAUGAAAUCAGGAAGUUUAUUACUAGCAUGAUGGUUUACUAUGCCUAGCUCAUAGCACUAGAACCAAUAUAGCCUGCACCCACAUGUCAUAGAAACAGAAGGAAUACCCUAGCACAUUUUUGUGAGCACCCGUGACACAAAUUAUAUAGACUCUUACAAUUUGUUCAUUUGUAAAUAAAAGGAAACAAUAAAGGAAGCGAUAGUGUUUUUUUGCUCUCGCUUUGAUUUUGUGUCCAUAGAAGUUUAUCUUUUAAAAUAUUUUUAGCCGUAUUGGAUUUCCUUAGCCCAAAAUAGGCACCCAGUCCUAGCAAAAGAGAAUGUGAAGGGCUGUAAAGUCAUGGAACUUCAUGUUUUGAUGUUCUAGAUUUUGGAUUGAAAAAUCAAUGGUGACCCCAUGUUUGUCUCUUUUUUUCUUGAGUUUUUGCAGCAUUAUUGGUAAAUGUUUACGUUAAGGAACAUGUUGACUUUCUUCUUGAAUGGGUCAAUGCCUUUGAGCCCCAACUUUGUUUCAAACAACAAGAAGGUUGGGCAUUGUCCUCUUCAUGUAUAUAAUGUAGGCUAGACUUACAACAUAGCUGGUGGAAGGAAUAAAUGUUGCAGAAACUUUGUCAUUUGCAUUCUUUGAGGAAACAAGUCAACAUUGGCAUUUGCUGAAGCUAGCUUUACAUCAAAUUGAAUAAAGAACGACAGUUCAACAUAUACUCCAUCCACACUAGUUUAUUACGUGUCCUAGCUUUUCCCUAAAUUAGUUUCCCUAAAUUUACAUAAUUCUUAGAAAUUGUAUCCAUAUUUUGAAGAUCAAAUUUCUUCCAAUGAGUUAUUUAUGACAUAUAUAUUGGUAUUGCAUUUUAGUCAUCAAAAUAUAUUUAGAACUCUAACAAAGCUAUACAUGAUUCGUUAAAGACAAUACCCAAGAAAAUUGUAAUCAAGAAUACUCUAGAUGUGUGCCAAUUGCCACGUUUACAUAAAAUCAUUCUAACUUUGUUCAUCCUAUGUUUGUGCAUUCAUCUAUGCAUUUAGGAUUACAAUUAGUCUCAAUCUUGUAGUAAUUUUUCAUUCAUAGUUUGAUCAGUUCUCGUCUAUCUACUAUGCUUGUUCAACCACGAGAAGAAUAUUAGGACAAUAUCCAUUUAUAAACGCUUUGAUAGCAAACUUUACAUAUUCAUCAUGUCGGUAAAAUGGAACAUUUAUGAUGUGGUUAAGGUUGUCGCAUGUGUAAAGGUGAAGAGAUGAUGCAUGUCAUCCAAGUAUAUGAAAAGAAUUCCUAUAGAAAAUGACAAUUUUUCUUGUAGGUAAUGGAAACUAGCUUUCCAGCAAAGACCAUAUAAUCUGAUGAAACUGAUAACCAAAUGUCGAAAUUGAGUAGGUGCCAUAUCAUUGAUAGCUUAUCUAUUGUUUGGCAAAAAGAUAAAAUCCAAAUAUAUAUAUAUAUAUGAGAUCUCACCUAUAUAAAUAUCUCCCAAAUCAGUAGUUAAUCCAUCGCCCAUAAUAUUUUGAGCAUUCAAAAACACACAAAGGGAAGUGCACUAGCAACUUCCUAACAACAAUGGCUACCAAGAUAUUAGCCCUCCUUGCGCUCCUUUCCCUUUCAGUGAGCGCAACAACUGCAUUCAUUAUUCCACAAUGCUCACUUGCUCCUAAUGCCAUUAUUCCACAGUUCCUCCCAUCAGUUACAUCAAUGGGCAUCGAACACCCUAUUGUGCAAGCCUAUAGGCUACAACAAGCGCUUGCGGCGAGCGUCUUACAACAACCGUUUGCCCAAUUACAACAACAAUCCUUGGCACAUCUAACCAUACAAACCAUCGCAACACAACUAGAGCAACAGUUUGUGCCCGCAUUGAGCCAACUAGCCGCAGUGAACCCUGUCUCCUACUUGCAACAGCAACUGCUUGCAUCCAACCCACUUGCUCUGGCGAACACAGCCGCAUACCAGCAACAACUACAGUUGCAACAGUUUCUACCAGCUCUUAGUCAACUAGCCAUGGUGAACCCUGCCACAUACCUGCAACAGCAACAACUGCUUUCAUCUAGCCCACUCGCUGUGGGCAAUGCGGCUACAUACCUGCAACAGCAGCUGCUACAACAGAUCGUACCGGCUCUUAGUCAGCUAGUUGUGGCGAACCCUACUGCCUACUUACAACAGCUUCUUCCAUUCAACCAACUAGAUGUGGCAAACUCUGCUGCGUACCUACAACAGCGGCAGCAACUACUUAAUCCACUUGCAGCGGCUAACCCAUUGGUCGCCGCCUUCCUGCAACAGCAACAAUUUCUGCCAUACAACCAAAUCUCUUUGAUGAACCUUGCCUUGUCAAGGCAGCAACCGAUCGUUGGAGGUGCCAUCUUUUAGAUUACAAAUGAGAUGUACUUGAUAACAUUGCCCUCAUACCGGCAUGUGCAACUUCCUAUAAAUAAUCAAUAUAUUGAUUGAGAUUUAUCUUGAUCUUUUCUUAAUUAUGUUAAUCAUAUAAAUAAUUGAAACAUCAAAUCGUAAUUAUAUACACAUGAUUGGUCAAAACAUAGGCAAUACAAUAUUACUUCUUCAUCCCAAUAAUGUCCUAGCACAACAUCUUUAAUACUACUAUUUGGGUGUGUGAGGGUGUCUUUGUACGAUAGAUGUGACUAUUUACGCUUCUUGUUGAGUACAUGCAUGUGUGGUAUGUUGAUUUGAUAUAGUGAUGGGCACAUGCUUUGGCCAUGGCUUUUAAAAAUUAGUUGUACUUGCACCAUGCAAAACAUAAUAUAAGUUCAGGAGUAAACUUAUAAAUGUCAAAGUUGUUGACACAAAGUCAUACCACAUAAUUUUUUUGGUAAACAUUCCACACACAUAUUUUUACAAGAACACAAAUUUUGCAAGCCGCCAUUUGUAGAAAUAUAUAAAAUUCUUUGGAGCCCACGAACAUAACAACACCAUGGCAUUAACUCAACUGGACCUGGUCAGUAACAAAUUCGAUGUUGCAAACACCUAAUUACAAAACUUGUUGGCCAAAACAUUAUGAUGAAUAUGGAUUUUAAAUUAUUAUCCCAUUAAUACUUGCAUGGAAUGCGUUGCUCGACAUGCUAGCUCACUUUUCUGCUUUGGUAGCAUUUCCAAAGAUGGGGACCUUGCUGAUGAACAUAAAACCCAGUAAAAUAAUAUUUAUGUUUCGGCUUUCUAAUCAUUAAAGUAAAGACCCUAGAUUUAACUACCAAUCAACCACCGCCAUCCUGCUAUUUUUCGGAGAACGCACUUGGUGUGCCUUUCAUACUCAUAGCUUAGUCCAAUGGAUUGCAUUUUCCUUCUAUGUGUAGAAUUUUGAAAGGGCAUGUUCUAAAAUGUUAAAUCUAAUAAAAUCAGAAAGUUUAUUACUAGCAUGAUGGUUUACUAUGCCUAGGUCAUAACACUAGAAGCAACAUAGCCUGCACCCACAUGUCAUAGAAAACAGAAGGAAUACCCUAGCACAUUUGUGUGAGCACCAAUGACACAAAUUAUAUAAACUCUUGCAAUUUGUUUCUUUGUAAAUAAAGAGAAACAAUUUGGAAGCGAUAGUAUUUUUUUGCUCUCACUCUUAUUUUGUGUCCAUAGAAGUUUUUCUUUUAAAAUAUUUUUAGCCAUAUUGGAUUUCCGUAUCCCAAAAUAGGUGCUCAGUCCUAGCAAAAGAGAAUGUGAAUGAGUGUAAAGUCAUGGAACUUCAUGUUUUAAUUCUUCUAGGUUUUGGAUUGAAAAAUCAAUGGUGACCCCAUGUUUGUCUAUUUUCUCUUGAGUUUUUGCAGCACUAUUGAUAAAGGUUUACAUUAAUGAACUUGUUGUCUUUCAUCUUGAAUUGGUCAAUGCCUUUGAGCCCUAACUUUGGUUUAGACACCAAGAAUGUUGGUCAUUGUCCUCUUCAUGUAUAUAAUGAAGGAUAGACUCACAAGAUAGCUGAUGGAAGGAAUAAAUGUUGCAUAAAAUUUGUCAUUUCCAUUCUUUGAGGAAAAAAGUCAACGUUGACAUUUGUUGAAGCUAGUUAUACAUCUAUUUUAAUCAAGAGUUACAAUUCAACAUAUACUCCAUCCACUCUAGUUUAUUACAUGCCCUAGCUUUUUCCUAAGUCACUUUUCCGUAAAUUGACAUAAUUCCUAGAAAACCUAUCCGAAUUUCUUAAAUCAAAUUUGUUCCAUUGAAUUUUUAUGACAUAUAAAUUGGUAUUGCUUUUUAGUCAUCAAAAUUUAUUGUGUUUGUUUAACCAGGAGGACAAUACUAGAACAAUAUCCAUUCAUAAAGGAUUUGAUAGCAAUUCAUAACUUAACAAAUUUAGCAAAUUGAUAAAAUGAAACAUUAAUUAUGUGGCUAAAGUUGUAACAUGUGCAAAGGUGAAGAGAUCAUGCAUGUCAUUCCUCAUGUAUGGAAAGAAUUCCAAUAGAAAAUGACGAAUUUUCCUGUAGGUAGUGAAAACUAUCUUUAUAGCAAAGUCCAUAUAAUCAUAUGAAACUGAUGACUAAAUGUCAAAAUUGAGUAGGUGCCAUAUCAUCUAUAGCUUAUCCAUUGUUGGGAAAAAAUACAAAAUCCAAAAAAUAUAUAUGAGACCUCACCUGUAUAUAUAACCCCCAAAUCAGUAGUUAAUUCAUCACCUAAAACAUUUUGAGCAUUCAGAAACAAACCAAGUGAAUCACACUAGCAACUUCAUAACAACAAUGAGAUUUGGCCCUCUUUGUGCUCCUUGCUCUUUUAGUGAGUGCAACAUCUACAUUCACUAAUCCAUAGUGCUCUCUUGCUACAAGUGCCAUUAUUUCACAAUUCCUCCCACCAAUUACUACAAUGGGCUUCAAACACCUAGAUGUGUAGGCCUACAAGGUACAACAAACGCUUGCGACGAGCAUAUUACAACAACCAAUUAUUCAAUUGCAACAACAUUCCUUGGCCCAUAUAACCAUAUAGACCAUUGCAUCACAACGUCAACAAUUGUUCCUUCCAACACCGAACCACCUAGCGAUGGUCCUUGCCGCUACUUGCAACAAUAGCUACUUGCAUUCAACCCACUUG
rnacentral:lncRNA from 1 species